ACCUUAGCAGUCUUCAAUGUGUCACACAACAACUUGUCAGGGAGUAUUCCGUCUCCAAAAGCUCAAUUUGGAACCUUUGAUGAAAGCAGUUAUGUGGAGAAUCCUUUUCUCUGCGGGCCUCCCCUGCAUAAAAAUUGCAGCGACCUUGAUUCACCCCUGACAACAGCACCAAAUACCUCAAACAACGAAGAAGAAAGUGGUUUGAUGGACAAGUAUGUUUUUUGGGUGACCUUUUUUGUUUCUUAUGUAAUUGUGUUGCUGGUUAUUGUUCUCAUCCUGUAUAUAAAUCCUUAUUGGCGACUAGCAUGGUUUUCUUUUGUUGAACACUGCAUCAAGACUUGUCAGUACUUUCUUCUGCAAUUUUCCAUCUUCAAAAGGAGUGGGUAGCCUUCUACUUUGGUGGUUUACAUUUGUAUGUAAUUUUCAUCACUCUUUUUUUUUUUUCAAAGUUUGAUUGGAUUAUCUGCUUCUAAGUUUUUAGAGCUAGAAUGCAAUAUAUCUGUUAUGUAAAGCAAUAUAUAAAGUUAUGCAUUCUCAAUUAAAACAUUUAAUAUUGCUUUAUAAUUUUUAGUGUUCUGAUAAUAUGAUGUUAAAUUCAACAUAUUGUAGCAUAUAUAUUAAUAUAACCUAUAUUUAUCUAUACAAAUUUUUUAGUCAACCAAACCAUUGAUGUGGUGGCAAAAACUUCACAUUGUUUUCAAGUCUUCAUUGACAUUAGGUUGAGGUUUCAAACCCUAGCGUAAAAGAGAGGGGAGAGGGGUUGUCUGAACCAAAACUUCAUUUCAACAGAUAUCCUUUACCACUAAAUCAUAUGCUCAACUGAAACUUAUAUAUAUAUAUCAAACAUGAAUGAUAUAAAUAGUCUUUAAAGUUUUAAAAUGAACAAAAUUAUAAUAAUUAGUAUGUAGUUUCAUUAUUUUAUUUAAACUCAAAAUAAUAAUAUUUAAAAAUUGAGUUUACGUGAUAUUUAUAUCCUUGGUUAAAAUUAAUAAAAUGUAAAUAUAAACUUUAUUUUAUUUUAUUUAUAUUCAAAUUUAAUAAAUGUUUAUCUAAUUUAUUUAAAUUUAAAUAAAUUAAAUAAAUGAGCACACAAUUUUUUUAGAGAAAGUGACUCUUUUUUAAUGAUGAGAUGUUAUAAGAUUUAUCAUAUGUGUAAUGUGGAGACAAUAACCCUAAUAUGUAACUUUUGCACAAUAACCUUAAUUUAUAAUUAGUGAAUCAUCAAUUAAAAGUUAAUUACUCGAGUAUGUACACUUGUCCAACCAUAUUUUAUUUAAUAAGUGUCAUGGAUCAUGGGUCAAAUAAGUAUCACAAUAAUCACAGUAAUACCUGCAAAAAUUGAAUCCAAAUAAACAUAUCCAUAAAUUGUUAAUGAAAAUUUGUUCGCAGCGAGAACCUUAACUAAGAUUGGAAGAAUUUAUAUGUUUUUGUCUUUUUGCUAAAAUAAGUAUAAAACAUAUAAAAAAAUACAUUAUGAAUGUUCAUUUUUUUAAUAGUUCAAAAAAAUAUAUUAUAUAUAAUAUAUAUUAUUGUUUUGCCUUGCUCCUCAAAGAAAAUGGAAACAAUCGUAACCCUAUGGCAUCAUUAGAAACACCAUUAAUCUUGAUGUGUCGCAAAUCUCUAGAAAGUUAGCCAAAUGAACAUUCAGAUCUUCAUCUUGCAACCUAUCAAACUGAACAUAUUGUUGUACCAUCUGAAUUGUGUUCGACUUUAGCUCAAAAUUUUUUACAGCAAUAGUCAGUCUGACAAUACUCAAUUCAACCCCAAUCAGAAUAGACUUAGCAUAAUCAUACAUAGUCCGAAGAGUAGGAGCUGCAGGAAGCUGUUGAUUAUUUUUAUGAUCAUCCAUCUACACAAAAAUAUCCUUUUCCUCUUGAUCGUGUACUAAAAUCUAUUUAUCUUGCCUUUUGCUUUUCUAACCUCUCUAAGAUUACUGCGAGCAGUCUUUUCAACUUCACUAUAAAAAAUUAAUGGUUCUGACUAGUUUCCUCUAGUCAUAAACCAAAAGAAUCUAUCAUAAUAAAAAAAAUGAAAAAUUAGAAUGUAAAAGUUAAAUUAAAAACAAAAAUAUCAAAAUAAAAAUAAAAAUAGCUAAAUUAAUAGAAAUAAAGUUUUCCUAAUAUUUUAGUCCCCUGGCAAUGACACCAAAAACAUGAUGUAGUCAUAAACCAACUAAAAAUCUGACUAAGGUAAGUGUACCUAUCAAGUAAUUGUAUAGUUACGAUGAGCAAAUAAAUCGUUCCCACAAAGACUAAAAGUACUAGUAAUUACUGUCUUUCUAUUAUUUAAUCGAUAAAUUCGAGUAAUUGAUUAAAACUAAAAUUAUUUAAAUUAAUUAACUAUGAAUGUAACAAAUAAUAAAUCAGGAAAGUAAUUGAAUAAUAACCAAGAAGCAAAACAAUACCUAGGAAAGAAUUCACCUAGAUUUCAUCUGUCAUUAUAAAUCUAAAUUCCACAAUUUCUUUACUUAGUAUCUUAAUUCAUAGAAAUCCUUAAAUCAUGCUAAUAUCUCUCUUCAAGAAAAGAGCAACUAACUUUAGGUUGGUUAAUUGAAAUUUCUUUCUAAUUAAAACCCCUAUUAUCGCAUUAAAUUACUUUAUGAAUUUCCCCAUUACAUUUGACUCUAAUCCGGUAGAUUUAUAUCAUCCUAUUUCUAAGAUUACAUGCAACUUCACUCAAUUACGCUAGAUCUACUCUUAAACAAGGUCUAUUCCUCCUCUGAUUUAAGCAAAACAAACAUGGAUCAACAAUAUAGAAAUAUUAAACCAAGUGUAAAAUACACAUAAUUGAGAGCAAGAUCUAAGUAUUUAUUGCGUAAAAAUAGAAAUCAAAUAAUAUAAUUCAUCCUAAAGCUUAUCUCUCUAGGUAUUUGGAAAAUUAGUUCAUACUUGCAAAUAAAAACAUCCCAAAGACAAUAUAACCAAAAGAAAUAAAGAAGCUCGUGAUAAUCUCCUAAGAAAUCAACUGUGAGUCUUCAAUCUUGACUAAAAUUUGCUUCAGAAUCGGCUUCAAUGGUGUUUUUUGAGUUGUUUUAUUGAGCAUUCUAUGACGGCUCUCUUCCCUCUUCUUAUAUUUGUCAUAUAUAGGUCUUAGAAUGCGCGAAAAACCUAAACAAAAGUGUUUUUCCGCAGGAUUGGAGUGUGACUCGUGAUUUCUACGUAGUCUCGCACAUGACCGUGUAGAAGCUCGUGUGGCCACACGGUCGUGUGUCCAGCCCAUGUGGCUCCUGAAACUUGCUCCAAUUUUCACUUAUUUUUCGCUCCUUUUGCUCUCAAAUGCUACUAAGCAUAGAAACAUGAAUUUAAAGGAUUAGGAGCAUAAAAUUCACCAUUUUAAUUCGAAUAAUAAUCCAAAAAUGCAUUAAGAAUGAGGCUAAAACAUGUUACUUUUGGCAUUUAUUAAUUUUGCCAACACCCAAAAUAGUUGCUUAAAGGUACAAAUUUAAACAACCCAAAAAAGGGUCAGUAUAAUCCAAAAAGCGUUGUGUUAGGCUUUUCAUAUGAUAACACUUUUAUAUAGUUGGGAAAGGUAUAACAAAAGUCGACAUAGUGUUGGAUAAAACUGAUUCUUAUUUAAGCGUUGCCUUAGGCAUGCAUAUCCCAACCUUUAUACAAAGAGUUGGCCAAAGUGUCAGCAUAGUGUUGGACAAACUCGAAUCUUAUUUAAGUGUUGCCUUAGGCAUGCAUAUCUCAAACCUUAUACAAAGAGUUGACCAAAGCGUAUGUCGGCAAGUCUAGUUAUUAGCUCAAUAGAUCAAACAGAAAUUGCUAAGAGGGGUGAAGUGGCUUUUAAAAAAAUGUGAAAGCUAGAAAGAAAAUUGAAAGAUGAACAAAAUAAUUUAGAAUGGUUCAGCCCCAAUUGCCUACCCCACUACCUUGACUUUCCACAACUAAGGAUUUUCCCAAAUUCACUAAAUUGAUAACCUUUAAGUAUAAGGUUUAACAUUAGAACUCUAUUAAGAUUUCUGUAACACCCCAAACCCGGCCUAGACGUUAUAACCGAAUCUGGCAAUGUCACAUGGAAUGGGAUUUGAAACCUCGUUGUUACGAUGAAAACAUUUCAUGCUAUUAUCUUUAGUAAACUUUUGUUAGAACUUAGGAAGUCGUCUUUAUUCAUUUAAAACAUUUGUUUUGAAACAUGCCUCGUUGUGGAAGCUUUAAUAAAAUAGUCUAAGUGAUCAUACGUUUAGAAAAUAAUUUAACUUUUUGAAAACCAAAUUUCCUAUGACCAGCAGGUAGAAAUUCAUAAAGUAAAAUAAAUAAAUAAAAACCCAAAUUUAAAACCAAAGUCCCAGAGGGUCCUUAAAUUACAUCCCAAAUAAUCAAUAAUAAUCAAAUCAUAAAUCGUAAAUUGAAAACCAUGAAGUCCAAAAAUUACUAUGGUUACCGCUAAGUCCUCCGUAGCACCGAUCCGUCUAAGUCUGGGGAUUAACUAUGCACAUUAAACAAAAAAGGUGAAUUUAUGUAAACUCAGUGUGUAGUCCUGUAGAAACAAACAAUUAGUAUCCACAGUGCACAGUUGAACAGUCUUGGGCCUAAGCCCUUUUCAGUAUCAAUGACAGUUUGGGCCUUAGCCCAUCUCAGUACAGUGUCAAAAAUGCAGUAGGUCCUUAGCCCAUCACAGUAUCAGUAGCAGUAGUAGUUAUACAGUAGCAAAAUCCUACCUAACCAGCCUCUACACACCAUCUUCGUCCAACCCUACACUCCAUGUAGGGAUAUAAUCAACCUACCCAUCCCUUUUUAAUAAUAACCCAUGCUAGCUAAAUAUUCUAUGUUUUCACUAUUUACUUAUAUGUUCAUUCAAAGCUGUCUACUUGAGUCAUUGUCACUAAAUUAUUUACAUCUUAAGCUACAAAAUUCCAAAUUAAGAUCUGCUUGAUGUUUUCAGAACUAGACUCAGAUACCUUUCUACCAUAGAAUUUUCAAAAUUUAUAGCUUAUCAAAUAAGUACAGUAAAAUCUUCAAAGUUAUCCCUAUUCUGCUAUUUGACAGCUUCAACCUUUCCUUACUAAAAAUUAUUAAUCUCUUAGUACAAAAUAUGAAUGAUGUUUCCAUUUGUUUCUCUUGAAAGUAGACUCAUUAAAGAUUUAAAUGUAUAAAUUUAAGCCCCUAAUUAUUUGUUUACAAUUUUUGAUGAUAUUCUAAAAUCAGAAUAGGGGAACAAGAAAUCAUUCUGACCUUGUCUCAGAAAAUUUAUUAUAUAUCAUAAUUUACAAUUCUAUUGCUUACACUGUUUCUUCGAUGAAAAACUAGACUCAAUAAAAUUUAAUUUCAUGUUUUAUUCAACCUUUAACUCAAUUUUCACUAUUUUUGAUGAUUUUUCAAAGUUAGACUACAGCUGCUGUCCAAAACUAUUUUAGUGCAAAAUGUUGAUUUCCAAAGUUAUAACACCCUUAUUUCCUUUCUCUACAAUAUUUUUCGCAUCAUUUUCUCUUAUGUCUUGACAGCAAGCGAUUUUGACUUUUUGCCAAAUCCCGUUUUCUGCAUUUUGGGUACACACCUGGUUUCGUUAGAUGCUAAAAUAGUUCCCGAGCACUCCAAAGCCUAUAAUUGAACAAAUAACAUCAAUUUAAUCUCACAUAACGUGAUCUCAAAUCGAAAUCGUAUCGAGGUUUUAACCCAUAAGAGACUAAACCUUACUUUCAACCGAUAAUAGUAAUUCCCACACAAACUAAGACUCCGAUUGGUGAUUACAAGCCCUUGAAUCAUCCCCUAAUAGGCAGAAACAAAACACUUUAGAAGAAAGUUAACAAAUAGAGACAAAUCACUUAUCUAAAACUUGUUGAAUGAUCGCAAACAAACAUAGAGCAACACAAGGCAGAGUGGGAAAAAAAUCAAGAAGAUGAAGGGUGGAAGAGAGCAGAAAUUCGGCAGCAAUGAAGAGAAAAACGACAAAAGGGUGGAGGGAUUUUGGGGAAAGUAAAAAAGAAAAAAAGAAAAAAAAAGAUUAACAGAAUAUUUGAUAACCACCCCAAUCCCUUAUUUCUCUCCAUCAAACUCCCCACAAAUCCACUACUCAUAUUUUUAGUCUUUCUCAAACUCUUUUGGAGACACAAGCAAAAAUAAUGCCUAUGCUAAGAUUCAAACACAAGACCUCUUUCACACCAACACUCUACUUAUCCACCAAACCAACAAGCUAAUUUUGUUAAUUAUUUGCCAACUUUUACUUAAAAGUCUACUGACCAAAUAUAGGACUUAUUCAUAAAAAUACCAAAAUUUGCCCAAGUUCUGGCUUGAACUUGGGACCUCCCAAACACACCCAAAAUACUUAACCACUGAAGCAAAUACACAAUUGUGUCACACAUUCACAAUACCCAAAAUUAAAAUUUUGAGGUGUUACAAUUCUUGUUUUAUUGACUUAAACUAUAACCUUACUAACCUCAUAAAAUGCAUAAAAAAGUAAUAAAUCACUUGAUUACAAACUCAUUAAGUAUAGAAUCAAGCUUAAUUUGCCACAACGAAUUAUGGUUAAUCAAUUGUUAAUAUGAAAUUUACUUUUCUAGAACACCAAUUUCUCUCAACCGCAUUUUGAAGCAGUGGUGGAUCCUAGGACAAAGUUUGGAGGGGAGGCUAGUAAAAUUUUUAGGAAUUAUAAUAUAUAUAUUUUCCAUAACCAUCUAAUACUCAAACGUGUUUAUGCUUAUAAUAUAAUUUUUGUAACUAGUAUAAAAAUAAAUUUUUAAAAUGGGAUUUGAGUGUAAUUACGUAUGUAAUCAUUUUAAUUCUCACUCCCCUAAGAAUUAGAAAGUGUAAUUGAGUGCUCUAAUUACAGCAAAUUCGUGGGACUCACCAAUCAAUGGUUACCCAAACAUGUUAUCUUUGUGUAAUUACUAGCAAUUACACCCAAAUUCAAUUACUAGGUGGUUUUCCAAACAUUGUGUGAUAUGUCGCGGCAUCUAAGCCCUUUUGUUUUGUACUUUUUUUAACUGAAUUUUUAAGAGUCCAAAAAAGGUAAAUUACUUAUUUGGUAAUACUUAUAUUUAGUCAAGCUAAAAAUAGCUUAAUCGAUUGAUGUUAUAUACUAUAUUUGUCAACCAUUUUAAAACUAAUUUUGGCUAAGUCAAAAUCACUUUUUAUUCAACUUACCUUUAUACUAUUUUUAGCCAAUUGAAGUCUUAUAAAUACCUUGUUCAUUUUCAUAAUAUACACACUUGCUCAUCCUUUCCAUCCUUUUAAGAUUGCUAACACUACACCAAAAUAGGGUUUUAAUGACCUUUUUAGCGGCGUUUGGACAAAAAACGCCACAAAAAAUUGAGCAUUAGCGGCGCUUUACGUAAAACGCUGCCAAAGAUACGAGCAUUAGCGGCGCUAUAUGUAAAACGCCGCUAAAAAAAGCAUUAGCGGCUGUCGAAACCAUUUUUUUGAAAACAAAAAAUUAUUUGUCGACUUUAAAAAAUAAAACUGGAGUCGCCACCGAUCCGUGAUUUAGGUGUGAUCAGCCCACCUUAAAAAAACAAAUUUGGUCUACGACAUUUGAGAAAACGGGUUCGGGAGUCAGUUACGCACGAGGAAGGGUUAGCACCCUCGUAACGCCCAAAAUCGGUACCGAAUUUGAUUAUUUAAUGUCUUGGUGUCAAAAAUUUAAAAGAUUUUGUAAACUCAAAUAUUGAAAUCUGAAAAGGACAAUCAAUUAUUCAAGUCAUGCGAAGAAAUUGAGACCUAAUACAUUAGGGUACAAUUUCUCAAAAUCGCCGAAUUUUGAAUAUCACUUUUGCUUUAUAAGUAAAACUUAAUUUUGAGGAAGCAAUUAUGUCAUGUCCAAUACGUUAGGACAUAACAAAUUAAGUUCCCAAAAAUGAUUUUUUUACUUAUAUAUUUUAAAUAACAAAUAUUCUCGGUUAUUUGGAAUUAACAAAGAAAAUCGGAACCCAAUACGUUAGGGCUCAAUUUUCCUCGAAUUUCCCUAACUUUGAAUAUCGUUUUUAUUUUGAAAACCUUUGAAUCAUAAAAAUGAUUUUAAUGUUUUGACAAAAUCAAAAUAUAUUUUCUUUAAAAAGUAUAGUAAAAUACUAAUGUACACAUAAAACCCAUACUUUAAUUUUAAAUUAUAUGUAUAUAUGUAUUUUCAAAAUAUAAGUACAAUACAUAAAUAAAUUUUGAAAACAUGUAUAUGCAUAUAUUAAAACAAGUAUAUAUAAGUAUAAAUAUAAAAAAUAAAAAAAUGAAUGAAAUAUAUAAAACAAAACAAAAACUUAUUAUAAUUUCUAAGAAAAUAUGUAUGUAUAUAUAUGUAUGUAUAUAUAUGAAAAUAAGAUAAAAAUAUAAAAGUAUAUAUAUGUGUAUAUAUUUACAAAGAAAUACAAAAAAUAUAUAUAAUAUAUAAAUAAACUAUGAAAAUAUAUAUAUGUAUGUGAAAAUAUGUAUGAAUUAUAAAAUGGAAAAAUGUAUAUGUAUUAUAAAAUGUAAAUGUAUAUAUGUAUAUAAACUAUAUAUAAAAAACAAAGAAGAUAAUAUAAUAAUAAAAUAUAUAAAAUAUGUACAUGUAUUUUAAAAACAUUUAAAAUAUAUACAUAUAUUUAUUAUAAAAUACAAACAUAUGCGUGUAUAUAUGUAUAAGUAUAAUAAUAAUAUAAUAAUAAUAGUAAUAUAUAAUAUAAUAACAAAAAUAACAGCAGCUUAAUAACAAUAACAAGAUUUACAAACAAAUAUAUAAUCUAAUUUGUAAAAGCAAAUACAAUGGACUAAAUUUGAAUCAAAACAAAAUAAAAAACACAAAAUCAAAUUAAAGCAGAGGAUGAAUUUGCAAAAUACGUGCAACAUGGAGGGCCAAAAGGGAAAUUAAUCCCACCCUUCCAAAACGUUGUGCAGCAUGGGAUUAAAAUAGAACAGAUUUAAUAUGUCAUGGAAAAAUUUGAAAACAAUAAAAACAAUGGUUUUGGAAAUGAUGAAAAACAUGAAAGGAUUAAAAACGUAAAUAACCCAUCAAUGCUUAAAACCCAUUUCAAAUCCUAAUUAAAAUCCCUAUUCCAUCUGCAACUUCAACAGCCACAUUCAUCUUCUCCUUUGCUUUUCCCGCCUAAAUCCCUCCUUCAACUUUGAUUCCGACGAAGCAUAGCAAGGGCAUCGAUGGCCCACCAACACUAGUAAGAACCUCUUCUCUUCCUUUUUUUUAUUUGCUUUUAGAAACAAGGAAAAAUAAAAAGAAAAACAAAUAAAGAAACUGGAAAAAAGAAGAACCAAAAUCGUCACCUUCAAAACUGUUUUUGAUUUCUCCCUUUCGUAUUUCUUCAAUAUUUUUCAUACAAUAUUUGUCUCCCCCCCAAAAAUGAUUUUUUUACUUUGCUUUUAUAUCCCCAAAAUAGAAAAUUGUUUACAAUCUACAAUAUUUUCAGUUUCUUCUCUUGCUUGCUGCUCGUGGUUGUGGUCUGUUGCAGGUACGUGCGUGUGUGGAGGUUGCUGCGACGUGGGAGCAGCGACGUGGGGGUGAUGGUAGCGCCUGGAUGGUUUGGCUGCUGACCUGCUGCUAAUCUGUUAGGGUUUUUGGAACUUUAGGCCAAGUGGGUCUUGUAAUUGGAUUAGGGUUGGCCCAAGUUUUAUUGGGUUUGAAAUUGUAUUUAGUUUGGGCCCCGGGCAAUAAUUGGGUACUGCAGCGGCGUUUACAAAUAAGCGCCGCAAAAAACGGAAGCCGAAUGACACCGUUUUCAUAUUUUUUUGGGCCCUUAGCUGCGCUUUUCAAAACACGCCGCUAAUUCUCCUAUCUUUAGCGGCGUUUUUGAAUAAUCGCCGCUAAUGCUGCGGUCUUUAGCGGCGUUUUCUAAGAUGCGCCGCUAAUGCUCAGGCCUUUAGCGGCGCUUUGUAAAAGGCGUCGCUAAUGCUCAGGUCUUUAGCGGCAUUUUUUACAAAGCGCCGCUAAUGCUACAAUCUUUAGCGGCGUUUCUCAGAAAGCACCGCUAAUGCUCCGGUCUUUAGCGGCGUUUCUUAAAAAGCGCUGGUAAAUACCUGAGCAUUAGCGGCGCAUCUUAGAAAACGCCGCUAAAGACCGGAGCAUUAGUGGCGCUUCUGAGAAACGCCGCUAAUAAUAAAAUCUAAAACCAAUAAUAUUAUCUCAUUCUUUGAUAUAUUCUUAAGUAAUGUUUGAAUUAUAUUUUUAUAUUAUAAGUUGAAAAUUUUUUAUUUAUUAUGUAUUGGUAAAAUUUACAUUUAAAUGAUAAUAAAUAAUAUUGUUUAAUACAAAUUGUUUUUAUUAAAGAGAAGUCCUAACUCCUAAUUAACUAUAUAUAUUAUUAUUUUUCAAUUCCAAUUUAUUUAAAAUACUUUAUUAUAAAAAUUUAUUAAAUUAUGAGUAAAAUAAAAUAUCACACUACACCAAAAAUUUAUUUAAUUUAAAAUACUUAAAUUGUUGUACGUGUUGUAAAGAAUAAAAAAUAAAAUAAAAUUUUAUAAGAAUUACAAUAGAUUAAUUUUGAUAUUUAAUUAGACUAAAUAAAUCGAUCAAAGAAAGUAAUAUAUAUAAAACAGUACCAAAUAUCGUGAUAAAUAAUAUUAUAUAUAUUGAUAAAUUUAUAACCAAAAUCAAACAUGAACAGAACAAUGACUUAAUAGUACGCCUAAGAACUGAAAAUGAAUGAAAAGGGACAAAUAUUAAUGAGGUUGUUACUUGGUCUAAUACGUACCCACUAGAAAUUAAUAUUAGCUAAGUUUACAUUUUAGUGUUAAUGUGAGGUUAGUGUUUACGGCUUAUAAGAUAAUGAUCAAAUAUUUACUGUUUUAGGACUUGAUGUUUAUUGGUUUAUGGUUUAAGGUACUUAAUGAUUAAUUUGAAUGUUACAAUGCAUGGUUUUUGCGUUUCGGAGUUGCAUGAAGAAUACGAGCUAGGGUUUAGGCUUUAAUUUUAAAAUUUACGGGUUAUAGGGAUUAAUAGCUUUGGGUUUUAGGGUUUAAUUAAUUAUCUAUCUAAAACAAAAGCAAAAAAAAAUUAUUUGUAUUUUUUACUUCUUAUUAUAAGGGACUUAUAGAACAUAUGCCACGAUAUAUAUAUAUAUGUUAUAUAUAUUAUGAAACAUAUUAAUAUUGUGUUAGUUACGUACAUUCGUUUGUUAGCUUAAAAAUAGAGCAUAUAUUGGGAUCUAAAUUAAAAUUGUUAUACAUUAUCAAUUUGAAUAAUUUGAAUAAUUUAUAAAUUAUAAUGUUGAUUAUAUUUACUGCAUAAAAUUAAAAUAAUUUUAUAAAUUCAGAUUAAUGUAUCAAUUUAAAAUAAAGUCAUAACAAUUAUCAAAAUUAAAAAUCUAUUAAAAAUCAUUAAACUUAUUUAUAAAAAAAGAGAAAUAAAAUAAAUUUAAAAAUUGAAUAAUUAGCAGCGUUUUCAGAAAACGCCGCAAAAGAUAGGCCUUUAGCGGCGCUUAUACAGAAAACGCCGCUAUAGAACACAAAGUUGCGGCAUUUAUUGUAAAAACGCCACAAAAGUUUAACCAAAACGACUUCAUUUUUUAUACUGUUUAUUGGUAUUAGCGGCGUUUCUGGUACAAACGCCUCAAAUGAUAGUUAUGUAUUUUAGGGUAUCGGGAUUAAUAUUUAAGUUUUGUCGUAUACGGUUUGGGGUUUUAAGGUUCGAUACAUAAUGUUUAUUAAUUUAGGAUUACAGUUUUGAGUUCAGGGUUUUAGGUUUAGGUUUACGACUUGGGGAUUGGGGUAGUUUAGGGUUUGAGUUUACAUGUUAGUUUUAAUGUGAGGUUAGUGUUUACGUACGGCUUAUAAGAUAAUGAUCAAAUUUACUGUUUUACGGCUUGAUGUUUAUGGUUUAUGGUUUAUGGUUUAGCCUUAUUGAUUUGAAUGUUACAUUAAUGCAUGGUUUUUACGUUUCAGAUUUGCAUGAAGAAUAUGAGUUAGGGUUUAGGCUUUAAUUUUAAAAUUUACGGGUUAUAGGGAUUAAUAGGUUUGGGUUUUAGGGUUUAAUUACCUAUCUAAAACAAAAGCAAAAAAAAAAAAAUUAUUUGUGUUUUUUUACUUCUUAUUAUGCCAUUAAUUAGUAUAUAUAUAGGAUUAUAAGGGACAGGGUUAUAGAAUUCCGCCACGAUAUAUAUAUACGUAUCUAUAUAUAUAUGUUAUAUAUUAUAAAACAUAUUAAUAUUGUGUUAGUUACAUUUGUUUGUUAGCUUAAAAAUAGAGCAUAUAUAUAUAAAUUAAAAUUGUUAUACAUUAUUUGAAUAAAUUCAAUAAUUUAUAAAUUAUAAUGUUGAUUAAUUAUAUUAAAAUCAUACAUACCGCAUAAAAUUAAAAUAAUUUAAUAAAUUCAUAUUAAUGUAUCAAUUUAGAAUAAUGUCAUAACAAUUAUCAAAAUUAAAAAUCUAUUAAAAAGCAUUAAACUUAUAAAUAAAGACAAAUAAAAUAAAUUUGGAAUACAUUAUUUUAAUAAUUUCAAUAAUUUAUAAAUUUUAAUGUUGCUAAUAAUUAAUUUAUUCUUACUGUAUAAAAUUUAAAAUUUUUAUCAAUUUUAUCAAUUUAAAAUAAUGUAUUAAGUCAGAAAUAUAUUAAAAAUAAAAAUUAUAAAUAAAAAGAAAUAAAAUAUUAUAACAACUGAAUUAUUAGUGGCGUUUCUAUGCAAAACGCCACAAAGAUCCAAUUAAAAAUAAAACAAAACGGCGUCGUUUUGUUGACAAUUUAAUUAUCAGUGGCGUUUUUUCUCAAAACGCCGCAAAAGAUAUAAAAUUAGUGGCGUUUUCUUAUAAGCGCCACAAAUGUAUUUAAAUGAAACGGCAUCGUUUUAAUGACAGAUCAGUUUUGGGGUAUACCCCCACUCCCAGCCCCAAUUCCAUUUUUUUCUGUUCUAAAAUCCCUAAGUACUGAAAUCCCUAACUCGUUUCAGUGUUUUUGCUAUCUCCCAUUUCUAAAAAUCAAUUCUUCAUCUCUUUCAAAUUUCAUUGUUUGGGUGUUUCCAUUUCUUGCAAAACAACAAAAUAUCCGGUUCGUACAUUCGGUAAACACACACAGUUGACGGAGAACGUCGAGGAGCAUCAUCGGAAUCGGUGGUCGGGGGAAUAAGUAUUCAAGGUUCACUUUCCCUAUUCUGCCUCCGUAUACAUUGGGUUUUCCCCUAUUUGUUAAUUUUAUUUUUGGUUUGUUAUUGUUUGUUGAUCCUGAAAUUAAAAAAAGUGUACGUAUUCUCUGUUUAUAGGGUUUUCGGUCUUCCUCUUCAAUUUUUUUUCAUCGUCCUGAAGGUAAUGUAAUGCUUGGAAUGUGAAUUUAUUUUGUGAAUGGUUUCAUUGGUUAGGAACUGAUUUUAUUUUGUUUGUGUUUAGGGUUUCAUUCCAUUCCAUUUCAUUGCUUCUUUUUUUGUUUUCUGCAUCGUUCAGCAGGUACACAACUCAUGCUUUCAUUUCAUUCCAUUGCUUCAUUGCUACUGUCCGGUGAUUUUAUUUCAUUGCUUCCUUUUUUGUUUUCUGCAUCAUUUACUGUUAAGGGUUUGGACUAAAUGUUAAGAUUUCACUGCUGUUGGUGGAAUCAUCUGCUACUGUCUUUUUAGUGAAUUUAUUUUGAUGUCUAGUUUAGGGUAUAAUUUAUUAAUUCAUAAUAUUUUGCUGUUACAAGUAUUUUUCAUUGCUACUGUUUUAAUUUGCGCUGUUCUGUUUGCUUUCUGUGUUCGUCUGAAUGUUGUUUUAUACAAUAUUUUAUAAUACAUACAUUGCCAAAUAGAAAUGCAUUGGUUCAGUUGACAAAGGUAAAGACCUUGAACUGCAAAGAUUCGAAUUCAGGUUUUAUUAUUAACAAUUUCUAUGUAUAUAUGGGUCUCAAUCCCACCAUUUUGACUUUUAUCUAUUAUCGGAUACAUGUUUAUACUUGUAAAACUUAUAAAAAUUUUUAAUGAUUACCAAUAAGCUUUAUGUUGAUUAUCUAAUUUAUUUCUCAAAUCCAAAUUAAAUACUGAAGUUUUUUAUUAAGAAAAUAACAUUAUUUGUUUUUUUAAUGAUUUAUUCGUAAGUGUACUAUUUAUGAUUGUACAUGUAACUUCUAAAAGAUAGAAUAUUAAAUCUGCUCUAAUUAUUAGCUUAAAUUUGAUUGACUAUAAUCUUAAUUACUAAUUAUUUUAUAUUAAUUCUUUAUGUUUGUCCAGUAGUGAUGACUUUUUGACUGCUUACCACUGUACAUAAAGUAUGCAUAUUUAAUAUGCGGUGUAAAGACUAUGAAUAUAACCCUAGAAAACACAGCUAUGUUAAAUAUGUCAAUCAAAAGCUUUAUAAUUAGUCUUCAAUUUAAUCGAAAAGCUUGCGUACACAUAUUACUUCUAGCGUAAUAAACUUUUUGAAUACAUCAUCAUACAUAAGCUAAGAUGGAACAUAAUCAGUUCAAACAACACAAAUCAUUAGUAUUAGUCUUUUCUUUUUCCACCACCAAUUUGUUUUCAUUUGUACUGUUUUCAUUUCUACUUUUUCCUUUUAUUAAAAUUCUGGUUUGGUGUUUUUUAGGUACUAAUUUAGUUGUGUUUUUUGUUUGGCAGCCGUCUGCUCUGAUAUUUGGGAAAUUUGAGGUAUUUAUUCAUAUAUUUCCAUAGAUUGUUUUAUUAAAAAAACACCUCCAAAUGUUUAAAUUUCGUAUUUGGUUAUAUGUUUGCUUUUAUAGUUUACUUAUUAUUUUCGAGUUUUCAAAUGGGUUUUGAUUAAUAUUUUUGUUUUUAAACAUGUGGUAUCGGUUUUACAUGACCAAUUUUUGCGUUAUAUAUUUGUAUCCCAAUUUACACGUAAUUUUGCAGCCUAUUACAUAAUUUAAUAAUUCUAAAUCAUAAUUUUAUUUUCUCCCCGUAUUAUGUACCCAAGCAAAAGCAAUUACACAAAUUGAUCGAUUAGUUUAUUCGGUUUAAUGUGAAUUAUUUAUGGGUUUACGAUUUUAUGACAAUGAAUUAUCAAUUUUACUUCUAAUUUAAUAAAUUAUCGCCGUUAGAUGUGACUUGCAUAAUUUAAUGUAUGUGUUUAAUUAUCUUUUAAAUACAAUAAAGUCAUCGAUUAAUUGAUUGAAUGUCAAUGAAUUACCCAUUUAUAAUACAUACAUUACAUAACUUAUUAAUAUAUAUAUUUUAAAAUGAUACAUAACUUACAUAACUUAUUAAUACAUAACUUAUAUAAUACAUAACUUACAUAAUACGACAUAAUAACAUAAAUAUAUAUCAUAUGAUAACUUACAUAGUGAAAUAAUACUUAUAAGUUAACAACUUACCCUUGUAAUUUCUGCUGAAAAUCAAACUUGCAAGAAUUAAGAAAUGGACCGGUCUUGGAUGAAUUUGUCAAGGGUAAGCAACAAAUAUAGAAAUGGAGUACAAACUUUUUUGAAUUUUGCAUUUCAAUAUGCAAGCCAAGAGAACAUGAUUCUUUGCCCCUGUAACAAGUGUGUCAACAUAAACUGGCAUUAUCGUGAAGUUGUAUACGAGUAUCUAAUUGUUGAUGGGUUUGUUCGGGGUUAUAAAAAAUGGUUUUUCCAUGGAGAAUGCCCGCCUAGUACUUCUUCUUCAACAAUGGACGUAUCUUAUCCUGGUCCUACUUACCAUCAGUCCGUUGGAGGGGACGACAUGGAAGGUAUAUGGCGAGAUGCAUUUAAUAUGCACAGUCAUGGUUUUCAGUUGUUCCCACUUUGUGGCAUCUGAUGAUUGUAAUGUUGGUGCAAAUGCUUUUACCGAACGGGGAACAAGUGUACCUCAUGAAGAGCCGAAUGGAGAAGCGGCGAAGUUCUAUGCGCUACUUAAUGAGAUGAACGAAGAACUAAAUGAGGGAUCAAAAUUCUCCAAAAUGGCUUUCUGCGUUCGUCUUUUCCAGUUAAAAUGUUUGGGAGGGUGGACCGGGAACUCUUUGACAAUGCUGUUAGAGUUUUUGAGAGAAAUGUUUCCGUUUGCAAAAAUCCCUCAAUCAUGCAAAGAUAUGAAGAAAAUGUUAAAAGACUUAGGUCUUGGGUACAACAAAAUCCAUAGUUGCCCGAAUGACUGCAUGUUGUAUUGGGGGGAUCGGAGAAACCAACAGUGCUGUCAUGUAUGCGGCGAAUCUCAUUGGAUAAAUAGAAACACAGAAGAUGGGAACGACGAUGAUAAUCCAUCUUAACAAAGAAAGAAGUCGGUCAAGAUUUUGCGGUAUUUUUCGCUGAUACCAAGGCUUCAAAGUCUUUUCAUGUCGUCGAAGACAGCGGAGUCAAUGACGUGGCACCAUGAUGGACGAACCAAUGAUGGAUUAUUAAGGCAUCCGACAGAUUCUUUAGCUUGGAAAUCAUUUGACAAUAAAUUUCCAAGCUUUGCAAGUGAUCUUAGGAGUGUGAGGCUUGGCCUAGCAUCUCAUGGAUUUAAUCCUUACAAGACCAUGAGUACUGCGUACAGUACCUAGCCAGUAGUGCUUGUUCCUUACAAUCUGCCUCCGUGGAUUUGCAUGAAGCAAUCUUCCCUUAUCUUAUCUAUGAUUAUCCUUGGAGAGAAAGGGUCCGGGAAUGAUAUCGACAUUUAUUUACAGCCACUUAUUGAAGAGUUAAAACAAUUAUGGGCUGGUGUCGAGACAUACGAUGUGCUGAGAAAGGAGAACUUUAAUUUACGUGCAGCUUUGAUGUGGACCAUUAAUGACUUCCCCGCUUAUGCCAAUUUAUCCGGUUGGAGUACCAAGGGUCGUUAUGCGUGUCCUUGUUGUGUUGCACAUACAUGUUCGCAAUGGUUAUACAAUGGGAAGAAGUUCUCUUACAUGGGGCACCAUCGGUGGUUACCGAAAAAUCAUAUAUUUAGAUUUCAGAGUUCAGCAUUUGACGGUACUGAAGAGUUCAGAGAAGCUCCUUCACAGACAACUGGAUCUAAAAUCUUGUUAAUGUUAGAAGAUAUGAAUUUCAGUUAUGGGAAGAUGAACCAACCGGAAAAUACGCAAAGAAAUAAAAGAUCAAAUGAUGAAGCUAAUGAUGACUCUGAUGAAGAGGAUGAUCCUAAUGAGGCGGACUUGUUGAAAAAAAGAAGUAUUUUUUUUGAGUUGCCUUAUUGGGAGCACCACCAAUCUUGAUGUUAUGCCUAUUGAGAAAAAUGUCUGCGAGAACGUUGUCGGUACAAUUUUGAAUGUAGACAGAAGAUCAAAAGACAAUCUUCAGAGUCGACUUGAUUUAGUUUAGAUGAGAAUUUGACCUGAUCUUCAUCCGAAUCCACUUCCGAAUGGGAAAUAUCGGUUGCCGCCUUCAAUUUUCUCAAUGUCCAAGAUGGAGAAAAACUGUUCUGUAUGGUGUUGAAGGAUAUAAAGGUUCCAGAUGCGUAUGCAUCAAAUAUAUCUCGAUGUGUUAGUGUUAAAGAUCGAAGACUGUAUUCGCUAAAAUCACAUGACUAUCACAUCUUGAUGCAAGAUUUACUGCUAGUUGUUCUACGAUGUUGUAUGUCGAAGAAGGUGAUGUCUUGUAUAAUUGAACUAUCCAAUAUAAUGAAAGCCAUUUGUGGAAAAGUUUUGGAUGUUCAAGAACUUCAGAAGGUACAGGAUCGAGCCACUUUGACUUUAUGCAACAUGGAGAAAAUCUUCCAACCUUCUUUCUUCACUAUUAUGGUUCACUUGAUAAUCCAUCUCUCGCAUGAAGCAAUUCUUGGCGGACCCAUUUUCUACCGAUGGAUGUAUCCCAUAGAAAUGUGUUAUUUUAUUUUUAAAAUUUUCCUUCAUUCCAUUCCAUUUAUGCCUUUAAGUACAACUUUUUAUAAUGUUGCAUAUCGUGUUUAGGUUCCUAUCCAAAUUAAAGUCUUACUGCCGCAACAAGCGUUAUCCAGAAGGAUCGAUUGCUGAAAGCUACUUGGCAAAGGAAUGUAUGACCUUCUGUUCGCGAUAUUUGGAAGAUGUUGAAACAAGGUUGAACAGACCAAAUAGAAAUGCUGGACUCACAGAUCAUAACUUGGCCGAUACUUAUUUGUUCCAAAGUUUUGGAGAACCAAUCGACAAAGCUGAAAUUGUAGAAUUAGAUGAUUUAUCAUGGGAACAAGCACAUCGAUAUGUUCUGUUUCACCACGAAUCAAUGGAACCUUUACGCAAGUAAGUUCUAGAAAUUUGAUAAAUAUUCAUCAAUUAAAAAUUGUUUAUCUUCUAACAAGCUGAACAUAUUUUUAACAUAGUGAGUAAAAACAAAUAUUGAGAUCUCGUUCGCGCUCCCAAAGAAUACAACAUCAAGAUAUCAAUAAGUUGUUCACAGAAUCUUUUCAUGAAUGGUUAAGCCAAACGGUAUGCAAUUGGAGCUUUCAUCGACAGAUAAUAAUAAUCUUUUCUCAUAACAUUUUUAAUAACUCUGUUUACCUUCCAUACAAUAGGUUUGGAGUGGGAAGAACGUCACCGACGAAGUUAAAUGGCUUUCCCAAGGUCUAAAUCGGGUGGUUAAAAGAUAUAGUGCGUUCCUCAUCAAUGGAUUCAGAUUUCAUACAAAAUAUCGUGAGAGAUUGAGGAGAACGCAAAAUUGUGGAAUAGUUGUUAAUUCCUUAAUUACAAGUUAUGCUAGUGCUAGGGACAACAAUCCUGUCGAGGGAACUGUGGAAUAUUUCGAACUUCUUACUGACAUAAUUGAGUUGGAUUACUACGGCAAAUGGAAAGUUGUCUUAUUUCAAGGUGAUUGGGCCGAUGUUAAUACUGCUCGUGGAAUCAAGCAAGAUCAAUUUGGUUUCACAAUGGUGAACUUCACUCGAUUGAUUCAGACAGGACAACAAUUGAUUGAUGAGCCGUAUGUAUUUUCUUCUCAAGUCAAACAAGUUUUUUACUCAAAAGAUCCAACUGAUGAGGGUUGGUACGUUGUACUCCAUAACAUCCCUAGAGACUUGUUUGACAUGGGCAGUGGAAGUAGAGAUGACAUUGACGACGGAACACAAACUUUGCCAUUUCCAGAACAGAACUUAAACGAAAACAUCCCUAGUACUAGUACACAAUUUCAAUGGGUCCGCCAGGAUACGGAUGAAGAUAUUUACGAAUGAUAAUGUAGUAAGAUUUUACGAUUAUUUAAUUAUAUGUAAUAUCAUAAUAUAAAUAUUGGUCUUUUUAUAUAUUUCAACUAUUUUAUAUGUGCUAUUAUUGUUGUAAUUGUGUACUAAGUUUUCAACUAAUUUAUUUGUAUUGCAGAUAAAAUGCCUAGAAGAAAAGUGUGAGAGCACCGCAUUGUUCAAGGUACUCCAAACUCGGCGGAAACAAACAGCACUGAACAACAGACUGCUAUUGGAUCUUCAAAUGUUCCGGUUACACCUNNNNNNNNNNNNNNNNNNNNNNNNNNNNNNNNNNNNNNNNNNNNNNNNNNNNNNNNNNNNNNNNNNNNNNNNNNNNNNNNNNNNNNNNNNNNNNNNNNNNACCUAUAGAAGUUCAAAGUAAUUUAACAUUUAAUUUACAUGUGUGUUGACUUAUUGUUUAUUUUUUUAAAAUUUAUUAUAUUACAAUACUUUUAUUUUUCAGCUGAAACUGGUGGGACGCAGAGAGUUCGCGGACGUACGCUACUGAAGGAUUUAUACGAGCUAGAUCCAGUCGAGCGUGUCCAAGUAUCCAGUAAUAGCUUUGGUCAGCCUGUUGGAUCAGAAGCUCGCCUCUUAGCAGGAUACAUGGGCAUUCUAGCACGGAAUGCAAAUAUGUUGCCAAUUAACUUCGAGUUAUGGCAUAAAGUGUCUGAGAGUAACAAGAACCAAGCUCUCGAUAACAUUAAGGUAACAAAACGUGCAUGUCAUUUAUAAUACUUGGGUUUAAGUUUUGUUUACAUUUACUUUCUCAAGUUAUGUUUUUUGUAGGCGAGAUUUGCUCUAGAGGUCUCCGAUGCUUAGGUAAAGAAGGUAUUGGGAAAAAAAUGGAGAGACCAUAAGAGCACUUUAAAGAAAGACUAUUUUAAGACAAAAACAACACUCGAUGAGAAAUUACAAAAUGUCCCGCAGGGAAUGCUGAAGUACCAGUGGGAAGAGGUCGUUAGAUUUUGGAUUUCGAAGAAAGGAGAGGUAUGUGUAACUUAUAAAAUAUUGUAAUUAUUUUGGUGUAUAGUAUUUACAAAUUAACGUACUAAUAAUUUCAUAACGUAGGAUCGUGAACGAGUUGGAAAAAGUAGUAGGCAGAAACAAAAAUUCACUCACACAGCUGGGUCGAAAAGUUUUGCAUGUGUAGCUCAGGCCGAGGUAUUUUGAAUUUUUUAAUACUGGCAGAUAUUUAUUACUUUCUAUCAAAUAAUAUUUUUACUAUUGUAUUGUAUGAACUGUCGUCCGAUCAAAAAGUUAGAACUUCUACUUUUUGACAUUACACAUAGGAAGAAAGAUGGAAACCCUAUGACUCCUGAAACUGCAGAAAUUAUGGUACAUUUGCUUAAUACAAUUUGACUUGUUUUAAUUAUUUAUAAUGUUUAUUUUCUAAUGGUUUAUUUCAUUUCUUGUAUUACUGGCAAUAAGAUUAAGUUAUGUUGCAUUUGUUUUUUUAAUAUAUAUUGCGUUCCUAACUAUUUGAUUUAUUUUUUAGGAAAAACUAAAGGAUAAAAAGGCGGAGUACGAAGCGAUUGCUUCCAGUGAUAGUUCUGUUCAUAUUGACGACAUUGAUAACCGGAUUAUCACUGAAGUUUUGGGUCCUGAAAGGUAUGGUCAGGUUCGAUUUCAAGGAUCUUUUGUUAACCCAUCCCAAUAUUUUGGAUCCAACUCGCAACAAUACAUGCCUUCGGGGAGUCAGGCUCAAGCUGAAGUUCAGAGGUUAAGAGACCAGAUGGCUCAGAUGCAAGCGACAACAAAUGAGCAAAUUACAAAACUUAAAGCGGAGGCAACAUCGAGAGAAGCUGAGGUUCAAAAAAAAAAUGAAGAACUCCAGCUACAACUUAAAGCAGAUGCAGCAGCGAGAGAAGCUGAGGUUCAACGAAAGUAUGAAGAACUCCAGCAGUAGCUUAAAGCAGAUGCGGCAACGAGAGAAGCAGAGGCUGCAGCGAGGGAAGCAGAGCAGCGUAAAAAUUAUGAUGAACUCCAGCAGCAGCUUCAGAGUAUGAUGAAGAUGUUUCAGCAGUUGAAACAGCCGCCGUCUUAGACUAUCAUGUAAAUAUACUUCAAUUUUGACUUUUAAUUAUCAUUUUAACUUUUAACAUUUUUAUAAGAAUAAUACGAAUUUUAUUUUAUUUAUUGAUAUUUAUUAUAUAUUAUAGAUUUAUUGCUUUUGGUUUGUUUAGAUUUGGUUUCUUCUGAUUUGUUUUUACAGGAGGGAUGAAAAUAUAAAAAAAUUUCUUUUACAAAUCUGCCAAAAUUAGUGGCGUUUUUAAAAAAACGCUGUUAAAGGUAAUGGUCUUUAGCGGCGUUUUAUGCAAAAGCGCCGCUAAAGAUCAGGGUAUUUAGCGGCGUUUGUAAGGAAGCGCCGCUAAAGGUCGUUGUCUUUAGCGGCGUUUGUUUGGUAAGCGCCGUUAAAGUCCAUGACCUUUAGCAGCGUUUGUUUCGUAAGCGCCGCUAAAGACCAUAACCUUUAGCGGCGUUUUUAGAAAUAAACGCCGUUAAAGUUAGCGACGCAGCCAUUAGCGGCGUUUUUUGUGGCGCUUCUCAAAACGCCGCUAAAAGUAUUUGCCGCGCUAAAAAGCGCCGCUAAAGGCCUAAAAAAGCACUGCUAAAAACCUGUUUUGGUGGAAUGUAAGUAUUUUUUUUGUUGUGAUCUAUUAUUGAUUCCUACUCCCUUUUUAUAAUGAAAGAACUUAUUAAUACCUUAAUAUUUUACUAUAUAUUGGUUCUUUCUCACUUUUGUUUUAUUUUCAUCACUUUUAAAAUGUAUUUUAUUAUCUUAAUUAUUUUUCAAAAUUAAUAGAAUUUUAUUAUAAAUUAGGACAGUUGUCAUUUAAUUAAAAAAUUUAUAUAUAUUACAAUUAUAAAAAUAUAUUAUUUAGUAAAUUAAAAAAUAAACAAAUACAUAGUUUAAUUAAGAGUAAUUUUGUAUUUUCUCCAUUAUGUGGUAUUUUCCCUAUAAAUACAUAGUUUUAGGUUUAUAACUAGAGUUAGCCACCUUAGUAUUAUUUUGCUUUAGUGUUUUCUUUUCUCCAUGAAUUUCUAAAUCAUCUUUUCUAGUCAAAGGGAUUUUGAAGUUUGAUUGUAAUAGUUUGUAAGAUCUAAUUGCUCUUCAUCUAUUCUUUGUUCUUUAGCGUUUGCAUGUGUUCUAUUUUAAUUACAAAUAUUCAAGUUUGUUGGAUAUUGGUACCAUAUUCAAUUGCUUAGAACAUAGUGACAAAUAACAUGAUUACAUAUAAAGUAUGUAUGCAAUUCAUGGUAUGUGGAUACCCGAUUUAAUCUAAAUGAACCUCGUUGGUGUGUGUUUGUUGGUCAGAAAUAAGUUUCUCUCAUUCUUAAUACUACCGAUAAUUAAGCUAAAUCCUAGGCACGAAGUUAUAGGGCCUCUUGGUUAUCGAAAGGUAAUGAGAGAUUGUUUAUAGGGUUCUUAAUGCUAGGUGUGACUUGGGCAACUAUAACUAAUUUAUUAAAAACACUAAAAUUAUAUUUGCAUCAUUGAUCAAACUCACGAAUCAAAAUUGAGAUUUUACCUUGGUUAGACUCUCAUUAUAUUGAUUUUGCUAUAUUUUAUUUUGCAAUCUUUUUUUUACAAAGUUUUAAUUUUAAUUUUAAGAAUCCUUAUUUUUAUUUUACUUGUUUUUUUAAAGAAUUAGAACAAUCACUAGUCUUUGUGGAUAUGGCUCUACUCACAGUCAUCUACAAAUUUAUUAUUUUAGUAAGAAUUUAUUUUUGUAGGUCACAACAACCAUACAACUUUUGACACCAUUGUUGGGGAUUGGUGUCAAUAAUUUUAUUUCCUUUUAAAUUCAAAUAAGAGUUUUCAAGAAGAGUGAAUGAGGUAAAUAUUUCUUUUUCCUAAUAAUCAUUGAGACCAAACGAUAACAUUAAUGAUGACCUUGAUAUUUGUGGGUGUCGAAUAUUAACUUUCCUGAAAACAUAUAUUAUAAAUAAUAAAAUAUCUAAUAACAUAGUAAAAAAAAUCCAAGUUUUGGUUCCCCUAUAAUCGAGGGCCAAGUUUGCCUUUAACGAGGAUGAUGAGGAAAGUCUUGACGAUGUUGUGGAUAGCUCGGUUCAAGUUUAGGGUGCUUCUAAUAGUUUCUUCUAUUGUUCCAUCGACUGGGAAUCCUUCUUCUAUUAGUGUAGCUGCUGAUACAGUUACCUCUACUUCAAUAAGAGAUGAGACAAUACAGAUUGACUAGGUCAUGUUUAGUCUUUUUGUAAAACUUUGGUAUUUAAUGCAAACUUUAGCCCUUAUUUGGAUUCCCUGUUUAUGUUAUGCAUCCUUGCAUUUCUUUAUCAACUUAUUGUAUUGAUCUUGUGUAGCUUUUUCAAGCUUUUUUUUUUUACUACUUGGAAGAUGUAGGGAAUUUUAUUCUUUCCUUAUUUGUUGUAUUGUGCUCUUAGAUUAACUUAGUGAGAAGUACCCUUGGCUAAGUCUUUCAGAAGGCUAGUAGUUUUAUUUGCUAUUAAUUUAACGGGCAGUAUCCUUGGAGGGUCUGUGCUAAAUUAAUAGAGCAGAGGAUUUGUUUCACUACCUUUCUUAGUUGCAAUGUGACACCUCACACUCGAUUCGGACGGCAAAUUUAUAUAUAAAAUAUCACAUUCGUUAUCAAAGCAACUCAAACAAACAAAAAACUGACGUCAAAGCCAAAUCAAGAAGCAUAGUACAUAAUUCAUAAUUUCCAAAACGCUAAUAAUUAAUUUGUAACUUUUUUUAAUAUAGUUAAUUUAAUGACUAAUGCCGUAAUUAGUCUCACUUAAAAAGAGCCCACCACUUGACUUGAUGCAGAGGUCAAGAAAUAUCUCUAAAAAUGGGAAGCAAUAUAUGAUGUUUAUAGUUGAUAUUGUUCUAUGUAAGGGUGUUCAAAUGGUUGAUUGAUCAGUUAACUAAAUCGAGUUAGUAUUAAUUGACUUAAUCUAACUUUUUAAUCUUUAACUGUUAAUUAAAUCGAUUUUUUUUUCAAAAAAAUUAACCGAACAAAAAAUAUUUCAAUUAAUUCAAUUGGUUAACCAAAAUUUAUUUAUUUUUUGUUUAAAAUGAAUAUAAAACAUAUAAAAAAAUUGAUAAUGUUCAUUUGACUGAAUUAACCUAAUUAAUCAAAUUAGUAAUAGCCUAAUACAUAUGACAUAUAAUAUUAUUUAUUAAGUUUAGUUAAUUUGGUUAAUUGCUCGAUUUUGAACUGAAUUAAUCGUUAACUGAAAUUCCAAAAAUCAUUUAAUCGAUUUCUAACCAAAUUAGAUCAGUUAACUGAUCAAUUAACUGAAUUAAAUCAAUUAAUUUAAUUUUAACCGAAACUUAAACACCUUUUUUAACUCUAUGAAUGCCAAAAUCCAUAUAUAGACUUAUUUCGGAUGUUAGAAUUUUCCACCAAAAACCAAGUCUUUGUGGAAUUAAAGUUUUGUUGCUAAGACCCACUGGAUUUUUCAUAACCACUAUAAUUAGAUUAGAACUAUCUCUCCGCGUAUGCUCGAGUUUAAAAUUUUUUAAUUAAAUUUUAUUUAUCUAUUUUUUAAUUAUUAUAAUAUUAACAUAGAAAUUAAAAUUGUGAUUAUUGUUUAUAAUAGAAUAUAAAGUCUUAAAUUAUAAUGAUAACAUCAUGGAGAAAAUAUUUUAAUUUAAAAAAUGUAUAAAAUUUAUAUAUUAUCUCUUCAAUAAUUUAAAUUAUAAUGAUAAUUUUUAUAUGUUAAAAUUAAUAUAUUAUCUCUUUUACAAUUACAUAAAAAAUUAUAUUAAUAUAUAAAAAUGAUAAAUUAAAAGAAAUUCUCUUUUAAUUGUUUGCCAUUAGAUAUCUAGUGAACUGAUGCCACUAAUUUGACUCUCAAAAAAUGGAAGUUUGGGAAAGUUAAAGGUUGUUAAAUUAGACAAAAAGAAACAAGAAGCCAUGCCAAUAAUUCCGUUAACAAUUUAACCGGACCAAAGUAGAGCUAAAUGAUAACAUUAAUGAUGAAAUUAAAAGUUUUUUGUAGUUCAAUGACAAAACAAAAAUACGCUAAUAAUUGAGCCAUUCAUUGUGCAAUUUAGCCUUAAUUUAUUUUUGGAAGAAAUUGUAUUUAUGUGAUAAUAAUAAAUUUCAAAAAAAUUAUUUAUUUUGUCAAAAAUUUGUGAUUAUAAUCAUUUAAAUAUAUAUAAAAAAGUAUCCAACAAAUAUAUCAAAUUAUUGCAAUAAAAGGAUGAAGAAAUCAUAAUAUAACAAUACACCAAUUAGAAAUAACUUCAUUUCAAAUAUAAAUGAAAUUUAAUGAUGAAACCAAUUCUAUUAAAGACAAGGACUAAAUUAAAAAAAAUUAAAACCAAUUAUAGAUUAAGAUAUGAAUAUAUAAAUAGUGAAAAGUGUAAUCAUAAACUUUUAAAAUAAAAAUAUUCUAGAAAGCAAUUAUUUCUUCCACCCUCUUUUAUUUAUUAUAUUUUUAUAUUGAAUAUACUAUAUUUUUUUACUUGUUGAAAAGGUUACAAAGUUACAUAAAUUUCCUAAAAUCUUAUUGCACUUUUCCUAAGAUCCAAUACAGCAUGAUACACCAUUAAUUAUUAAAUUAUAGAUAAUCAAACAAGGUUAUAAUUUAGUCAUUAAUAUUUUCAAAAUUAUUUUUAUGGUGACCUGAUUAAGUGUAUGAUAACAAUUUUAUUCUUUGAUAUUUCUAUUAAUUUGACUCUGAUUCUAAAUAAAAAUUAUAAAUAAAUAAAUAAAAAGACAAUUUCAAAAACAGUAGUGAUCAAAUUGUAAUAUUUUUAGUUUAAUGAGUAAAACAAAACCUUAUCUAUAAUUAAUUUAACGGAUAUAUACCCUUUAUUUUUUGAAAGGAAUUAUCUUACUUAAAAAUAUCCCACCACUUGACUCACACAUACGUCAAGUAAGGAAAGCAAAAUUUGAUGUUUACUGUUGAUAUUAUUUUAUGAAUGCCAAAAUCCAUAUAUAGACUUAUUUCGAGUGUUUGAAUUUUCCACCAAAAACAAUGUCGCUGUUGAAUUAAAAUUUUGGUGCUAAGACCCACUGGAUUUUUCACAGCCACUCUUAUUGGACCAUAAUUAUCUCUUCACGUAUGCUGGGGUUUAAAUUUUUUUAAUUCAUAAAUAAACAGAGAUAAUAAAGAACAAAGAAUAUGAGAGAACAAAAGAGAGUGUGUUCUUUAUUGAUCAAUUAGAAUAUCUACAAAACUUCUUCAAAAUCUCUAUUUAUAGGUAUAAAAAGUAUAAAUGAAGUAGAAAUCUCUUGAUGACUAUUAAAAUUUAAAGUACAUCAAAAAUUUUCUCGAUCUUAAUGGAUAUCAGUUUAAUAAUAUAUCCAUAACAUUUAUUUAUUUUUAAAAAUUAUUAUAAUAUUAACAUAGAAAUUAUAUUUGUGAUUAUUGUUUAUAAUAUAAUAUAAUAUAAAUGAUAACAUCAUGGAGAAAAAUAUUUUAAUUUAAAAAUUGUAUAAAAUUUAUAUAUUAUUUCUUCAAUAAUUGAAAUUAUAAUGAUAAUUUUUAUAUAUUAAAUUUAAAAUAUAUAUAUAUAUAUUUAAUCUUCCUUUAAACGAAAUAAAUUACUUGUUGAGUUAUUGCAUUUAUUCUAUGAAUUAAUUUUAAAUUUUAUUUGUCAAUCUUCACAAAAUUAUUAGACACUUUGAGCAAUUUAGAAAAUCAUUUAAAAGUAGAGAAAUUCCAUUGAAGAAUGAUACUUUUGAUUAUUGAAAAUAUCUACUUUAUUAUCAGAUGGAUGAUAUUUUAAAAACUUUUCUUAAAAGAGUGACCCCUCAACUAAUAGAACAAUAAUUUGAAACAGUGGUCUGGGGUGAUUGAAUUUUGUACAUUGAAAACGAGGGUAGAAGACAAUUGCUUUCUUGUCACUAUUGCUACAAAUGCCAUUGAAUUUCCACAAGAAAUUUAUCCCAUAUUUAGUUAAGGGAACCUCACUUGACUUGACACAUGACACAAGUCAAGAUAUAUCUCUGAAUGUAAGUAUUAUACAUUUUUAUUUUUUUCUAUUAUAUCAAGUAAAUUUUUUUUAUAUUUAUGCCAUGUAAUUAUAUUAUGCAGUAAAACGUACAAGUCUAAUUCAUAAUGACUUUCGAUAUUGCCUCACGUAUCAUCAUGAAUAUGCUAUUUUUGUAUUAUCCUUGUUUUCAAGGCAAUAUAUAUUUAUAUCAAUUUUGUUUUAGGUAGAUUUUAACAUGUUUUUUUAUUCAUCUCAAGUACAUUUUUUUUAAUUUUUUUUCAUAUUUUAGUUAUUGAAUGUUGGGCUUAAAAUAUUAUAAACAUUCCUAAUUAUAUAUUAAUUUUACAUUAAGUUUUAACAGAUAAAUUUAGCAUUAUUAUAUUAUAUUAUAAUAAAUUUCUUAGGUCAAAAUUAUCUUUGAUUUUUUAUCCAAUUAGAUAUUCCUACACUUUUUUUUUUAUUUCUAAUAACAAAUUCAAAAUUAUCUAUAUCUAUCUAUAGUACAAACUAGCUCUUAAGAGAGUUUUAAGAGUAAAUGGGUUGAUAAUAGUGUUUUCAAUUUUAUACAUAUUCACAAUUUUUAUCUUUAAAGGUGUCAAGGUUCGUUUAUUUAUUUUCAUAUAAUUAUGUUCAUUUAUCUUCAUACCAGGCUUUCUUGCAGGCUUACGAUUACAAUGUCGGCUGCAGGCUGCAGGAUAGGAUUAUGAGUGUAACACCCUAAACUCGGCCUAGACGUUAUAGCCGUAUCUGGCAAUGUCACAUGAUAGUGUUUUUGAAACCUCGUUGCUACGAUGAAAACAUUCCAUGUUAUUAUCUUUAGUAAACCUUUGUUAGAACUUAGGAAGUCGUCUUUAUUCAUUUAAAACAUUUGUUUUGAAACAUCCCUCGUUGCGGAAGCUUUAAUAAAACAAUCUAGGUGAUCAUGCGUUUAGAAAAUAUAACUUUUUGAAAACCGAAUUUUCUACGACCAGCAGGUAUAAAUCCAUAAAGUAAAAUAAAUAAAUAAAAACUCAAAUUUAAAACCAAAGUCCCAGAGGGUCCUUAAAUUACAACCCAAAUAAUCAAUAAUAAUCAAAUCGUAAAUCGUAAAUUGAAAAUCAUGAAGUCCAAAAAUUACUGUGGUCACCGCUGAGUCCUCCAUCGCACCGAUUCAUCUAAGUCUAGGGAUUACCUGUGCAUAUUAAACAAAAAGGGUGAGUUUACGUAAACUCAAUGUGUAAUCCCAUAGAAACAAACAAACAAUCAAUAUUCAUAGUGCACAAUUGAACAAUCUUGGGCCUAAGCCCUUUUCAGUAUCAGUGACAGUUUGGGUAUUAGCCUAUCUCAAUACAGUGUCAAAAAUGCAAUAGGGCCUUAGCCCAUUACAGUAUUAGUAGCAGUAACAGUUAUGCAGUAGCUAAAUCCUACCUAACCAGCCUCUACACACCAUCUCCGUCCAACCCUACACUCCAUGUGGGGAUAUAAUCAACCCACCCAUCCCUACACUCCAAGUAGUACCGAAUGCGGCACAAAACAGUAGUUUGCAAUUGAGCUGUCAGUAAAUCAAGCUAAAAGCCUUUCAGUACACUUCUUCCGAAUAACAACCCCCAAUCCAAUGCAAUGCAACAUACAAUGGAUGACAUGCUAUUAUGCAAUUUCAGUACAUAUAUUCAAUUCAAAUAUUAACAUACUCAGUACAGAUAUCAUUCAGUCAAUUUCACACAUUUAGGGAUGUAAGUAACGCUUACCAACCCUACAGUAGGUUCACAGUCGACUUGGGUGACCCGUGCAACCUUAGAAACAUUUCAAUGAAAAUGGGCUCAUACACCCAUGUGAUCUGCCCCUAUGGGCCCACACGCUCGGCUCAAAUUGGCCUUGGUCGUGUGAUCCAUUUUUAAUGUAACCCAUGCUAGCUAAAUAUUCAUAUAUGUUUUCACUAUUUACUUAUAUGUUCAUUCAAAGUUGUCUACUUGAGUCAUUGUCACUAAAUUAUUUAUAUCUUGAGUUACGAAAUUCCAAAUUAAGAUCCACUUGAUGUUUUUGAAACUAGACUCAAAUACCUUUCUACCAUAAAAUUUUCAGAAUUUAUAGUUUAUCAAAUAAGUACAUUAAAGUAUUCAAAUUUAUCCCUAUUCUGCUAUUUGACAGCUUCAACCUUUCCUUACUAAAAAUUAUUUAUCUCUUAGUACGGAAUUUGGAUGAUGUUUCUGUUUAUUUCUCUUGAAAAUAGACUCAUUAAGGAUUUAAACAUAUAAAUUUAAGCACUUAAUUAUUAUUUUUUCAAUUUUUGAUGAUUUUCCAAAGUCAAAAUAGGGGAACCCGAAAUCAUUCUGACAUUGUCUCACAAAAUUUAUUAUAUCUCAUAAUUUACAAUUCAAUUGCUUACACUGUUUCUUCCAUGAAAAGCUAGACUCAAUAAAAUUUAAUUUCAUAUUUUAUUCAACCUCUAACUCAAUUUCCGCUUAUUUUGAUGAUUUUAGAAAGUUAGACUACUGCUGCUAUUCAAAACUAUUUUAGUGCAAAAUGUUGAUUUCCAAGUUUAUAACACCCUUAUUUCCUUUCUCUAUAAUUUUUCGCAUCAUUUUCCCUUAUUUCUCUUAUUUCUCAACAGCAAGCAAUUUUGACUUUUCACCGAAUCCUAUUUUCUGCGUUUCGGGUACACACCUGGUAUCGUUUCGCUGCAAAUACGCUCCCAAGCACUCCAAGACUUAAAAAUCGAUAAUUAGAGCCCAAUUUAGAUCACUAACGAAAACUCAAAACUAAAUAUCGUCUACAUCAAAAUCGAUAGCGAACCUAAACACUUAUCGGCAAUGAACUGAAAUUUCUAACGCUCAAUUUGCUUGUGAAGCCGCAACUGAUUUCUGAUUUUCUCCUAAACCAAUAGAGCCAAAACAAUCCUUUUUAGGAACUAGAUAAGAAACGGUAAAAUAGAGACAGUCAGAUUCUUACAGAACCAGUGUAUACAAUUGCUAGUUGGAAAGUAGGCUAGUAAAAAAAUCUAACAGAGAGUGUGGGCUAGGGAACAAAAAUUUGGCAAAACAAAGAAGAAGAGGACGGUAGAAAAAUUGGGGAAAAGAGGAGAAUGCCGAAAUUUAGGAAAAAUAAAAACCAAAUAGAAACUUAGAUGAUAUUGAUAACUACCCCACAUCCCUAAAUUUUCUCCCACUAAUCCUACUAACCUGCAACCACUCCAGAAUCCCACUCUGUCAAAAUACUUGUCCAUCACUGUGCAAAAAUAACGCCUACGCUCCAGCAUGGAUUCACACUCAGGACCUCAUACAUCAAGCACUCCACUUAACCACUAUACCAGCAGACCCAUUCUAUUAUUUAAUUGCCAACUAUUAAACUUAAGCUUUUUAGGCCAGGUUAAGGCUUUAUUUAUAAAAAUACUAAUAUUUGCCCAAGUCAUGGCUUGAACUUGGGACCUUCCACACACACCCAAAGCACUUAACCAUUGAAGCAUACAAGUACUUAUGUCACAUAUACACAAAAACAAGAAUUAAAAACUUUGGUGCGAGAAAAUUUCAUCCUCGAAAUUUACCUGAUCAGAACGAAUAAGGAUACUGCUGACACAUUGCAUCCUUAGGCUCCCACGUUGCCUCAUUAGUACAAUGGUUACGCCACAGAAUCUUCACCAGAGGGAUAGAUUUCCUCCUCAUAACAUUUACCUCUCGAUCCAGUAUCUGAAUCAGCUCCUCCUCAAAGGUCAAAUCUGGCCUAAGCUUAAUCUCCUCCACUAGAACAAUAUGUGUAGGAUCAGAGAGGUAGCACCUCAACAUAGAGACGUGAAACACGUCAAGAAUCUGAUCCAAAUCUAGAGGCAGCUCCAAUUGAUAAGUGACCAGUCUCACUCGUUUCAGAAACCUAGAGCUCAACUUGCCCUUACGACCAAACCUCAGAAUCUUCUUCCAUGGCAAGACCUUGAGGAACAUGAAGUCCCCCACGGAAUACUCAAUCUCUCGACGCUUUAGACCCGCAUAGGAUUUAUGUCUAUCUGAUGGCAUUUUCAAAUGAUCCCGAAUCAGUCUAACCUUAUCUUUAGUCUCCAAUACUAACUCAGGACCCAUAACACGUAGCUCGCCCAACUCAGUCUAACAUAAAUGAGUGUGACACUUACGACCAUACAGUGCCUCGUAAGGUGUCAUCCAGAUGCUAGACUGAAAACUGUUAUAAUAGGCGAACUCCGCUAGCGGCAGAUAAUCCUACCAACUGCCUCGAUAAUCAAUAGCACAGCUUUUGAAUUUGAGCCUUAAGCUCCACAAGCUCCUUCGGUGCCAUUCGAUAGGGAGCGAUGGACACCAGAGCUGUACCUAGAAGUAGCUCAAUCCCAAAUUCUAACUCGUGAUUCGGAGGUAACCCAGGUAGCUCUUAAGAAAAGACGUCCGAAAAAUUCUUUACCGUUCUGAUAUAUUUAAUUGUAGAAUCCUUAGAAUCCAAAACACUUACGUAAGCCAAGAAUGCCUCACAUCCCUUACGGACCAUUUUCUCUGCCACCAGUACAAAGAUCACAUUAGAUAAGUAAUUCUGGCGUUCUCCAAUCAUGACUACCUCAUUAUCCUUCUCAGUCCUUAGUACGACCAUCUUAGUCGCACGUCCCUAUACAGUUUGCUAACUCUAACAGAUUGCCUUAACGGGCUCAGUACCAUAACUUCACUCGUAGUGCUCUCAACUGGAAUCCCCAAGUUUCUAGAUAUGUUGCUAGCUAUGUAUGAGUGAGUAGACCCUAUGUCUAUCAAGACAAUAUACAGUGCAUCAAGAAUAAAGAACGUACUCGUGAUGACGUCCGGAGCAUCUCCAUCCUCUCGGUGACAAGCAGCAUAAACUAGGGCCGACUGCCUUACCUCAGCCUAUCCAGCACGUCUGCUCCGGUGCUCUCUGCCUACGACCCAUACCAUUACCACCUCUGGCCAGUCUACGGCCCCUUGGUGGUUGCUGUACUACCCUUUAUGGCUAUGUCGUACCAGUACCUGAAGCUUACAUCUGAUCGGCCCUUAACAAACACUCCAUACGGUGCUCUAAUGACCCACACCGCAAGCACACCUCAGUCUUUCUCCAACACUCGCCCUUUUUCUUAGGCCUCUGUGCAGAACUCGAGGGCUCUAAAUCCCUCUUGUUCUUACCCCUCUCGUGGUAACGGUUCUGGCACUCAAUGCGCCUAACUUCUUCGGUGAUCUUCGCCUUCUCCACUAAUGCAAAAAAAUCACGCUCCCUCUGCGGAGCUAUCAAGACUCUCAAAUUAUCUCUGAGCCCAUCCUCAAAAUGAAUACAUAGCUCAAACUCAGAUGCCACCAUACCUCGUGCAUAGUGGCUCAAUCACAGGAACUCAGCCUCAUACUCAGCCACUAAUCGAUUUUUCUGAGUUAAAUUCAAGAAUUCCCUCCUACGGCCAUCCACGUAGCUCGCCCCCACAUAUUUUCCCUGGAAUGCAGUUUUAAAGAACUCCCAGGUCAAACGUUUGGGCUGAGUACCCUUCUUAACAAUGAGCCAUCACUGAUAAGCCUCAUCCCUCACCAGUGAGACUGCACCAUUUAAUUUCUGCUCUAGGGUGCAGUCUAAGUCAUCCAUGAUCCUCUCCGUGGCCUCAAUCCAGUACUCGACAACAUUAGGGGCAACUCUAGUGACACCCCUGAAAAGCUCAGCUCCAUUGGACCAGAGUCGUUCCGUAUCCGACCCUCGGACCCCUAAUCCAGUAUUGAGCCUAGCGACCCUCUUCAAAAUCUUUAGCAUAUCUUGGGAUAAUGCGUCGUCCUCAACCAUGCGAUCUUGAGACCCAAUCUCAGUAGCAGGCGACACUAGUGUCUCACUAGGAUCCAAAUUUGGUAUGCUACCCAGUGAAGAGGACUCAGAUAGAGCUCCUCUGCGACCUCUACCUCGACCUCUAGUACCCGAUCCGCAGAUACAUCGUAUGCUCAUUGUCUAAUCACGUUUAUCUAUAUUAACAGUUUUAUGAAUCAGUUUCAGUUUCAGUAUUUAUUAACAAAUGUUUUAUGUAAAACAGUAUCGAUUAUUCAGAGUUCGUUUUGUAAAUCGCAGUAUCACUACAGUUUUCAGUUUCUCGACAAUUUUCAGUAUACACUAACUAGAGUGUUUUCAGUACAGUUUACUACCUAUAGUAGAUUCAGAAUAUACUAUCCAUAACAGUUUUAGUUUAAAAUAAAUCACAGUUCAAAAUACUUACAUGAUCGACACUAGAGACUCGGUGUACCACUUACUUACAAACAUUUCAAAACAUUUACAAAUCAAUCACUUUUUCGAAAGCCCAAUUUUUAUAAAACUCAUAAUCCACUAUCGAUUUUUGUAACCUGGCUCUGAUACCACUAAAUGUAACACCCUAAAAUCGGCCUAGACGUUAUGGUUGUAUCUGGUAAUGUCACACGAUAGUGUUUUUGAAACCUCGUUGUUACGAUGAAAACAUUCCAUGUUAUUAUCUUUAGUAAACCUUUGUUAGAACUUAGGAAGUCUUCUUUAUUCAUUUAAAACAUCCCUCGUUGCAGAAGCUUUAAUAAAACAGUCUAGGUGAUCAUGCGUUUAGAAAAUACUUUAACUUUUUGAAAACUGAAUUUCCUACGACCAGCAAGUAUAAAUCUAUAAAGUAAAGUAAAAUAAAUAAAUAAAAACCCAAAUUUAAACCCAAAGUCCCACAAGGGUCCUCAAAUUACAACCCAAAUAAUCAAUAAUAAUCAAAUCAUAAAUCGUAAAUUGAAAACCAUGAAGUCAAAAAAUUACUGUGGUCACCGCUGAGCCCUUCGUCGCACCGAUCCGUCUAAGUUUGGGAUUACCUGUGCACAUUAAACAAAAAGGGUGAGUGUACGUAAACUCAGUGUGUAAUAUCGUAGAAAUAAACAAACAAUCAGUAUUCACAAUACACAGUUCAACAGUCUUGGGCCUAAGCCCUUUUCAGUAUUAGUGACAGUUUAGGCCUUAGCCCAUCUCAGUACAGUGUUAAAAAUACAAUAGGGCCUUAGCCCAUCACAGUAUCAGUAGCAGUAAGAAUUAUACGGUAGCAAAAUCCUACCCAACCAGCCUCUAUUCACCAUUUUCGUCCAACCCUACACUCCAUGUGGGGAUAUAAUCAACCACCCAUCCCUACACUCUAAGUAGUACCGAAUGCGGCACAAAACAGUAGUUUGCAGCUAAACUGCUAGUAAAUUAGGCUAAAAGCCUUUCAGUACACUUCCUCCGAAUAACAACCCCUAACCUAAUGCAAUGCAACAAACAACAGAUGACAUGCUAUUAUGCAAUUUCAAUACAUAUAUUCACUUCAAAUGUUAACAUGCUCAGUACAUAUAUCAUUCAGUCAAUUUCACACAUUUAGGUGUCUAAGAAGUGCUUACCGACCCUACAGUAGGUUCACAGUCGACUUGGGCGACCCAUGCAGCCUUAAAAACAUUUCGGUGAAAAUGGGCUCACAUGCCAAUGUGAUCUACUUGUGUGAUCCCUUUUUAAUGUAACCCAUGCUAGCUAAAUAUUCAUAUAUGUUUUCACUAUUUACUUAUAUGUUCAUUCAAAAUUGUCUACUUGAGUCAUUGUUACUAAAUUAUUUAUAUAUUUAGUUACAGAAUUCCAAAUUAAGAUUCGCUUGAUGUUUUUGAAACUAGACUCGAAUACCUUUCUACCAUAAAAAUUUCAGAAUUUAUAGUUAAUCAAAUAAGUACAAUAAAAUCUUCAAAUUUAUCCUUCUUUUGUUGUUUGACAACUUCAACCUUUCCUUACUAAAAAUUAUUUAUCUCUUAGUACGGAAUUUGGAUGAUGUUUCUAUUUGUUUCUAUUGAAAAUAGAUUCCUUAAAGAUUUAAAAAAAAUUAAUCCCAUAAUUAUUUUUUAAAAAUUUUUGGUGAUUUUCCAAAGUUAGAACAGGGGAACCCAAAAUCAUUCUGAUAUUAUCUCACAAAAUUUAUUAUAUCUCAUAAUUUACAAUUCUAUUGCUUACACUGUUUCUAACAUGAAAAACUAGACUCAAUAAAAUUUAAUUUCAUAUUUGAUUCAACCUCUAACUCAAUUUCCACUAAUUUUGAUGGUUUUUCAAAGUUAGACUACUGCUGCUAUUCAAAACUAUUUUAGUGCAAAAUGUUGAUUUCCAAGUUUAUAACACCCUUAUUUCCUUUCUCUACAAUUUUUCGCAUCAUUUUCACUUAUUUCUCUUAUGUCUCGACAGCAAACAAUUUCAACUUUUCACCGAAUCCCAUUUUCUGCGUUUCAAGUACACAACUGGUAUCAUUUUGCUACAAAUACGCUCCCAAGCACUCCAAGACCUAAAAAUUGGUAAUUAGAGCCCAAUUUAGAUCACUAACUAAAACUCAAAACUGAAAAUCGUCUACAUCGAAAUCAAUAGCGAACCUAAACACUUACCUGCAACGAACCAAAAUUUCUAAUGCUCAAUUUUCUUGUGAAGCCGCAACUGAUUUCUGAUUUUCGCCUAAACCAAAAGAGCCAAAUCAAUAUUUUUUAUAAACUAGCUAAGAAGCGAUAAAAUAGAGAAAGUCAGAUACUUACAGAACGAGUAUAUCCAAUUUCUGGCUCGAAAGUAGGCUAGUAGAAAAAUCAAAUAAUGAGGGUGGACUAGGGAGCAAAAAUUCGACAAAGCAAAGAAGAAGAGGACGAUAGAAAAAUUGGGGAGAAGAGGAGAAUGUCGAAAUUUGGGAAAAAUGAAAACCAAAUAGAAACUUAGAUGAUAGCUACCCCACAUCCUUAAAUUUUUUCCCACUAAUCCUACUAACCUACAACCACUCCAGAAUCCCACUCUGCCGAAAUACUUGUCCAUCACUGCGCAAAAAUAAUGCCUACGCUCGAACAUGGAUUCAAAAUCAGGACCUCAUGCAAUCAAACACUCCACUUAACCACUAGACCAGCAAACCCGUUUUGUUAUUUAAUUACCAACUUUUAAACUUAAGCCCUUUAGGCUAUGUUAAGGCUUUAUUUAUAAAAGUACUAAAAUUUACCCAAGUCAUGGCUUGAACUUGGGACCUCUCACAAACACCCAGAGCACUUAACCAUUAAAGCAAACAAAUACUUAUAUCACAUAUACACAAAAACAAAAAUUAAAAAUUUUGGGGCGUUACAAUGAGAAGGAAAAACUUAACGAAAGGAAUUGAAGUUUCUUGGGGCUACCUUUGUAGAAAUAAGAGAUCAACAAAGUUUCUUGGAAUUGAAGUUACAGUUUCAAACUGUAUUAUUAGCUUUUAUGUAGUACAACAUCAAGAUCAAUGUCCAUCAUCUUAGGUACUUUUUUAUUUGUUUACUUUUGUUCAUUGAGUUGAAUGUUAGUGGUAUACAUUUCAGCUAAAUGUUGUGUAUUUUAAUUGUUGGAUCGAUUUUUGUAGUGAAUAUUAAAUCUUUAUUUUAAUUUUAAUUUUAAUUUUAUAUUUUUUGUUGUAUUUAAAGUACAAUUCCUAUCAUUAUUCACUGUAAAUAUUUAUAAAAAUAUAUUAAUAUUGAAAUAAUAAAAAUUAGAAAAAAUUACACUAUACGUGUCUAUCCCAAUUUUUUUAAGGUUACCUUAGACGGGUUUAUCUCAACCUUUUUUAAAGGUUGCCUUAGACAAGAUUUAUCUCAACCUUUUUAAGGUUGCCUUAGACGGGUCUAUCCCAACCUUUUUUAAAGGUUGCGUUAGACAUGGUCUAUCCCAACCUGUUUAAGGUUGCCUUAGAUAGGUCUAUCCCAACCUUUUUUUAUAAGUUGUCUUAGACAAAGUCUAUCCCAACCUUUUUAAGGUUGCCUUAGACGGCUCUAUCCAAACUGUUUUUAAAAGUUGCCUUAGACAAGAACUAUAUCAACCUUUUUAAGGUUGCCUUAGACAGGUCUAUCUCAACCUUUUUCAAAGGUUGGCCUUAACUAGGUCUAUCCCAACCCUUUUUAAAGGUUGGCCUUGACUAGGCCUUUCCCAACCCUUCAAUAAGGGUCGGCUUAUGUUGACUUAUGCCGACGCUUUUUUAAAAGUGUCGUGGAGCCUACGCCAACUGUAUUAUAGACAACCUUUUUUGGUAAUUAAUUUUGUAGUAUAUAGUCGAUCCAACACUGGCUUAUAUCUAAGCAAAGUGCAUGCAUCAACUACAACAUUUUUUCUCCGAUUACCUUCUCUUUUCUUCUAUCAUUCUAGAGUGUAAACAAUUCACUCAAAGCCAAACAAUUUAAUAGAAUUGUCUAACCAUGUGUAUUGCUGCUUUCAUUUGGCAAGCUCAUCCACUCUACCCUCUUCUGCUUUUACAAAACAGAGAUGAAUACCACAACAGGUAUGUUUCCAUUUCACUUCAAUCAUUCUUCUCUUGAAAAUAUAUUUAUCUUAUUAAUAUAUAUGGGUGGAAUUGAAGGCCUAUGAAGGCACUUGCAUGGUGGGAUGUUGAUGGUUGUGAGAUAUUAGGAGGAAGAGAUGAAGUAGCAGGAGGGACAUAGUUGGCUUGUUCAAGACAAGGCAGAGUUGCUUUUCUCACCAAUGUGUUGGAGCUUCAUCCCCGUCCCGGCGCCAAGACCCGCGGUGAUCUUCCACUUCUUUUUCUGGAGGUAAAUAAAUCUAUAUGCCUUUUUUUUCUUCUUUUUAUUUGGUUGAAGCCAGCUCACCUAUCAAAAACGGUGGUCAUUCAUUAAAAGUAAACACACUGUUGUUGAUACAGAGCACAAAGAGCCCUAUGGAAUUUGCGGAGCAACUGGCCACCGAUGCUCAUCAGUACAAUGGAUUUAACCUUAUAGUGGCUGAUAUUCAUUCCAAAUCAAAGGUUUACAUCUCGAAUAGGCCAAAGGGGGAACCCAUCGACAUUCAAUAGGUUUCUCCGGGGAUUCAUGUUCUUUCAAAUGCCAAGCUUGACUCUCCCUGGCAUAAGGUACAUUAACUUGUGUCAUGUGUUAUAUUCCUAUAAAGUUAUGCCCAAAGGCAGAUGGACGCUAGAGAAUUGAUUCAUCCACUCCCAUUGUGCAGGCUCAGCGGCUAGGUAAAGGCUUCAAACAGAUGCUCAAUAGAUACGGUAAAAAUGAAGUAAACGUGAAAGAAAUGGUUGAGAAACUUAUGAAAGAUAAAGUGAAAGCUAAUAAAAGUAAGUUACCUGGCAUAUGUGCUCUCGACAUGGAGUUCAUCCUUAGUUCCAUAUUUGUUGAAAUGGACACCCCACUAGUAAAAUUCCAAGUUCUAAACCAUCCUCCUACUAAAAUUUAUGUAGAACAAUGUUGAAGCCAAUCAAAAUUGUGGUUGUUUCAACUUACAUAUCCAUCUAUUUUCUGGAAUACAGGGGCUUUAUGGAACAAGGAGUACUGCAGCAAUGACCGUAGGUGCUGGUGGGGAAAUUAGCUUUUAUGACGAGUAUCUAGAAAAGGGUGUGUGGUUUGAGAGAACUGUCAAUUAUCAUUGUAAUACCCUAUUUUGGCCCGGGUCUAAAAGUCCCAAACUAUAACGGGCCUAUAGGGCCCAAACCCCAAAACAGGACAGGAGCUCAAUGUUUCCAGCGCAGAGGAAACCCUAGGGAUCCUUUCACGUUCACGCCGCAGCUCUGCAUGAUCUUCACCUGCGCCAAAGAAAGGAAACACAGCAAAUAAACCACAAAAAUGGCAAGGAAAUCAAAAUUGCAAAUCAAAUAGAUAUUAAGCAGACUUGUUUCUUUAUCUUUUUUAUUAUUAGGGUUAUAAAAGGACCAUUGAAACACUGUAAAAGGGAUCCGAAAAAAUCAAUAAGAAAAGCAAGUAUUUUACACAGCAAAAAGGAAGAAUACAAACGGGGAAAAAUCAAUCGAAAGAACCGAAGGUUGAUUUUUAUUUCAAACCUCUGCCUCUGUUUUCUUUUUAGAUUUACAUUUUUUUGCGUACUGUAAUAAAUAAAAGCAAAAUAUAAAAGAAAAAGGGUGAAGGAGCUCAUCUAGGUUUGGAUCUGCGACGCCGUGGGGAUGAGGGAGCCACCCCCGAGGGUCGGUGGCCAGAAACCGAGAGGUUUCUUGAAUCCAUUGCAGGUUUUGUUUAUUUUUUGGGGAUUUUGAACCCGGAUUCAAGCUUAGACUUUAGAGAAGUCGAGAAGCCAAUCAAAAUGGCGCCGUUUGGAAGGAGGUAGGAUCCACGCGUCAACCUGACCCGGACCCAGGAUCCGCGUGUUUUUAUGCGGAGGGGCAAAUUGCGCUUUUAGCCCCUCCGCCUUUUAAUGUUUUUGAAAUUGAGUUUUUUUUGUUACUUUUCAAAUUCACCCCUUUAUUUAUUUUCAAUUUCAAUUUCGUCCUGAUGGAAUGAAACCAGUUAGAGGAGAAGGGAAAAUUGCCCUUCUAGCCCCUCUGAUUUAUUAGCGUGUUCAAUAAGGUCCUCCGAUCUUUAUCUAUUUGCAGAUUUACCCCAGAUUUUAACAAUGUAAUUAUUUUUUAUUUAUUUUUUUCAUAUGUAAAUUUUUUUUAUCUAUAUAUGUACAUGUAUUUUUUAGGUACAUAUUUAUUUAUUUUUUAAAACUAAUAUUUUUCUCAUAUUUAUAUAUAUACACAUAUUUAUUUUUUUAUAUAUUUUUUUUAAUUUUUGAUAAUGUAGAUAUCAUUUAAUUAUUUUUAAUCUAUAUAUAUUGUAUAUGUGCNNNNNNNNNNNNNNNNNNNNNNNNNNNNNNNNNNNNNNNNNNNNNNNNNNNNNNNNNNNNNNNNNNNNNNNNNNNNNNNNNNNNNNNNNNNNNNNNNNNNCUCUCUCUCUCUCUCUCUAUAUAUAUAUAUAUAUAUGUAUAUAUAUUUCUAUACUCUUCUUUAUUUUCACAAAUAUGUAUUUUGUAUAUAUAAAUUUUUAUAAUCUAAAUUUUAUAUAUAAAUUCAUGUGUAUUCUUCAUAGUUUUAAUGUAUAUGUCAUGUACCUUUUUUUCUUUAUAUUUUUGUUUAUUUAUUUAUUUAUUUAUUUAUGUUUUCAUUAUUUUUAUUUAUCUUGCUCGUUUAUUUAAUACUUUGUAUGUCAUUAACUUUUUUUUCUCCCUUAUGUAUAUUUGUUUCGUUUAUUUAUUUGUUUAUAUUAUUUCUAUGCCAUUAUCAUAUUUAUUAUUGUUGUAUUUGUUAUUGUGACAUUUAUACAUACAACAUAACAUUGCAUCACCUUUUUACUCGAUUUUAAAAAUAGAACUUUUCAAACUAGGGAUAAUACUCGUAUUUAGGAUUUUCAAGAAAAUUAAGCCCUAACGUAUUGGGUUCCGAUUUUUUUUGUAAAAUCUAACUGUCGAAACCAUUUUUUGAAAUUUGAAAAAUGGGUAUCGAUUUUGAAAAUAGAAAACUCUGGGAGUCGCCAUCGAUCUUUUAUUAAAGUAUGAUCGGUUCACCAUUAAAAAUAAAAUUUAGGUCUGCGAGAUUUGAAAAAACGGGUUUGGGAGUCGGUUACGCACGAGGAAGGGUUAGUACCCUCGUGACGCCCAAAAUUGGUACCGAAUUGAUUGUUUAAUGUUUUAAUGUCGAAAUUUUGAAAAGAUUUUAAAAUACGAUCCUUUUAUCUUGAAGUUAAAUUUGAUUUUUAAAACUAUGCAUUUUGAGGAGGGUAUCUGAUUAUUUGGGCCAAAAGAGAAUAUCAAAACCCAGUAAGUUAAGGUUUGAUUUCACCAAAUUCCCAAAUACCGAACAUUGCCUUUAUUUUAAAAUCAUCGUCUCGAGAAAAUAACAUGUCAUAUCCAAUGCGUUAGGACACAACGAGUUGAAUUCCCGAGAAUGGGUUCUUAUUUGAAAUUUGUAUGUUUAACAAAAUUUCGAUUAUUUAGAUCCAACGAGAAAAAUAAACCCAAUACGUUAGGGCUCAAUUCUCCCGAGGAUCGCAAACACCAAGUAAUUUGAAAAAUUUCGAAAUAAAAUGAUUUUUAUGCUUUAAUAAAAUUCAACUCUUAUAAGUGGAACAUGAUUGAAUAAUGAUACAUAUAAUGUAAAAGAUAAAUAACAAUUUAGUUUUAAACUAGAAGCAAUUAAACAAAAAAAAAUAGGCAAAUAAAAAUAUUGGCUUUAAUCAUUUAAAAAGCAUAAAAAUGAAGAAUAAAAAUAAACAACUUAAAAUUAAUAUCUACAUUCUAAUUAUAUAAGUAAAACCUAAUAAAAAAUAAUAUAUACAUAGUGAUAAUACAUGAAAGUUAAAUAAAUAAAAUAAAAUAACAAAUUUAAAAGGAAUAAGGUUUAUGUGCACAAAAAAAAAUAUUUGAAAAUAAUAAUAUAUUAUUAUAUAUACGUACAUAUGCUAGAAACAAAUUAUAUAUGCAUAUAUAAAAAUAUAAAGUAUUAUCAUUGAAAAUUUUGAGAUUAAUUAUAUAUAUACAUGUACAUGAACAAAAACAAAAAGAGGGUAUGUAUAGAUUAUAUUAAGAUAAUAUCUGAAAACAUAAAAUAAAAUUAAGUAAUGAAUACAUAAAUAAUAUUAUAUAAUAAAAGAAUUUAUAUAAAAAUUAGAUUAACUAAUAUACACAUAUAUACAUAUAUAUAUACUAUUACAUAUAAUAACAACAAAUGAAAUUAAUGAUAAUAAAUUAGUUAAUUUAAUGAGAAUGGAUCUAUUUUGAAUCCGAACAAAAGUCUAUGGGUUGAUUUGAAAUAUGCAUGCAAACGACUGAAUUGAAAACCUUUUAACAACAAAGGGAUUUUUAUUAAAGCAAUUUAACGCAAAAAUCUUCUCUGACAUGUAGAUUUGGAUAUUCAAAACGGUGCCGUUCAGCAUGGAUCCAAUCGAAAUCGAGACCAAAUGCGCAAUACAAAUUAAAAAAUAAUGAAAAUCAAAUUUGAAACAACAUAAAACGCAGAGGGACUCAUUGCGCAAAUAGACCAGAAAGAUAGAACGCACGGAUCCUCCCCGGUUCGGGUCACACACGCGGGUCAAGCUCAAUACGACACCGUUUUGGUGGCCACUGACUCAGGCCCCCAAACGCCGUCGUUUCGACACCCCACAAGAGCUAAACUUAAAACCCUAAACAGUGUUAUUCAGCCACUAAGACACAACAGAGGAAGCUUGCUUCUCCCCCCUCCCUUACACCGCUCAGAAAAGGUUGGCUCAGAGGACUUUGAACCGUCGUCCGACCCGAUCGCGACGGAGCAAAUGAUGAUCCGGCCAAACAGGUAAAUCCCCUCACCCUCUCACCUUAUUUUCUCUCUUAUUACCCUCUUGCUAACGAAUAAAAGAGCCAAGAAAAAGAAAAAAGAAAUGCGAAGAAAAAAAUGAAGAAAUCACCUUAAAAAAAACUAUGUUUUUCUAUUGAUAUUAUGUAUGAUCCAACAUGCGUGUUCUUUUUUACAGAUUCUCCAAAUAGCUUUAUAGCCGAAUCAAAAUAAAAUAAAAAUCCAUCAUUUUUCCUAUUUUUCUACUAUUCUGCUUUUUCUUUUGCGUUCUGUCUCUGCUUGUUUUGCAGGCGUUUGUUGCGAGUGCAGGUACGGAGGUGUGCGGGUUUGGUGUGUGCAGAGGAGUGCGGCGUGGCUCAGCUCGGAGGCGGCUGAAGCUUGGCACGCGCGAACAAGGAGAGCCGCUGUGGCACUGGGGCGUGCGGCUAGGGUUCGUGGGGCCGAGGGAAGGCUGGAGGCGCUUGUGGGGUUGCAGAAACCCUAGGUGUUUCUGCUCUCGGGUUGGGAUUUGGGCUGAUUGAGCUUUCUGGAUAUUGGGUUAUAGGUUAGUGGGUUUGGGUUUUAGUUGGGUCUUUUGGGUUAGUGAUUUGGGCCAUGUAUUUGGGUCUGGUUUGUUUUUUGUUUGUAAUCUGGACAUUAUUUUUUGGACCAUUAUUUAUUUUAUCUGGUUUAUGGGCCGAGAAAAAAUGGCCUACUACAGCUUUCCCUCUGUGCUUGUUGUCGUGUAACGGAAAUGAAGCAAAGACUUCCAAAUGGUCAGUUUUGCCCGGUCGUGCUGAACCUUGGUGCUGUUCUUCUAGUAGCUCCAUUCCAUCCUACCGCAUCUUCAGAGGUAUAAGAAAUAAUGCUUCAAUCCACUCCACUAAAAUGUUAGGGAGAUAGGAUUUGUAACUCGUAGCUUUUUAAUCCGCUCCACUACAACUUCAGGUAGAUAAGAUUUGCUUCUUCAGUCUGCCCCACUGUGACCUCAGGGGGAUAAGACUCGUGGCUUAAACCUGCUUCCUUACACUUGAAGAUAAGAUUCGCCGUCUUCGAUCUGCUCUGCUACCGCUUAGGGAGAUGAGAUCUGUAAUUUCCAACCUAUUCCACUGCUGGUCAGGGACAUAGGACUUGUGGCUUAAAUAUGUUUCCCUACUCCUGGGGAAGAUAAGAUUCGCCAUCUUCGAUCUACUCCACUAGUGCUUAGGAAGGCAAGAUCUGCUUAUCUUUAACCAGCUCCACUGCAAUCGAUGGAGGCAAGGCUUCAUUUUCAAUCUGCUUCGCUGUUAAUGCAGGAAGGCAAAAUCUGCUUCUUUAACCAGCUCCACUGCAACCGAUGGAGGCAAGGCUUCAUUUUCAAUCUGCUUCGCUGUUAAUGUAGGAAGGAAAAAUCUGCUUCUUUAAACAGCUCCACUACAACCAAUGGAGGCAAGGCUUUAUUUUCGAUCUGCUUCGCUGUUAAUGCAAGAAGGCAAGAUCUGCUUCUUUAACCAGCUCCACUGCAACCGAUGGAGGCAAAGCUUCGUUUUUAAUCUGCUUCGUUGUGAAUACAGGAAGGCAAAAUCUACUUCUUUAACUAGCUCCACUGCAACCGAUGGAGGCAAGGCUUCGUUUUCAAUAUGCUUCACUGUUAAUGCAGGAAGGCAAGAUCUGCUUAUUUAACCAGCUCCACUACAACCAAUGGAGGCAAGGCUUUGUUUUCGAUCUGCUUUGCUGUUAAUGCAGGAAGGCAAGAUCUACUUCUUUAACCAGCUCCACUACAACCGAUGGAGGCAAAGCUUCAUUUUCAAUCUACUUCGCUGUGAAUGCAGGAAGGCAAAAUCUGCUUCUUUAACCAGCUCCACUGCAACCAAUGCAGGCAAUGCUUCGUUUUCAAUCUGCUUUGCUGUUAAUGCAGGAAGGCAAGAUCUGCUUCUUUAACCAGCUCCACUACAACUAAUGGAGGCAAGGCUUUGUUUUCGAUCUGCUUCGUUGUUAAUGUAGGAAGGCAAGAUCUGCUUCUUUAACCAGCUCCACUGCAACUGAUGGAAGCAAAGCUUCAUUUUCAAUCUGCUUUGCUGUUAAUGCAGGAAGGCAAAAUCUACUUCUUUAACCAGCUCCACUACAACCGAUGGAGGCAAGGCUUCAUUUUCAAUCUGCUUCACUGUUAAUACAGGAAGGUAAGAUCUGUUUCUUUAACCAGCUCCACUACAACUAAUGGAGGCAAGGCUUUGUUUUCGAUCUGCUUCGCUGUUAAUACAGGAAUGCAAUAUCUACUUUUUUAAUCAGCUCCACUGCAACCGAUGGAGGCAAAGUUUCGUUUUCAAUCUGCUUCGCUGUUAAUGCAGGAAGGAAAAAUGUGCUUCUUUAACCAGCUCCACUACAACCAAUGGAGGCAAGGCUUUGUUUUCGAUCUGCUUCGCUGUUGAUGCAGAAAGACAAGAUCUGCUUCUUUAACCAGCUCCACCGCAACCGAUGGAGGCAAGGCUUCAUUUUUUAUCUUCACUGAUCUGUUCUCUGGGGAACAUGACCUGUAUAAUGAACCUAAUUAUGCCUAAUGAUUAGGAUGGCAUGAUCAAAAUGAAUCAAAUGCUCCUAACUAGACAUGUGUGAAUGGUGUUUGACUGACGUGCUACAACGCCUUCUAGCUUGACUGGCUUUUCUGAAGAAACAUUUAGCCAGGUUGCCCCCCACUGUAAACUUCAAAGUUUAAUCCAUUAGGGCACAAAAUUUGUACCAUCAUUUUCCCACCGUAAUCCAAGGGUAGAAAUGUGGCUUUCCUCAGUCAUCUCUUAUCAAAUUCAAGGAUACAGGAUCUACAUCCUUCUGGUCCCUUCCACCAUUCUCAGGGUGUCGUAUCAAAGACUUAUGCGCAAAUAAGGGCUCUUUUCCCCGAGGUAACCUCUUCCUAUUGCCUGAUGAUUAUUGCUUGCUUUAUCACCAACAUAGAAUCUUGUCACUUAAUGCAUUUGACAACAAAAUCCAAAGAGAAAGUCCAAAUUUAGAUUCUUCCUUCUCAAAUUUCCAACCCUUAAAUUCGGUGUGUUCUAAACAAUAGUCCUGUUCCAGGCUCCUAUAUUAUUUAGAAACUUUUUCAGAGUAAUAUGCAAAACUUCCUUUGUGAAAGUUUUAUUAGUCCAUUAAUCAUUAUUCCAAUGCAACAUGCUUGCAAAAAAAAAGGGUCAUAAGAAUGGAUAAGGAUAAAGUUGGUUCUGAGCAUAGCUCGAAAGAACAAAUUAUCAAAAAUAGUAAAGAAGGUUGACAAAGGAAUUAAUUAGGAAUGUAUAUCUUGGAAAGGAAAAAAGUAUUCCAAGAACAACAAAUGAUAUGAGAAUUGGGUGCCCCAGAUAUCGCAGCCUGAACUUCUCUGUACAAACUUUCUGAAGACCAUUUUGAGUUGGACAUGUGUUUAGGAGAUCUACAGUGCUCUGUCGAUGCCCCAAGAUGUCGCCUAUCCUUUUCUGUUGAUUCAGGCAUAGCAAGAUCACCACAUGCCCAAUUUGGUCAAGAUUCGAGUUGCUUUGAUUACCUAAUGCUCCAUUCUGAUCAAUAUUUGAGCCGCCCUUUUCGGGUUUUCAACUCAAAACCACCUUUGGUCACAAAGCACCCUUUUUGGGUUUUCGCCUUGGCUUCUCCUUUUCUUUUCUUUUUCUCUUUUCAUAUUUUAUUUUGACUUUGAUUUUUUCUCUUUUUUGCUUUUGACUUUGAUUUUUCUUUUUUACUUUUUGCUUUCGAUUUUGAUUUUGAUUUUUUUUUUGAAUCUGAACCCUUUCGAUCAGAAUCAAUGUUUUUACAGAUGAGAUUUCUCAUUUUCAUCUUGUAUGCGAAAAACCCUCUUUGGUAUUAGGUUUCUUUCAUAGAGCCUUCUGGGGUGAAGCUACGAUAGAAAACUCUGGAUCCUCCUCUUCAAUCAGGAUAGAAUCCAACAAAAUUUGAAGAGAUAGAAACUCGACUUCAAACGGGCAAAGCUAAACUGAGUUAACAAGAAAGGCAUUGCCCCGGCAAAGAAUUUUCAUUGUGUCAUUCACACUGCAAAUUUUGUCAUUGUGUUGCUGCGCAGAUUUCAUUAUCAACACUUAACCUGGCAUAUCCUGGUAUGAUCCUACAAGGACAUCUUUGAACAAGGUCUUGCUUCAUCUUUGAGGACAGGUCAAUUCUAAUCUUUACCAAGCUCAGAAUUCCUAAUGAUUCCUUGUGAGGUAGGAUCUGUCUAUCCUCCUGCUCAAACAUCCUCAAUAAGUCCGGAGGUAAGCUAUAAUCUUUGUCAUUUUCAAAGUCCUGAGAUCCCUCUGAACACAUGCCUUGCUCAAAAGGAAAAUUUGGGUCUAUAGCAAUGCCAUUCAUGCCAUUUAUGAAUAAUUAUUUAUACAAUAUGAUUAUGAAUGAAUGAAUGAUGGUUUGGAAGAAAAUCCAAAAGAAUGAAAGAAUAUAGAAUUAUCCAUAAAGGAUGAAAACAUUGGCUCAAAAAUAAUCGCAAAGAUGUAUUUCAUUAAAAUAAUAACGUUCAGACAUAAGCCUAUUUCACAAAGGAAUUUCUAUCAUUUCUAGGCUAAAAACAACAAAAUGUUCUGAACAUUACUUUAAAAAGCUCUAGAGACUAUAGGGUUUUCUUCUGCAGUUGAAUUGUUUAGAACACUCCAGAUUUAUAAGGGAAAAUAUUUAACAAGGUACCUUAUUCAAUUGCUUGUGCAUUGCCUUCACUCCAUUUAUCAAUUAUGAUUGGGUAAUGGAUUCACCGCACUGGAGGAAUCAUCAAAUUUAACGACGCCCAUACUGAUAAGCCUUUCAAUCAGUUUCUUAAAGGCAAUGUAAUUUUCUAUGGGAUGCCCCGUAUUUCCCGCAUGAUAUUCACAUUAUGCAUUUGCGUCGAGCCAUUUAGGGUACGGAGGCUGUGGAGGUUUCGUGUAGAGAGGGGCAACAAUGUGCGCGUUGAAUAAGCUUUGAUACAGCUCCUUAUACGACAUCGAGAUUGGUGUGAACUGGAGGUUCUCAGUGCCUUGUUUCACAUAAGAUUCUUGUCUUGAUGAACCUUGUUGACUAGCGACCCCUUUACCUGGAUGACUUACUGACCUUGAGUAAGCUGUGUUGUUCACCUCAUUUUCUCUUCCUCUUGGGGUUGACCUCUUAUCACUCUCUUCCGCCUUAAUUUUUCCGGCUCUUAUGGUACUUUCAAUCAUUUCACCGCUCAUGACUAUGUCAGAAAAGCUUUUUGUAGCACUUCCUAACAUGUGCGUAAUGAACAGGGCCUUCAGCGUAUUGAUGAAGAGCAUUGUCGUCUCUUUCUCCGAGAGGGGUGGCUGAACCUGGACUGCAACUUCCCUCCACCUCUAUGCAUACUGCCUAAAAGUUUCAUUCGAUUUCUUUUCCAUGUUUUGCAAGGUGAUUCUGUCGGGAACCACAUCCGUUAUAUAACCGUAUUGUUUCAUGAAUGCCUGUGCUAGGUCCCUCCAUGAGCCAAUCUCAGUACGGCUCAAUUGAUUGUACCAUUUCGACGUUGCCCCAACCAAACUGUCUUGGAAGCAGUGUAUUAGCAGCUGAUCAUUGUUAAUGUAGCCAGUCAUCCUUCUAUAGAACAUGGUGAUAUGGGCUUCACGACAGCUAGUUCCGUUGUAUUUUUCAAAUUCAGGCAUUUUGAAUUUAGGAGGAAGCACUAAGUCUGGGACUAAGCUUAGAUCUUUUACGUCAAUUCCAUGGCGACUAUCGGCUCUUUCUAGGGCUUUGAAUUUUUCCUCCAACCAUUUACACCUAUCCUCCCAUUGUUUUGACAGUUCGACGUUCGCCUUUCUUUCCUCGGCUGCUUCAUCAAAAUCUGGAACGGUAAGAUUAACCAGAUUAUCACCAGGGUUAGGACCUGAUCUGGUCAGAAAGUUCAUCGACAUUGAAACAUUGGUUUGAAACCUCUAUGGCCCAAUGGAAAUAGAGGAUCUACGUGGAGGUACCUCGGUCUGAGUCUGCGCACGCGGAGGCGUAAAUCCUAGAGGUCCAGUCUUGUCUUCUUCUUCUUCAUUGAUCAUAGGGCCGUUCCCCUUAUUUAAUCCUUUUAAUAAUUGUGUCAACUCAGUCAUCAUGUCCUUUUGAGACUCCAGUAUCUUUUCUGUCAUGUCCUGUUGAAAUUUUUUCCAAUUGCUCCUUCAUUUGUUUCUGUAACUGAUCUUGCAUAUCCUUUUGAAUUUGCUCCAAUUUCUCUAGUCUUUGAUCCAUUUCUUUGGCUUUCCGACGAGUACCAUAAGGAUGUUUGGUUGGUUGAUUUUCUAGAUUAGCUGAAACAACUUUACUCGUUUAGACUCUUUCAAUGGAUUUUAAUGCAUACGAUGCAUAUGUAUGAAAUACAUGCCUACAGAGACGUUGAUUCUGAUUCAAUUACAUUUAGGAAACUUUUCUAGAAAGUAAAUUCCUUUACAUAAAAUGGAUACAUGUAUGGCUUCACCCUCAUAUUCCAAGAAAUAACAUCGACCUUUUUCAUCAGGCGCAUGUUUGAGAUAAUCUCACCAAUUUCCAAUAGAUGCCACUGCUAGCUCCUUUUCUUGAUCUUGGUCGCGAUCCAUCACCUGUCCAUCUUCAUAAGGCUCGUUAGCUUCUUUAAAGGAGUUGAAAUGUUGAAGGCUCUUAGACAAUCGCCUUGAAUACUCAGGCCACGAAGCAAGGUCACGAACUCUUCCAUUUGCUUUUCAGAAUAUAUUAAGGUAGCCGUAUUGUUUUCCACUUUAUCAAGGAAUCUGUAUUCCAUGACAAGCUUUCUAAUUUAGUAAUUGGACUUGAAUCAAUAUCUCUUUCCUAAGAUGCAAAUGCAAUGCAAUAAAAACAUAACAAAAGGGGUUAGUACAAAAAAGAAGCAAACAAGGAAAACGAAAGUACCUAAUUGGGUGACUUCUAGGGAUUUGGAGUGGCUCUACCUAGGUUAAGUUCCUAAGUCCACUAUAUGAGGUUUGGCUCUAAAGAUAAGGUACCCGAACCAGCAGAUUCCUCGAUCUUCACCUAUUAUAGGCUCAUACAGACUGAGUUCGGUUCAGGGGAAUACAUUUCCCUAUCGCUACACGGAGAUGAAAAUCUCACGAAGACAUAGGUACGGAUGUAUCCCGAAAGUGAUUUACUAUCCUGCACGGAGGUGAAAACCUCACGAAGGAGUAGCUUUCCACUCCCACUUAAUAAGGACAAGACUAAACAGUCUUAUGCAAAAUGAUGCCAAAAUAUACAACUUAAUUUACAAUAUUCAUGCAAACAAGUGCAAAGAAAAUAUCAUAAUUUUUCAAAUCAAUUUUCGACAAUAAGACAGAAAACAAUCAAUUUUACGGCUUGACUCUCUAAAUCUUGUCCCCAGUGGAGCUGUCGAAACCAUUUUUUGAAAUUUGAAAAAUGGGUAUCGAUUUUGAAAAUAGAAAACUCUGGGAGUCGCCACCGAUCUUUUAUUAAAGUGUGAUCGGUUCACCAUUAAAAAUAAAAUUUAGGUCUGCGAGAUUUGAGAAAACGGGUUCGGUAGUCGGUUACGCACGAGGAAGGGUUAGCACCCUCGUGACGCCCAAAAUUGGUACCGAAUUGAUUGUUUAAUGUUUUAAUGUCGAAAUUUUGAAAAGAUUUUAAAAUACGAUCCUUUUAUCUUGAAGUUAAAUUUGAUUUUUAAAACUAUGCAUUUUGAGGAGGGUAUCUGAUUAUUUGGGCCAAAAGAGAAUAUCAAAACCCAGUAAGUUAAGGUUUGAUUUCACCAAAUUCCCAAAUACCGAACAUUGCCUUUAUUUUAAAAUCAUCGUCUCGAGAAAAUAACAUGUCAUAUCCAAUGCGUUAGGACACAACGAGUUGAAUUCCCGAGAAUGGGUUCUUAUUUGAAAUUUGUAUGUUUAACAAAAUUUCGAUUAUUUAGAUCCAACGAGAAAAAUAAACCCAAUACGUUAGGGCUCAAUUCUCCUGAGGAUCGCAAACACCAAGUAAUUUGAAAAAUUUCGAAAUAAAAUGAUUUUUAUGCUUUAAUAAAAUUCAACUCUUAUAAGUGGAACAUGAUUGAAUAACGAUACAUAUAAUGUAAAAGAUAAAUAACAAAUUAGUUUUAAACUAGAAGCAAUUAAACAAAAAAAAAAAAAGGCAAAUACAAAUAUUGGCUUUAAUCAUUUAAAAAGCAUAAAAAUGAAGAAUAAAAAUAAACAACUUAAAAUUAAUAUCUACAUUCUAAUUUAUAUAAGUAAAACCUAAUAAAAAUAAUAAUAUAUACAUAGUGAUAAUACAUGAAAGUUAAAUAAAUAAAAUAAAAUAACAAAUUUAAAAGGAAUAAUAAUAUAUUUGAAAAUAAUAAUAUAUUAUUAUAUAUACGUACAUAUGCUAGAAACAAAUUAUAUAUGCAUAUAUAAAAAUAUAAAGUAUUAUCAUUGAAAAUUUUGAGAUUAAUUAUAUAUAUACAUAUACAUGAACAAAAACAAAAAAGAGUAUGUAUAGAUUAUAUUAAGAUAAUAUCUAAAAACAUAAAAUAAAAUUAAGUAAUGAAUACAUAAAUAAUAUUAUAUAAUAAAAGAAUUUAUAUAAAAAUUAGAUUAACUAAUAUACACAUAUAUACAUAUAUAUAAAUACUAUUACAUAUAAUAACAACAAAUGAAAUUAAUGAUUAUAAAUUAGUUAAUUUAAUGAGAAUAGAUCUAUUUUGAAUUCGAACAAAAAUCUAGGGGUUGAUUUGAAAUAUGCAUGCAAAUGACUGAAUUGAAAACCUUUUAACAACAAAGGGAUUAUUAAAGCAAUUUAACGCAAAAAUCUUCUCUGACAUGUAGAUUUGGAUAUUCAAAACGGUGCCGUUCAGCAUGGAUCCAAUCGAAAUUGAGACCAAAUGCGCAAUACAAAUUAAAAAAUAAUGAAAAUCAAAUUUGAAACAACAUAAAACGCAGAGGGACUCAUUGCGCAAAUAGAACAGAAAGAUAGAACGUGCGGAUCCUCCCCGGUUCGGGUCACACACGCGGGUCGAGCUCAAUACGACACCGUUUUGAUGGCCACUGACUCAGGCCCCCAAAUGCCGUCGUUUCGACACCCCACAAGAGCUAAACUUAAAACCCUAAACAGUGUUAUUCAGCCACUAAGACACAACAGAGGAAGCUUGCUUCUCCCCCCCUUACACCGCUCAGAAAAGGUUGGCUCAGAGGACUUUGAACCUUCGUCCAACCCCGAUCGCGACGGAGCAAACGACGAUCCGGCCAAACAGGUAAAUCCCCUCGCCCUCUCACCUUAUUUUCUCUCUUAUUACCCUUUUGCUAACAAAUAAAAGAGCCAAGAAACAGAAAAAAGAAAUGCGAAGAAAAAAUGAAGAAAUCACCUUAAAAAGACUCUAUUUUUCUAUUGAUAUUGUGUAUGAUCCAACAUUCGUGUUCUUUUUUACAGAUUCUCCAAAUGGCUUUAUAGCCGAAUCGAAAAUAAAAUAAAAUUCCAUCAUUUUUCCUAUUUUUCUGCUAUUCUGCUUUUUCUUUUGUGUUCUGUCUCUGCUUGUUUUGCAGGCGUUUGUUGCGAGUGCAGGUACGGAGGUGUAUGGGUUUGGUGUGUGCAGAUGAGUGUGGCGUGGCUCGGCUCGGAGGCAGCUGAAGCUUGGCACGCGCGAACAAGGAGAGCUGCUGCGGUGCUAGGGCGUGCGGCUAAGGUUCGUGGGGCCGAGGGAAGGCUAGAGGCGCUUGUGGGUUUCCAGAAACCCUAGGUGUUUCUGCUCUCGGGUUGGGAUUUAGGCUGAUUGGGCUUUCUAGAUAUUGGGUUAUAGGUUAGUAGGUUUGGGUUUUAGUUGGGUCUUUUGGGUUAGUGAUUUGGGCCAUGUAUUUGGGUCUGGUUUGUAUUUUGUUUGUAAUCUGGACAUAAUUUUUUGGACCAUUGUUUAUUUUAUCUGGUUUAUGGGCCGGGCAAAAAUGGCCUACUACACUAACAAUGGAGGAUUGCUCUUUAAUCAAACAAAAUAAAACUUGUCAUCGGGAACUUAAUAUGUUGUGUCCUAACGUAUUGGAUAUGACACGUUGAUUUCUCGAGAUAAAGAUUUUAAAAAAAAGGAAAUAUUGAAUGUUUGGGAUUUUAAGAAAUCGUGCCCUAACGUAUUGGGCUGCGAUUUCUUCUUAAAUUUUAAACAAUUAGAUAUUUUCUUAAAUUUCAUUACACGAGUUUUUUACUAACUCAACAUGAAGAGAAUAAAAUGUUUUGCCCUAACGUAUUGGGUGUGAUAUUUUUCUUUUUUCAAAAUGAGAAGGUCUUAAUAAAUAAUUUAAUUUAAUUAAGGAUCGCAUUUUUAAACUCUUGACUUCAAGACAUUAAUUAAUCAAUUUGGUGCCAAUUUUUAGGCGUUACGAGGGUGCUAAUCCUUCAUCGUACGUAACUGACUCCCGAAUCCGUUUUUCUAAAUAUUCAUAGACCAAAACCGUUUUUCAGAUGAUCCAACCACACCAUAAUAAAAGAUUGGUGGCGACUCCCAAUUUUUUCCAUUUUUUAAAAUCGAGAACUUAUUUUUGUUUUUUAAAAAAUAAAAAUGGUUUCGAUAGCUUGACGACUCCACUGGGGACUAUUUUUUUAAGAGAGUCGAGCCAUAAAGUUGAUUAAUUUUUGUCUUAGGGUCGAGAGAAUAAUUUUUUUUAAAAAAAUUCAUCCUUUUUUGCAUUCAUUAUUUUCUUGCUUAAUUGAUCUAAGUAUUGCUUGCAUUAUACAUUACAUGAGGUGAAUGAUCUUACCUUUCUAAGUGGGAGUGAGAAACUAUUCCUUCGUGAGGUUUUCACCUCCGUAUAGGAUAAUGGAUCGCUUUCGAAAUACAUCGGUACCUAUGCCUUCGUGAGAUUUUCAUCUCCGUAUAGUCAUAGGGAAAAUGUAUUCCCCUUAACCGAACUUGAUCUAUAUGAGCCUAUAAUGGGUGAAGAUCGAAGAAUAUGCUGGUUCAGGUACCUUUGCCCUAGAAGCCGAACUUCAUAUAGUGAACCUUAGGAAUUCACCCUAGGUAGAACUAUACUAAACCCUAGUAGAUAUCCGAUUAGGUGUUUUACUAUUUCUUGAUUAUAUUUUAUGUUUUUAUAUGAUACUGAUUUUUUGUGUUUUAUUUUGAUUGCAUGACAUGGCAUCUCAUUUCAUUAUAAAAGGCGUCGGUUCAUAUUCAAUUGCUAGAUAGAAAGCUUAGCAUGGAAAAAGGGUUUCUUGAUAAAGUGGAGGAAAAUGUGACUGUCCGAACUUGGUCUGAAACAACGCAAUGAGAAAAGGGCGAUAGUUUGGCUGAUGGAUAUGUAUCGAAAUUAUGGGAUUUUACGCGCAUUAGUGUAACUCAAAACAAUUCGCAAGAGUUGAAGGAAAUCUGGGGUCAGUGGAAUGACAAGGUUAGAUAGCUGUUUUAUGAUAAUUAUGGGGAUUUUCCUUAUUUACUCGAUGUGAAGGUAGACAAGUAUUUGUUUCGAGCCCUCGCUCAGUUUUGGAAUCCUGCUUACAGCUGCUUCACAUUUGGGAAGGUCGAUUUGGUACCUACGGUAGAAGAAUAUGCGGCUUUACUCCGAUGUUCAAAGUUUCAAGUAGACAGGGUUUACUCGAGAGUGAUAAAUGUGCCAACCUUUUCGAAGAAGUUGAUGAGUAUAACAGGGAUGAGUGAGCUGUGGGUUGCUGCACGGAUUAAGCAAAAGGGAGAUAGUAAGUGUGUUCCUUGGAGGAGUUUGAAAGAUGCAAUUCUAACGCACCCAGAUGUGAGAAAGAGAGUAGAUGUCUUUGCUUUAAGCAUAUAUGGCUUGGUUGUCUUCCCCAAAGCCUUGGGGCAUGUUGAUGAAGCAAUUACUAAUUUAUUCGACCGGCUUGAUAAGAGGGUUACACCGAUCUCGGCAAUUUUGGCAGAAACUUUCAGGUCAUUGAGUGCAUGCCGAAAAACGGGAAAGGGUAGAUUCAUUGGAUGUGCACAGCUCUUACUCGUAUGGUUUCAUAGUCACUUUUAGAAGGUUGACAAGGUUUCAUAUCGGGUUUUCUCUGAAGGUUAUUCGCCACUAAAGGAGAUUGUAGCUACACUGAGGAGAGAUGAUAUUUCAAAAGUGGAUGGCAAUCCUUCAGAAUCUUCAAGAGGAAGACGUCGAGUGGAGGGCUCUUUGGUUACUUCCAGACGAGAUCCUAUAUAGCUGUGGUAAUUUCGAUUGGGUUCCACUGUUUGGAGUUUUGGGAGCUAUUGGAUAUGCCCCAUUAUUGGUGCUAAGGCAAUAUAGGUCAAGGCAAUUUAUACCUGCGACCCAAGGGAUGGCUGAUUGUGAAUUUUCGUACAAAGAUGAUGGUUAUAGAAAUAAAAUUUAGGAAAUGUCUAGUGCGUGGAAACAGACUCACUGAAUGAAGCGGUUAGCUAUGGGUCCGAUGACAACUCCUGAGUAUAAUGAGUGGUGGGGUAGGAGAAUCAACGAUAAUAUAUCCAAGGUAAGUCAGGAAAGUCGUCAGUCAAUAGAAGAGCAUUUGCAAGUCAUCCCUUCUGAGCUGGAAAUCAUAAGACAAGAUUAUGAAAGAAGAAAUGCGAAUUUAGAAAAAAAAGAUAGAGCAAAUGGAGGAGGAAAAGACGAACUUGAGAUUAGACAUAGACGUUCAGAAGCUUGAAACUGAGAAGUUAAAGAAGGAGAAAAACAAGGCUGAGGAGGAGCUGGGUAGUCUGAAGACAGAUUAUAAAAAGUUGCAUCUAUUAAUGAGAACUGUCGGGCUGGGAAAAAAUUCAGAACAGUGGCGAGCAAAAAUUCGAGAAGAAAAGGACAGAGCCGAUAGAUGGGAACAAAAAUUCCAAGAGAUGUAGAGGCGAAAUGAGGCUUUAGAAAAGAGUUUGUCAGAAAGCCAAAAGGAAAAGGGUGAGUUAAAGGACAGGGUGAUCUUGCUGGAAGGAUGUCUUCGUCAAUAUCGAAAUCGAAAUCUUACGAUAGAGUUAAAAGCAAGCUUGAGCAAGAUUGAAGAAAUGAAGAAAAGAAUCGAAGAGCUAGAGAUGGUGCUGCAAUAUUGUGAGAUCCAAAUCAAGUACUUGAAAGUAAAUGAUAGUCGUAAUAAUGAACAGCUCCACUACUUUCAGAGUCAAGUUAGGAGCAGAGAUCAUCUUAUGGAGGAAGCUGUGAUCCAGAUUCGAGAAGUAGCUGAUCAUAUACAAACUUUGGCAGUACAGGCUGACAUGCUGAGUGUGAAGUAUGAAUUAGAAUCGGAUCGGGGGCAAGAAUUAGCUUUGUUACUUAGAAAGAUUAGUGUUCUAGGUACUACGGCAAAGUCUUAUUUGUAAUUCACUUUAUGUAAAGGAAUUUAAUUUCUAGUAAAGUUUUCUUAAAUCGAAUUGAAUCAAAUUGAUGUCUUUUUGCAUUCAUUUCAUGCAUUGCAUUACUUCAUAUGCAUUAAAAAAUACAUCAAAGGAUUCUAAUUAAUUUAAAUCACUCCUCAGUUAAUCUGGAAACCAAUCAACCUACCAAACACCGCUACGGUACUCGAUCAAAAACUAAAGACAUAGAUCAAAGGCUAGAACAGUUCUAGAAGGAAAUGCAACAACAAAUAAAUGAGCAGUUUGAGAAAAUUCAACAAAAAAUGAUGGAUAAAAUAAUGAAAUCUCAGGGGAGUAUGAUGGAUAAGUUAACUCAGCUGUUGACUGGAGGAGUGGAUAAAGGGAAGGGCUCUGUGCUCAAUAUUGAAGAAAAGGAGACAGCGAGGGACUUGUUUAUCCCCGAAGCUCUACCCCUCAGCAUGUUGAGGUAUACCCACACAAAUCUUCUGUCACCAUUAAGUCUCAGCAGUUACAGGCCAAUGCUUCAAUACCAAUGAAUUUUCAAGUUGGAUCGGCCUCUAACCCUGGAGACAACCUUGUUAAUCCUACUAUCCCUGACUUUGAUGAAAUGGCUAGAAGAGAGAAAAUGAAAGAUGAAUCGUCAAAACAGCUAGAAGCGAAGUAUAAGUGGCUAGAGGAGAAAUUUAGAGCAAUGGAAUUUGCUGAUAGCUACUAUGGGAUUGAUGCUAAAGAAUUGAGUUUGGUUUCAGAUUUGGGACUCCCAUACAAGUUCAAAAUGCCAGAGUUUGAGAAGUACAAUACAAAUAGUAGCCCCGAAGCCCAUAUUACUAUGUUCUACAGACGGAUGACUGGGAAUGUUAAUAAUGACCAACUGCUGAUACGUUGCUUCCAGAAUAGCCUCACAGGGGCUGCAUCCAAGUGGUAUAAUCAAUUGAGCAGUACCAAGAUUAAUUCAUGGAGAGAUCUAGCACAGGCGUUCAUAAAACAGUACAGCCAUGUGACUGACAUAGUACCUGAUAGAAUCACUCUGCAGAAUAUGGAAAAGAAACCCGGUGAAGGUUUUAGGCAAUACGCACAGAGAUGGAGGGAGGUUGCCGUCCAAGUUCAGUCAUCUCUUCUAGAAAGAGAGAUGACGAUGCUUUUCGUUAACAAAUUGAAAACUCCGUUCAUCACACAUAUGUUAGAGAGCGCCACAAAAAGCUUUUCUGACAUAAUCAUGAAUGGUGAAAUGAUUGAAAGCACCAUAAGAAGCGGAAAAAUUGAUGCUGGAGGAAAUAACAGAAGGCAAACCUCAAAAGAAAAAGAAAAUGAGGUGGACAGCGUGAAUAUGUACAGCAAAUCGAUUGCUAAUCAGCAGGGUUCAUCAAGACAAGAAUCAUAUGUGAAGCAAGGUACUGAAAAACUCCAGUUCACGCCAAUUCCAAAGUCGUACAAUAAGCUCUAUCAAAGCUUAUUCGAUGCGCAGGUUGUUUUUCCUUUACAUGUGAAGCCUCCACAGCCUCCGUAUCCCAAAUGGUACGACGCAAGUGCACAAAGCGAUUAUCAUGCGGGAAUUACGGGACACUCAAUAGAGAAUUGCAUUACCUUCAAAAAGCUAGUAGAAAAAUUCAUCAACAUGGGUAUUGUCAAGUUGGAUGACUCAUUUAAUGCAGAAAAUUCACUACCCAAUCAUGAUUGACAAUAGGGUGAAUGUAAUAUAUGAAGAGGUGUUGGGAAGUGUUCAAAGAAACAACUGAAGAAGGGACCUUUUCAGAUAUUCGCCCUUAUAAACCUAGGAGUGUUCUAAAUAAUUGGGCUGCAGAAGAAACUCCUGUAGUAUUUAGAACUUACUCAGAGUAACAUUCAGAACAUACUUGUUGCUUUUAGCCCAGAGGCAAUAAGAACUCUUUGUGAAAUAGGUUCAUGUCUAAGCGUCAUUAUUCUAAUAAAAUAUGUCUUUACAUUCAUUUUUCGAGUAAAUAUUCUUUUAUUUUGAGUAAUUAUUCUUUCAUUCUUUUGGAUUUUCUUCCACAUCAUUCUUUCAUUCAUAAUUAUAUUGUACAAAUAAUUAUUCAUAAAUUCACACAUUCUUUUGUAUAUUUUUUUGCACUUACUAUGGGUCCCCAGAUAUCAAUGACAUGAGUGACGCUGCUACUGACUCAGAAUCUCCUUCUGAGCGAGACAUGUGUUUAGAAGGAUCUCAUGACUUUGAAGAUGACAUAGAUUGUAGCCUAUUUUCAGACUUGUUGAGGAUGGUAGAACAGGAAUGAAAUCUUACCUCAUGAGGAGACAAUGGGGAUUGUGACCUUAAGGGAACGUGCAUAACCGAAUAAACAAAGCAGGACCUUGUUGAGUUAGUUCAAAGAGUUCAAAGAUGUCUUCGUAUGGUCAUAUCAGGAUAUGCUUGGGUAAGCACUGACAUUGUAAUCUGAACAACAAUACGAUAUCAAAAAUUUACAGUAUGUUCAAGAUUAACAUCAUGAACGAUGUAUUUAGAAUUCUUUACCGGGGCAAUACCUUCUUCUUUGACUCAUCAUGGUUUAGCCCAUCGAAGUCUAGUUUCCAUUUCUCCGUUGUUGGAUUUCAUCUUAAUUGAAGAGGAAGAUCCAAAGUUUUCGUCAUAGUUAAAUUUCACCCCAAAAGGUUCUACGAAAGAAAUUUGAUCACAAAGAAGAUCUUACAUUGGUUCUAAUCGAAAGGGAUAACGAGGACAUGUCUAAUCCUAUGAGUUCAGAUUCGAAAAAAAAGAGAAGGGUUAAAAUCAAAAAGAAAAAGAAAAGAAAAAUGGAGAGGCCAAAGCGAAAACCCGCAAAGGGCGCUUUAUGACCAAAGGUGGAUUUGAGUUGAAAACCCGAAAAGGGCGGCUCAAAUAUUGAUCAGAAUGGGGCAUGAGGUGAUCAGAGCAACUUGAAUUUUGAUCAGAUUGGGGCAUAUAAUGAUCUUACUAUACUUGAACCAAUAGGAAAGGGUAGGCGACAUCUUGGGGCAUUGACAAAGUACUGUAGAUCUCCUAAACACAUGUCAAACUCAGAAGGGUCUUCAGAAAGUUUGUACAGAGAAGUUCAAGCUACGAUAUCUAGGGCACCCAAUAUUCAUACUAUUUAUACUAAUUUUUUUAUUCUUGGAACACUUCAUUCGUUUCCAAGAUACACAUUCCCAAUUAAUUUCUUUGUUAUCCUUCUUUACUAUCUUUGAUAAUUUAUUCAUUUCGAGCUAUGCUCAGAACUAGCUCUAUUUUGUCCAUCGUUUUGUUCUUUUUGCAAGCAUGUUGCAUUAGAAUAAUGAUUAAUGGGCUGAUAAAACUUUCACAAAGGAAGUUUUGCAUAUUACUCUAGAAGUUUCUAAAUAAUACAGGAACCUGAAACAUGACUAUUGUUUAGAACGCACCAAGUUUAAAGGUUGGAAAUCUAAGAGGGAAAAGUCUAAAUUGAGAUUAUCCCUUCAGAUUUUGUGGUCAAAAACAUCGAUUGAACAAAAUAACAAGAGUUCGUGUUGAUGAUAAAGCUUAAAUCAACAAGCAAGCAAUGAUCACUCGAUAAUAGGAAGAGGUUACCUCGGAGAAGAAAGCCUUCAUUUGUGCAUGAGCCUUUGGUACGACACCCAGAGAAUGGUGUAAGGGACUAGGGAGAUUUAGAUUCGGUAUCCUUGAAUUGUGAAAGGAGAGGAUUAAGGAAAAGCCAUGUAAUUCUACCCUCGGGUUGCAGUGGGAGAAUGAUGGUACACAUUUCGCGCCCCAAUGGGUUGAACUUUGAGGUUUACAGUGAGGGCAACCUGACUAAAUGUUUCUUCAGAAAAGCCAGCCAAACAAAAAGACGUUGUAGCACGUCAGUGUUAAAACCUUAAUAAACUUCGAGCAAUGACAACCUAAGCGGGAUCAGUAAAAAAAAAAGAAAAAUUCUGCAUUCAUGCAAACACCAUUCACUCAUACCUAAUUAGGAGCAUUUGAUUCAUUUUGAUCAUGACAUCCUAAUUACUAGGCAUAAUUAGGUUCAUGAAUUGAAUUAUACAAGUCAUGUUCCCUAGAGAACAAACCGAUGAAACUCCAGCCUUGCUUCCCUGGGUUGCAGCGGAGCAGGUUAAAAAUAGCAGAUCUUGCCUUCCUGCGCCGACAGCGAAGCAGAUCGAAGACACUAGCCUUGCCUCCCUGGGUUGUAGCGGAGUAGGUUAAAAAUAGCAGAUCUUGCCUUCCUGCACAGACAGCGAAGCAAAUCGAAGACACCAGCCUUACCUCCUUGGAUUGCAGCGGAGCAGGUUAAAAAAAGCAAAUCUUGCCUUCCUACGCCGACAGCGAAGCAGAUCGAAGACACCAUCCUUGCCUCCCUGGGUUGCAGUGGAGCAUGUUAAAAAUAGCAGAUCUUGCCUUCCUACGCCGACAGCGAAACAGAUCGAAGAAACUAGCCUUGCCUCCCUGGGUUGCAGUGGAGCAGGUUAAAAAUAAUAGAUCUUGCCUUCCUGCACCGACAGCGAAGCAGAUCGAAGACAUCAGCCUUGCCUCCCUGGGUUGCAGCGGAGCAGGUUAAAAAUAACAGAUCUUGCCUUCCUGCGCCGACAGCGAAGCAGAUCGAAGACACCAGCCUUGCCUCCCUGGGUUACAGCAGAGCAGGUUAAAAAUAGCAGAUCUUGCCUUCCUACACCGGUAGUGGAGCAGAUCGAAGUCCCCAGCCUUGUCUCCCUAAGCAGUAGUGGAGUAGGUUGAAAAUUACAGAUCUUAUCUCCCUAAGCAGUAGUGGAGCAGAUCGAAGUCCCCAGCCUUGUCUCCCUAAGCAGCAGUGGAGUAGGUUGAAAAUUACAAAACUUAUCUCCCUAAGCGGUAGUGGAGUAGAUCGAAAUCCCCAGCCUUUUCUCCCUGCGCAGCAGUAGAGUAGGUUGAAAAUUAUAUAUCUUAUCUCCUUAAGCAAAAGUAGAGCAGAUCAAGAAUGGUAAAUCUUAUCUCCCUUAGGUUGCAGUGGAGCAGACACCUGACAGCUUGUGUGAGCAGGCCCGUGGACAUUUCCAGUGUUAUUGAUCAGUGGUAACUUCGGCUACAUAUCAAUGUGGCACUUAUGUGCUAAUUCUCUACGUAUCCGUGUAUAUUCUGAGUGUUCAACGGGAUUAAUAAUGAGUUAAAGUGAAUAUGAAAUGAAGUGUGUAUGCAGGUACAAUUGAAAGAAUGAGCAUAUGUGAUAAAGGUUAAGUGUGAAAAUGUAUAUGCAAGUGAAUUGGUAAGAUUGUACAUGUGUAAGUGAUUGAAAUUGCUAAGAAAUGUUUUGAUUAGUUAUAUAUUAAAAGUGUUAAUUAUUAAAUGAGUACCUAUUAUUUAUAUGUAACUUACUAAGCUGUUAGUAGCUUACACCUUUCUUCUUUUCCUUUGUUUUAUAGUGUUUCGAGCUUGCUCGAAUUGGGGAUCGUCGGAGCUCGUAUCACACUAUCAACAGAUAUCUUGGUAUUAUGUGUUUUUAAAACGUUUAAAGCUAUGGCAUGUAUAGAGUCUUAAUCAUUUUGAGUAUGUUCAUAUGAUAUGGCUAAGAUUAGUUAUUGAAAUGGUUAGUAAAGAUUAUGUUUUGGUGUUAUGUAUGUGUAAAUGAUAACUAAUACAAAGAAGCAGUUUCUUUGACAGCAGCAGUGACGUGAAUGUGAAAAAUAACCAUAAAUAGUAUAAAUGGAAUUAGAGAGUGAAUGAUAUAUAUAAUUAAAGCUUAUCAAGUCUAUUUUUACAUGAAAGAAACAUUGUAGGCAAAAGAAUUUUAUAUUUUGAGAUAUUUGAAUUUUAGUGAGACAGGGUCAGAAUGGUUUUUGAAGUCCUCUAUUCUGAAUUUAGAAAAUCAUUAUAAAUUUUACAGAAAGAAUUAUAGGUCAUAAUUUAUAUGUAUAGAUUCCUUAGUGAGUCUAUUUUCAAAAGAAACAAAUUAUAACCUUAUAUUAAUUCUUUACAAUGAGAUAAUUGAUUUUUAGUGCCAAGAGGUCAGAACUGUCAAGUAGUGAAACAGGGGAGACUUUAAUGAAUAAACUGUACUAAUUAGCUAAACCAAAGAGUUCUAAAAAUUUUACAAUAAGAAGUUAUAUGAGUCUAGUUUCCUGAAAAAUUUACGGAUUUAAAUUUUGAGUUUUAUAACUCAAGAUAUAAUUAAAUUAGUGACAGUCGCACAAGUGGACAGUUUGCUUGCCCUGGUUUACUGGUAUUUAGAUGUAGAGAUGUGUUCUAACAUUUUUUUUGAUUCUGUAGGUUUUUCUCUCAAUCUCUUCAUUGUUAAAGUAUCCAAAUCCCAAUGACCCGUUGGUUCCGCGGAUUGCCAACGUGUACAAUACCAACCGGACCAAGUCCGAGUCAACUGCUCGGAGUUGGACUCAGAUGUUUGCUAUGGGUUAAUGUGCUGCUAUGCAUGUAGUAGCAGGGCUUCAUUCCAUGUGGCCCAACUCACUAUCUUUUCUUUGUAUACAACAAAAAAGAACAAUGCUAACCGUUUGAAUUCCCUUAACAGGUCAAGGGUUACGUUUGUCCAAUUACAACAUAAAAUACGAUUGAUACAACGCACAACAGAUGUGUGAUAGCCCGAAAUAGGGCCUAAUCAGAAUAGUGGUUUCGUAACCAUAAAUCCGAAGUGAAAUAGUUUUAUUUUAUAAAUUUUUAUUAGUUACUGAUUGAUUGAAAUAUUGUGUGAAAAUAUGGAUAGAAAAUUUUAAUGAUUUAGUGCCUAAUUGAAUUUUUAGGACUAAAUCGAGAAAAAUGCAAAGUGUGUCUAAUUAGUGAUUAAAUGACUUAAUUGAAUUAUUGCAUGAAAUUGGAAGUGUUUAUGUGGCAAUUAGACCAUAAAUUAGUGUUAUGGACACAAAAAGGUAAUUCUAGAAAAAUAUCUAAGUAAUGGGUCAAGGGCAUUUUUGUCCAAAUUGAGAAAAAGACAAAAUAAAGAGAAAAUAAGUGUCCAUCUUCUUAAAAAUCAGAAGCUUGCUGCCGAAAGUUUCAUGUUACCAUAGCUAGGGUUCUUGAUUUUUCUAAGCUCAAUUGUAAGUGAUUUCUUGCCCCGUUUUUAAUUAUUUUCGUAUUUUUAUGCUUAUUGAUGUUUUAAUUUCAUGUUUCUACUAUUUAAUUUAAAUGAAAUUAAAGUUUAAAAAUUGACUCAUUCAUGAUAUAAUUGUAAAUUGAUUAGUGAUGUUAGAUAAUGAAUGUUUGAAGUGUUAAUUACAAGUUUUACUAUAUGAAUUUCGAUGAAAAUGUUGAAAAAGGGCUAAAUUGUGAAAGAUGGUAAAGUGUGCAUAAAGUUGUGAUUUUGUGAAAUUGAGGGCUGUUAUGAGCAUGAAAUAUGAUUUAGUGAAGUUUGAAAUUUAAAAUUUUAGUGAAUUUUAUUUUUACGAGCUUUGGGACAAAAGUGGAAUUUUUGAAAAGUUAUGGGAAAAAAUGUAAAUUUGCCAAAAUGUUGUGUAUGAACUGUAUUUGAAUGGAAUAUUGAUAAAAUGUAUUAAAUUGUGUUAAUAUAGAUCAAGAAAGAAGAAAUAGUGGAAGUGAUCGGGGAAAAGAGAAAGUUAUCGACUAAAUUACAAAAAUAGUCGUUUUGCAUCCGAGGUAAGUUACGUGUAAAUAAUAGUUAUAUUUUUAUAAAUUGUGAAUUAUAUUUGAUAUGUGAAUUAAUAUUCAAUGUGGAAGGAAAAUUAUUCAUGAAUUAUUCAAGUGUUAAAGUGUUGAAAAUAAAGUGUUAAGUGUAAAUUCCCGGUUGAACUUAGGAAUAGAAGUGGAUACAAGUGACAUGUCACUAUAGAUCAGUGUUACAGUGUUACAAUGAGUCCCGGUUGCUGGGUGAUCUAGCAUGUGUUGCAGACAUCUGACAGCUUGUGUGAGCAGGCCCGUGGACAUUUCCAGUGUUAUUGAUCAGUGGCAGCUUCGGCUACGUUUCAGUGGUAGCUUCGGCUACAUAACAGUGGUAGCUUCGGCUACAUUUCAGUGGUAGCUUCAGCUACAUAUCAGUGUUGCACUUAUGUGCUAAAUCUCUACGUAUCUGUGUAUAUUCCGAGUGUUCAACGGGAUUAAUAAUGAGUUAAAGUGAAUAUGAAAUGAAGUGUGUAUGCAGGUACAUUUGAAAAGAAUGAGCAUAAGUGAUAAAGGUUAUGUGUGAAAAUGUAUAUGCAAGUGAAUUGGUAAGAUUGUGCAUGUGUAAGUGAUUGAAAUUGCUAGGAAAUGUUUUGAUUAGUUAUAUGUUAAAAGUGUUAAUUAUUAAAUGAGUAAUUAUUGUUUACAUGUAACUUACUAAGCUAUUAGUAGCUUACACAUUUCUUCUUUUCCUUUGUUUUAUAGUGAUUUGAACUUGGUCGAAUUGGGGAUCGUCGGAGCUCGUAUCACACUAUCAUAAUCAUCUCGGUAUUAUGUGCUUUUCAAAAUGUUUAAACUAUGGCAUGUAUAGAGUCUUAAUCAUUUUGAGUAUGUUCAUAUGAUAUGGCUAAGAUUAGCUAUUGAAAUGGUUAGUAAAGAUUAUGUUUUGGUAUUAUGUAUGUGUAAAUGGUAGCUAAUACAAAGAAGCAGUUUCUUUGACAGCAGCAGUGACGUGAAUGUGAAAAAUCACUAUAAAUAGUAAAAAUGGAAUUAGAGAGUGAAUUAUAUAUGGAAUUAAAUCUUAUCAAGUCUAUUUUUAUAUGAAAGAAACGGUGUAGGAAAAGGAAUUCUGUAUUUUCAGAUAUUUGAAUUUUAGUGAGACAGGGUCAGAAUGGUUUUUGAAGUCCCCUGUUCUGACUUUGGAAAAUCGUUAUAAAUUGUACAGAAAGAAUUAUGGGUCAUAAUUUAUAUUUAUAGAUUUAUUAGUGAGUCUAUGUUCAAAAGAAAAAAAUGAUAACCUUAUAUGAAUUCUGUGCAAUGAGAUAAUUUAUUUUUAGUGCCAAGAGGUCAGACCUGUCGAGCUGUGAAACAGGGGAUACUUUAAUGAAUAAACUGUACUAAUUGCUAAGUCAAAAAUUAUGAAAAUUUUAUGAUAAGUAGGAAUAUGAUUCUAGUUUCAGGGAAAAUUUACGGAUUUAAAUUUUGAGUCUCGUAACUCAAGUUAUAAUUAAAUUAGUGACAGUCACGCAGGUGGACAGUUUUGUUGUGAACAGUAAAUUUAAUUUUAAAAGUAAAUUUUUAUGCUCCGAAUUGGUAAGUUAAAUUGGAUGACAUCUCGUACUCGAUUCUGGCGACGGUCUCGGGUAAGGGGUGUUACAAGAUGAGUAAUUGAAAAAGACCAAAGUAAAUUAAGAAAAAUCAGAUAAAAUUACGCAUAACAUAUACAUAUAUAAUAACUCAAAACAUUUAGACGAUAAGAUUUUAACCCAAACUUUUUUUGAAGUAUACCAAAACCUCAUCAAUAUAUAUUUAUAUAAAAAGACUACAUAUUUUUAAAAUGAAAAGCUAUAUAUAAUAAAGUUUUCCUAUUAAAAAAAGACUCAACAUAUUUUUUUAAGGAAAAUGGAAAGACUCAAUAUAUUUAAAUAAAUAAGAAAAGGCAACAGGGACAUGGAUAUAAGUCAAAUCAUGCAUGCAUCAACCCUUGCAUAGUUAUUUAUAUUUGGUUGGAGACUUAAAAUUAAAGAUAAAGAAAAAUAAAAGAGAGAGAGAACUUACUAUUAUUACUUUUUGUCUACUUUUUUUCAUAUUUUAACAAAACAACAUUUUAAUUAUGGUUAUUUAAUGAAAAGUAUAUUAACAACUCCAUUCUUCUUUCACAAUUCACACAGGGCAGCAUAGAAAAUAUAUAUGCAAGUUUAAGACCAAGUUAAAUCAUGUCCAAAGGUGGUUGCAUGUGUUAGAAAGAUAAGUCUUUAAUUAAUAAUAAAUCUAGAAACUGUAAAGAUGAGUUACAGGACUCAAAUAUCCAUUAAUUACAGGAUGGAAAUUUUAGAAGGGCUCUUGAAAGAGUUGGAGAAUCUCCUGAUAGAUCUUCCGAAUUAUGGUAGCGCAGGUUCUAUUUCUACUCUCUUUUUCCGCUUUCUCUCACCCAAUUGCAUCAUUGAUUCUGUUAAAUGUGCCAAACGAGUUAUAUUUUGUAACACCCCCUAACCUCAAACCGUCGUUAGAACAGGGUUAUGAAGCAUUACCGGACCUAUCGGAUAAUUUACAAUUAAUAUACAAAUAAUUAUCAAACAUAAUAUAAAAUAAUCUUAAGGUCCCUUAGAUGGAUCCUCGAAGCCCAAAAUACGAGUUACGAGUGAUCUGGGUGUUUGGGGAUAUUUUUUCUGUGUGAGCUCAAUAUAACCCCUUUAUAAAUGUUUAACCUUCCCUGCAAUUUCAAACCGAAAUCAAUUCAAAACCAAUAUCACAAUUCAUACAAUUUCAUAUUCAAAUAACCUAAACAUAUUUUUUUAUAACGUAACGUUUCAUUUAUCAUUCAAACAUUUGAGACCAAUUCUUUACAACCAAAACUUUCAAGACUCUUUAAUAAGGCCGAAGUACAUGCCAUGUUUACCAAAGGAAAAAUACAUCACCGAAGUUAUGCUGAAGUCGGAAUUGAUUUGGACGCUGAACCGAGACCUUUGAUUUCUACUGACCUGCGCAUGGAAACAACCGUACGCUGAGUAUUUCAUACUCAGUGGUAUUACCAUAAUUCAAAUUAUAACAAUAAUAAUGGACUAUAAUUAUCAAGCAUAUAACUAUCCAACUUUUCAAAUAUCAAUUCAUUCUUAAACUUUCAUUAAUUAACAAUAACAAUAUAAUUUUUUUAGCUAUUCUUCAAUUUCAUUCACAUAUCAUAUGUCUCAAUUUCAAUCACUACAUGAACAUUAAGUUCAUGCCUUUCAUUUCCAAUCUCAAUUUCAAUACACAAUUCAACUUUCUCACAUUUUCAAUAGUACAAUCAAUCAAAUUCAUUUAAAUUUUUCCCAUUUCGGUUAUUCACCCUAUUAACAAACCCGGACUUUAACGGAUACACGGAUUCCAACCCAAACACACCAGUACGGCACAUUGUGCCUAAAACGAUACAUAGUACCUGAUUAGUAUAUGACACAUAAGUAUUUAAUAUUUGUAUUUUAUUUAAUAUAUAUGUAUUUUAUUUUUACACAUGUAAUUAUUAUUACCAUACACUUGUCUAUUAUCGUCACCAUCCAAUUGUCCUUAGUUUAUUUAUUUUUAUUAAUUAAUAUUUUAAAAUAAUAAAAAUCUAUUUACUUAAAUAAAAAGUAAUUAAAUAAAUAUAUUACAAUUGUACACAUACAUAUUAUUACACAUGUGUUUUAUCAUCACCCUACAUUUGUCAUAAUUCAAUUUAUUUGAUAAUAAUAAAUAUAAUAAUAAUAAUUACAACAUUAAUUUAAUAUAAUAAUUUAAUAAAUAUCUAUUUAAUAAUUAAAUAUAAGUAUUACAAAUGUAUGUAUUUUAUUAAUACACUUGUAUUAAAUCAUCACCAUAAAUUUGUCUUUAUUUAAUUUAUUUCUUAAUAUAAUAUUUAUAAUAUAAUUAAUUUAAUAAUAUAGUUUAUAAUUAAUUUAUAUAUUUAUAAAAUUAAAUCAUGUAAAAAUCUAAGAUUUUUACAAUCUUAUGCCGCCUCAAUUAGGACAAAUGGCAUAAUUGUCAUUUUGGUCCUUUAUAUUUUCUUUUAAUCUAUAAUCCAAUUUUUCUCUUUAUUCAAUUUAGUCUUUUUUGCUAAUUACCCUAAAUUAAGCUAAAUUCACCUAAUUAAAACCUAAUUAAACACACUAUUACACUCGCAAAUAUCCCUGAUAAUUAUCUACAUGUUCAAUUUUCUAAGACGGAGACCCAAUAUUACACUUUUCCGAUGCCAGUGAAUUUUGGAUCAUUACAUAUUUUCCCAAUGCAAAUAAAAGAAAGGAUUGGGUAUUUUACUAGGAAAGGCAUUGAUACGAUCACUUGCAGGUGGGGUAUUCCAUCUAAUACUUGUUUUUACUUCCCAUUUAUUAAUGAUGGAAUAAGGUCUUGUUCAUGGAGACAUGUUUCAUUGGCAAGCAACUAUCAUGGGUCCUUCGGGUAGUCCAUAAGCUGGUGGAGUGUCUCUAGUCACACUUCAUCUCCAUCAGGACUAUCCAUUUAACCACCUACGUGCCGGGAUAAAGUCAAAAAAAUUUAAUAGAAGUGUGGAGAUAAUAUCUAAUAAUAUUUUUAAUAAAUAAAAAUAAAAAAAUUUUAAAAUUUAUUUGAAUUGCAUUCUUUAGUCAUUGAUCGCACUAAAAUUAUCAAUUAUUUCGUUCACAUUAAAUUUUUUGCAAUUUCUUUCUCAGUGUAGGCAACUUAAAAACUUCUCAAAAAAUCAUUUUCCAUCUUGCUACUAAGUUGAGUCUUCACAAUCUUCAUAGUAAAAAAAGUUCGUUCUAUGGAUGCUGUUGAAACUGUAACAGUUAAUAUAAGACGAAUUAAUCUAUCAACGAAUAGGUACUUAACUGACUUUCCACUCUCAACUAAGUUUCUACAAUGUUCAAAACAUGUUGAUAUUUUUUCUCAAAUUAGGAUGCUUACGUACAUUAAGUUCGUAAUGCUUAAGUCAUAUGGGAGAUGUUUUUUUCUCUUGUUGAGAAAAAUCUUCAAGAUAGAACUUAUUUACAAGAAUAUAAAUUUUAUUAACAUCAAAUAACUUGAAAAACUCUUAGGGAUCUAAAGUUGUAGCUAGAGAGAGAAGCUCGGAUUUGUUAAAUCUGCUUUUCAAUUCUUGCAACUGAGUAUCUAUUGUAGAAAAAAUAUAUAUAUCCACUCAAUAAUGAUGCUCCACUGUAACAUCUUCUUUCUUGUUACGACUACGACCCACAAUGUAUUGAUCAUUCAUAUAUAGAAAAUCCAACUCCCAAGUUUCAAAGAAGGAUAUCAUAUUUUUCAACAAUUCAUCCCAUCCAUCAUCUCUUAGCUUUUGAAAUAAAUAUUUUGUUGUCGAAACUAAAUUCAUGACAUUUAAUAUAUCUUGAGAAAGACGUUGCAAAACUUGACAAAAAAUUUCAGUAGUCCCCAAAACUUCCUUCAUCAUAUGCAAAAUAAAAAUAAACUCAAAAGACCUCAAUCUAUUAUAGGUGCUAUAAGCUUCUCAUCGCUGAGAAUAGUUAGGAGUGAUAUUUUUUAGAUUUUUAAAAUUUGUGGUAGUUGCAUUAUACAUCGUUAGUAAACUAAUAACUGAAUUUAAACGAGCACUCUAUCGAGUCUUACUAGGACGGAAAACGCCAAUCUGAUUCAUACUUGUUCCAAUUGCCAAUCUGAGAAUAGUUAUUUCAGAUGCUUGCGCUUUUUGUAAUUCAUCACGCCGUUUGGAAGAAGAAGAAGCAAUAUUAACAAUAUCAAACGAGUCUUUAAAAAAUUGAUGCACUUCUACCACUUCUUUAGCUGCUGCAACAAAUGCUAACUAAAGACAAUGAGCAAAACAGUGAACAUAAUAAGCAUAUCGACAAUCAUUCAAAACCAAAACUUGCAAGCCAUUAAAUUCCCCACACAUAUUGCUUGCUCCAUCAUAGCCUUGACCUCAGAUAUUUUGUACGUCAAAACUAUAUUACAAGAGAGCAUUAAAAAUCUCAUUUUUCAAAGUCAAUGAUGCAGUAUCUUUAACAUAAACUAUAUAAAAAAAUUGUUCUUUUAUCAAUACUUGUUUAUCAACAAAUCUCAAAACAAUUGCCAUCUGCUCUUUUUUGACUCGUCUCUUGCUUUAUCCACAAUAAUGCAUAACUUUUUGUCACCAAUUUCUUCACAAAUUGCAUUACAAACUCUACUAACAUAAAUUUGCAAUAUCUCUUUUUGUAUUGUUGAAGAAGUAUAAAUAGCAUUUUGUGAAGCACUUUUCAAAACAUCUUCAACUUUCUCAUCAAAAGAUGUUAAUAGUGAUAACAAUUCAAGAAAGUUCCUACAAUAUUUUGUUCCUAACCUUUCAUUAUGACCUUUAAAAGCAUACCCUUGAAAUGUCAACCAUCGAACAACAUUUAUACUAGUUCUUAAUAUUUUCAUAGCAUUUAUACAAUUCGCAUAUACAUGAUGUUAAAUUUAUAACAUAUAAAUAUAUACAAAUUAGUUACACGAACUUACCUCAAUAAUUGUUCGUGUUCGUAUGCUACUAAUCUAAUAUUUUUUUCUUAUUUUCCUCAAUCCAAUUCCGAACUAGGUCUAUCCGGAUCUAUAUGAGGAAAUUUAACUCAUUUUAAUACAAUUCACAUUCAAUUUUAUCCAAUUCACAUCCUAGACAAAAUUACCAUUUUGCCCUUAUACUUUUAAUAAAUGACGAUUUCGUCGCUAGGCUCGGAAAAUGAAAUUCAUGCAAUUUAAUCCUUAUUGCAAGCCUAACCAAAAUUUUCAUAUAACAAUAACAAUCCAUGUAUUUCACAAAAAUAAAAAAUUUUCCAUAAAUUUUACAUCUUUACACUUUAGUCCCUAAAUCACAAUUUCAUCAAAAUUCACUUUACAAAAGUUGUUUAUAUAUUAACAACCUUUCAUUUUCUACUAUAAAUUUCAAAUUUUCAGCAUGCUCAUCCAUGACAAACUUUUAAUACUUUUAUAACUUUACAAGUUAAUCCCCAAAAUAGGUAGAUUAGGUUACUACGAUCUCGAAAUUAAAAAAGUUACUAAAAAUGGGACAAGAAUGCUUACCCAAUCAAGCCAAUUUAGCUUGCUUGAACUCUUUUCUCUUAGCUAGGGUUUCCAUGAAAAUAAUUUGGAGAAAGAUGAUGAUGAAAAAGAUGAUAUUUUGUUAUUUAAUUUAAUUAUUAUCUUUUAUUUUUCCACUUCCCAAUUUAGUCCUUUUCUUUUCUUAAAUUUUCAUGGAUGAAUCAUCACAAACAUCUACUACCUUCUCUUAAUGAUCUAUUUUACGUAUAAGGACCUCAAAUUUUGAAUUCUAUAGCUAUUUAAUCCUUCUAGCUACUAGAAUUCAACUUUUGCAUUUUAUGCAAUUUGGUCCUUUCUAUAAUUGAACAUGAAAUCGGUAAAUUUUCCUAUCGAAAUUUUCAACGUAUUUCCUAUCAUAAUGCAAACCAUUCAAUAUUAUUAAAAUAAAUUUUCUUUUUCACUCGAAUUUGUGGUCCCGAAACCACUGUUCCGAUUUCACUAAAAACGGGCUAUUACAAUAAACUUUAAAUACAAUAAAAAUGAUGGUAAAAAGAUGAAAAAGAAAAACCUUAAAAGGUGAAUCUUAUGUUACGUUUGAAGGAAAAAUUCGGUGUUGAUAAUUGUAGAAGCCCAAAUUUGCUGGCCUAGUAAAAAUAAUAACCCAAUCACAAAUGGGCCUAAAAAUUAAAAACCUAGCCCAAACAACAUUAGCAUUUUCAGCAGAAAUGAGUAAAAGAAACCCUAGGAGCCGCAUGCCUCAGGUGGCCUCCUCGUCUGCCACCCCCAGCCACCAGGCACCUUCAGCGCACGCCUCUGACACUGCCGCCGUUGGCCCUCCACGCGUGUCAGACCACCUGCAGAGAGAAAUGAAGGCAAAGAAAUAAAGAGCAAUCAAUAACAAUAAAAAAACAGUUUGUAAUGGCCUAUAAAAAACAACAAGAGCCAUUUUUAGUUCUUCUUCGAUUUUCUUUGUAAAAAAAAACGCCUAACAGAGAUUAGAAAUAAAAAAGAAAAAAGGUUGUUGUUUUCUCCUUUUUUGUUUCUUCGAUUCAUUCAUUUCUUUUAUUAUUACAUUUAUUUUUUUUCUUUUUUACAAAUCUGUUCUAAAAAAAAACUUUUAGUAAAAGAAAAUAAAAAAGGGGAAGAGGGGACUUACCGGGGAAGCGCCGUAAUCGUGCCCGCGAAGGGUUCUCCCUCGUCGCGGCCGCCAGAUCCAAAGGGCGCCGAGGUUAUUCUCUUUUUUUUCUUUUUCGGGAUUGAGGGCUUAGCCUUCGGGGGUGUUCCAAAGCCGAGGUUAGAGGUCUCUUCUCCAUCGCCGGCCAUCGGUCUCUGUGGCCGCGAUGGUGGCGCGCCGGAGGCCACUGAACCCAAGGGUGGGACGUUUGGAAGAAGAGGGGAAAGGUUUUGAAACUAAAAAAGAAAAAAGAAACAGAGGCUAGAAUGAAAACUCUGCUUAAAUGCACUAAGUAAAACGGCGUCGUUUGAAGGAGAGUGACCAGCGCAUUCUUGCCCUAAUGGGUAAUUUGCGUCUUUGGUCCCUCCGAUUUUGCAGCGCCAUUUAAUGCAGCCUUUUAUUUCUUUUAAUUUCGACCAUAGAAUUUCGCCCCUUUUCCAAUUCGGUCCCGCGCAAAGCAAUGUGUAUAUGGGACGGGNNNNNNNNNNNNNNNNNNNNNNNNNNNNNNNNNNNNNNNNNNNNNNNNNNNNNNNNNNNNNNNNNNNNNNNNNNNNNNNNNNNNNNNNNNNNNNNNNNNNNNNNNNNNNNNNNNNNNNNNNNNNNNNNNNNNNNNNNNNNNNNNNNNNNNNNNNNNNNNNNNNNNNNNNNNNNNNNNNNNNNNNNNNNNNNNNNNNNNNNNNNNNNNNNNNNNNNNNNNNNNNNNNNNNNNNNUUAUUAUUUGUAUUAUUUGAUUUAAGUCAUUAUAUAUGCACAUACAUAUUCUUUUAUAAUUUAUAUACACGUACGUACUUAUGUAUAUUUCUUAUUAUAUCAUAUAAUUUAUAUGCAUGUACAUAUUCUUUAUUUAUUUUAAAUACACAUUUUUUUAUAUUUCAUAUUUUCUACAUGCAUAUAUAUACUUAUAUAUUUACAUAUUUUAAUUCAUAUACCUAUACAUGUAUACGUACGUAGAUUUUUCAUAUUUUCAUAAUUUUGUGUACAUUCAUGUAUAUACGUUUUACAUCUAUUCGUUAUUUAUUUAUUUAUUUAUUUAUUUAUUUACACUUUCAUUAUUAUUUAGAAAGAAGGAUUCGAUUUUAUUUGCCUAUGUAUUUGUCAUUUUGUAUGUUAUUGAUUGGUCCCUUUUAUUAUCUUAUUUCCGUUGCUAUUACUCGUGUUGCUUUUAUGCCACCGUAUUCAUUAUUGUUUUGCUAUGCAUAUUAACACCGUACAUCAAAAAGAAAUUUUUUCUAAUAAGGCAAUAUUUUGCAUUUUGGAAAUUUGAGAAAUUGUACCCUAACUUACUGGGUCUCGAUUUUCUCAUUAAACCCAAAUAACAAAAUAUCCUUUUAAAUUUCAAACAUAUAAAAUUUCGAAAAUAAAGGAGAUAUUCUGUAUUUAGAAAAUUCGAGAAAUCGUGCCCUAACUUACUGGGCUUCGAUUUUUCUCGUGAUUCUAAAUAACCGAAUAUCCUUUUAAAAUUCAAAUAAAUGAGGUUUAAACAAAAAAUAUAUGCAAGCUUACUCUCGAAAAUACGAGGUGUCGUGUCCUAACUUACUGAAUGUGACAUUUUGUUACUUCGAGAUAAGAAGGCAUUUUUCCAUUUUGAUUUAUCCAAGUAAUUUUUUUUAAAUAAUGCAAUAUAAAGAAGGAUCGUAUUUUUAAAUUCUUUUCGAGUUUUUAAUUUUCGACACCAAGACAUUAAGUAAUCAACUAGGUACCAAUUUUGGGCGUAUCGAGGGUGCUAACCCUUCCUCGUGCGUAACCGACUCCCGAACCCGUUUUUCUGAAUUUCUCAGACCAAAAUCGUUGUUUUAAUAAAAAUUAAAUCGUUUAUUAAAAACAACCACUUUUCGAGGUGACCCAAUCACACCUCAUCAAAAAAAGGAUUGGUGGCGACUCCCGUUUUCAUUCUUUUUUCAAAAUCCAAGUCGACCCUCAUUUUCAUCAAAAAAAUGGGGAGUGCCAAACUUGGCGACUCCACUGGGGAGUAAAUUUGUGAGUCAAGCCACGUGUUGAUUACUUUUUUGUCUUUUUGUCAAAAAUCGAGAAUUUAAUUUAAAUUUACGAUCCGUUCAUUGCAUUUCAUUCGUUUUUAUUACGAUUUUAUAGUUGUUGUGUUGGUUUAAGUCUUGAUAUAUUUAUGCACUUUGCAUUGCAUGACCGUUGGUCACACCUUUUAAGUGGGAGUGAGAAGUUAUUUCCUUCGUGAGGUCUUCACCUCCGUGCAGGAUAGCGGAUCGCUUUCGGGAUACAUCCAUACCUAUGUCUUCGUGAGAUUUUCAUCUCCGUGCAGCCAUAGGGAAAUGUAUUCCCCUGAAUCGAACUCGAUCCGUAUGAGCCUAUAAUGGGUAAGGAUCGAGGAAUCUGCUGGUUCGGGUACCUUCACUUUAGAGCCGAACCUCAUGUAGUGAACCUAAGAGCCUACCGUAGGUAGAACUACUUCAAACCCCUAGUGGUCACCCAAAUAGGUGUUCUAUCUAUUCUUGCUUGCUUUUGCUUUGUACUAACCUGUUGUCUUUUUGGUUAUGAUUGCAUUGCAUUUUCAUCAUAAAAAAAAGGUGUUGAUUUACGUUCAGUUGCCAAAUAGAGAGCUUGUCAUAAGAAAAUGAGUUUUUUGAUAAAGUGGAUAAUAAUACGGUUGUCCGAAUAUAGUCUAAGAAAACGUGAUAAGAGGAGGAUGAUUGUCUAAUGGAGGACUACACGACUAUUGCUCCGUUGCCCAAGGAUUCAAAAUGACAAAGAUUAUUCAAGAGCUGCUGAACUGUCUUAAAGAGAAGCUAACGAGUAUUACGAGGAUAAGUGAGCAACGAGUCACGGGCCAGAGGAAAUAGAAGAGACGUUCCUUCUGGAGAGUUCGUGAAAUUUAUCUUAACGCUCGAAUGAAGAAGAGGAUCGAAUGUCUCCGCCUAUAAGGGCAAAACCGUAUAUAUAUCCACUUUAUGUAAAGAGAUUUGUUUUCUAGUAAAGUUGUUCUAAUAGAAUGGAACCAAGAAUCAACGUCUCUUUUUUUCAUUCAUUUCAUACAUUUGCAUUACAUUGCAUCAUAUGCAUUAGAUUUUCACGAAGUGACCCUAAUUAGGUAAAAUUAUUUCAGUUACCCUGGAAACCAACAAGAAUCCGCCAACCACAUAUCAUUACGGUACCCAUCGCCAAACAAAAGCAAUGGAUUAGAGGUUAGAAAGGCUGGAACAAAUGCAAAAAGAAAUACAGGAUAAGAUGCAAGAACAAUUGGAUAAAAUCCAGCAGGAUGCGCGGGAAUCCCAAAAAAUUAUGAGCCAACUGGCACAAUUAUUGGCUGAUAAAGGAAAGAGCCCUAUAAUUAAUUCGGGAGUUGAUCAGGAGGACCCUGUUUAUCCUCCAGGUUUUACCCUGACAAGUGCCCAGGCACGAUUAGAUGUGUGCCCUCAAGGAACAUCUGGACCUCAAUAUCGGGUUGGCACCUCGGUACCAAUGCACUUUCAAGUAGGCUCGGGUUCUAAUCCCGGGGACAGCCCCACCAAUCCGGUGGUCCCUGAUCUCGAUGAUAUGGCAGAAAUAGAAAAGGCAAGAAUGGACCUGCCAAAACAACUUGAGGAUCGAUGUAGAUGGCUAGAGGAAAAAUUCAGGGCCAUGGAGAACAUCGACUAUCAUUGCGGAAUCGACGCCAAGGACUUGAGUUUGGUACCUGAUCUAGCACUCCCUCUCAAAUUCAAAAUGCCGGAGUUUGAAAAGUAUAACGGGACUAGUUGUCCUGAAGCUCAUAUCACUAUGUUCUGUCGAAGGAUGGCGGGAUAUCAACAAUGAUCAACUGUUGAUCCACUGCUUCCAAGACAGUCUGAUCGGGUCUGCAGCUAAGUGGUACAACCAGUUAAGCCGCGCCAACAUCCAUUCAUGGAAUGACUUGGCACAGGCUUUCUUAAAGCAGUACAACCAUGUGACAGAUAUGACACCUGUUAGAAUCACAUUGCAAAACAUGGAAAAGAAGCAAAGUGAGAGCUUUAGGCAAUAUGCCCAAAGAUGGAGAGAGGUAGCGACGCAGGUCCAGCCACCUCUUUUGGAGAAAGAAACCACGAUGCUUUUCAUCAACACUCUAAAAGCGCCAUUCAUUAACCACAUGUUAGGAAGUACUACCAUGAGCUUCUCAGAUGUAGUGAUGUCUGGUGAAAUGAUUGAAAAUGCAAUAAGAAGUGGGAAGAUAGAUACGGAAGAAGGCAUCAAGAGAUCAAUCCCAAAGCACAAAGACAAUGAGGUGAACAACACGAAUACAUAUAGCAAGGGUUAUUCAAAACCAAUUACGGUGAAUCAGCCAAGAAAAAUGGUCGCUAACCAACAAGGCUCAUUGAGACAAGAACCUGGAGUGAAACCAGGUACUGAGAAGCUCCAGUUCACACCAAUUCCAAUGUCAUAUGAAGAGCUGUAUCAAAAUUUAUUCGAUGCGCAUGUUGUUUCCCCUUCCUAUUCAAAACCCCCACAACCUCUAUAUCCAAAGUGGUAUAAUACGAACACACACUGUGACUACCAUGCAGGAAUUACGGGGCACUCAAUAGAGAAUUGCAUCACCUUUAAGAAACUAGUUGAAAAACUCAUCAACAUGGGUAUUGUCAAGUUGGGUGACUCAUCUACGGCAGAAAAUCUGCUACCCAAUCAUGAUUGACAAUAAGGUGAAUGCGAUGUAUGAAGAGAUGUUGGGAAGUGUUCACAUCAAUGACAUGCAUGAAGACACAAUUGAAGAAGGGACUUUGUUAGAUGUCAACCCUUAUAAACUUGGAAGUGUUCUAAAUAAAUCAGACUGUAAAAGAAGUCUCUGUAGUAUUUAGAGCCUACUUAGAGUAAUAUUCAGAAUAAACUUGUUGCUUUUAGCCUAAAGCAAUAUGAACUCUUUUUGUGAAAUAGGCUCAUGUCUGAACGUCGUUAUUUUAAUGAAAUGCAUCUUUGCGAUCAUUUUUUAGCUAAUAUUCUUUCAUUCUUUAUGAAUAAUUAUUUUUAAUCUUUCAUUCUUUCUUCCAAAUCAUUCAUUCAUUCAUAAUCAUACUGUACAGAUAAUUAUUCUUAAAUUCGUACAUUCUUUGUAUAUUAUUUUGCACCUACAACGGGUCCCUGAAUAUCAACGACAUGAAUGACACUGCUACAGACUCAGAACCUCCUUUUGAGUGUGACAUGUGUUUAGAGGAAUCUCAUGACUUCGAAGAGGACAUAGAUUGUGGCCUAUCUCCGUACUUAUUGAGGAGGGUAGAACAAGAUGAAAAACAGAUUCCACCUUACGAAAAAUCAAUGGAGUCCAUGACUUCCCCUAUGUGGGGCAUGAAGGUUGUUAGGUCAAUCUCGUCAAAAGAGUCUAGCGGUCAUCAGUUUAUCUUCACGGGAAGAAGCUGCUUCAUAUGCCAAUGUCACAAAGUCGACAGUAAAUUUUUUGAAAAAAUCACGUCAGCUUGAAAAGUCGAAAAGGAUCAUAUUUGACAAUGCACUAAAUUUGAACAAGAGCACAAUAUCAGAAGUUUGCAGUCUGUUCAAGAUUAACACCAUAUCGCCAAAAAAAACUCUACCAGGGCAACGCCCUCUUUUUGAGCUUAUCGCGGUUUCACCUAUUGAGGUCGAGAUUUCUUUCUCUUUGAAUUUUUGGAUCCAAUCCUAGUUGAAGAGGAAUUUUCAAAAUAUCCAUCAUGGUCAAAUGUACCAAAAGCAAAUGGUAUGAGUUCACCAAAACAAGGUUUGCUCCAGAGAAUUCCACAAGGGGGACCUGACAUCAAAAAAGAUCAUUCCCCUACAAAGGGGACUUCGGAAGAAAGUGGAUGCCAAGCCAGAAGGACCUUGUGUGGAAGGCUUUAUCAGGGAGAGUGUCGGUAUUGACCAAGAUGGAUGGCAAGAACUUGCCCAAUCUUGAGAAUUUUGAUUCAAGGAACAAAUACUUCACUUGAAAAAAAAAUUAAUGAAAAAGAAAAGAAAGGAAAAAUGAGUGAAAAAGGAGAGGCCAAGGUGAAAACCCGCAAAGGGCGCCUUGAGACCAAAGGGGCUUGAGUUGAAAACCCGAACAAGGGCGACUCAAAUUUUGGAUCAAAUUAGGGCAUGAGGCGAUCAGAGCAGCUCAAAUUUUGAUCAAAUCGGGGCAUGUGAUGAUCUUACUGUACCUGAUUCAACAGGAAAGGGUAGGUAGCAUCUUGGGGUAUCGACAAAGUUUUGUAGAUCUCCUAAACACAUGUCCAACUCAAAAUGGUCUUUCAAAGAGUUGGUACAGAGAAGUUCAAGCUACGAUAUCUGGGGCAUCUUGUCCUCAUACUAUUUUUUUUUCUUGGAAUACUUCAUUCUUUUUCAAGAUACGUGUUCCCAAUCAAUUCCCAUUUUAUUCUUGCUAUCCUUGAUAGUUUAUUCAUUUUGAGCUAUGCUCUCAAAUCAAUUCUAUUUUAUUUAUCGUUAUGAUCUUUUGCAAGCAUGUUGCAUUGGAAUAAUGAUUAAUGGACUAAUAAAACUUUCACGAAUGAAGUUUUGCAUAUUACUCUAAAAGUUUCUAAAUAAUAUAGGAACCUGAAACAAGACUAUUAUUUAGAACACACCAAGUUUAAAAGGAGAAAUAUCUAAGAAGGAAGAGUCUAAGUUAAAGACUAUCCUUUCAGAUCUUGUUGUCCAAACAUUGAUGGAACAAAAUGACAAGACGCCGUGUUGGUGACAAAGCUUCAAUGAACAAACAAGCAAUGUUCACCGGGUGAUAAGAAGAGGUUUCUUAGAAGAGAAAAUUCUUCAUUAAUGCAUAGGCAUUUGGUAUGACACAUUGGGAAUGGUGUAAAGCCAAAGAGUUUCACAUUCUGUAUCCUUGAAUUGCGAUGGGAGAAGAUUGACAAAAGCUAUAUCUUUCUACCCUGGGGUUACAGUGGGAGAUUGAUGGUACAAAUUUUAUGUCCCAGUGGAUUGAACUUCGACGUUCAUAAUGGGGGGCAAUCAGAUUAAGUGUUUCUUUGGGUAUGCCAGCCGGUCAAGAAGGCAUUGUAGCACGUCAGUGGUAAAGCCUUAAUAAGCUUUUGCGUGAUAAUAACCUAAGCAUUAAGAAAUCACUUUCAUGACAUUCUGCAUUCAUCCAAAUGUCAUUCACACAUGUCUAGUUAGGAGUAUUUGAUUCAUUUUGAUCAUGCCAUCCUAAUCAUUAGGCAUAAUUAAGUCCACUAUACAGGUCAUGUUCCCUAGAGAACAGAUCAGUAAAAAUCGAAACAAACCUUAUCUCUCUCGUUUGUAGUAGAGCUGGUUGAAGAUAAUAGAUCUUGCCUUCCUAUAUUGACAGCGAAGCAGAUUGAAAACAAACCUUGCCUCUCUCGUUUGUAGCAGGGCUGGUUGAAGAUAACAGAUCUUGCCUUCCUGCAUUGACGGCGAAGCAAAUCGAAGACAAACCUUGCCUCUCUCGUUUGUAGCAGAGCUGGUUGAAGAUAAUAGAUCUUGCCUUCCUGCAUUGACAGCGAAGCAGAUUGAAGACAAACCUUGCCUCUCUCGUUUGUAGCAGAGCUGGUUGACGAUAACAGAUCUUGCCUUCCUGCAUUGACGGCGAAGCGGAUCGAAGACAAACCUUGCCUCUCUCGUUUGUAGCAGAGCUGGUUGAAGAUUGCAAAUCUUGCCUUCCUGUAUUUGGCAGCGAAGCAGAUCGAAGAUGGCAGAUUUUACCUCACUGAUUACAGAGGAGUACAUUGAAGCCGAUAACUCUAUCUCCCUGUAUUUGGCAGUGGAAUAGAUUGAAGAUUGCAGAUCUUGCCUUCCUGUAUUUCGCAGCGAAGCAGAUCGAAGAUGACAGAUUUUACCUCCCUGUGACUACAGUGGAGUACAUUAAAGCCAAUAACUCUAUCUCCCUGGUUGGCAGUGGAAUAGAUUGAAGAUUGCAGAUCUUGCCUUCCUGUAUUUGGCGGCAAAGCAGGUCGAAGAUGGUAGAUUUUACCUCCCUGACUAUAGUGGAGUACAUUGAAGCCAAUAGGGGCGAUCUCCCUGAUUGGCAGUGGAAUAGAUUGAAGAUUGCAGAUCUUGCCUUCCUGUAUUUGGCAGCGAAGCAGAUCAAAGAUGGCAGAUUUUACCUCCCUGACUACAGUGGAGUACAUUGAAGCCGAUAAUUCUAUCUCCCUGUAUUUGGCAGUGGAAUAGAUUGAAGAUUGCAGAUCUUGCCUUCUUGUAUUUGGUAGCGAAGCAGAUCGAAGAUGGCAGAUUUUACCUCCCUGACUACAGUGGAGUACAUUGAAACCGAUAACUCUAUCUCCCUGUAUUUGGCAGUGGAAUAGAUUGAAGAUUGCAGAUCUUGCCUUCCUGUAUUUGGCAGCGAAGCAGAUCGAAGAUGGCAGAUUUUACCUCCCUGACUACAGAGGAGUACAUUGAAGCCGAUAACUCUAUCUCCCUGUAUUUGGCAGUGGAAUAGAUUGAAGAUAACAGAUCUUGCCUUCCUGUAUUUGGCAGCGAAGCAGAUCGAAGAUGGCAGAUUUUACCUCCCUGACUAUAGAGGAGUACAUUGAAGCCGAUAACUCUAUCUCCCUGUAUUUGGCAGUAGAAUAGAUUGAAGAUAAUAGAUCUUGCCCUCCUGCAUCGUCAGUGAGGCAGAUCAGAGAUGGCAGAUUUUACCUCCCUGACUACAGUGGAGUACAUUGAAGCCGAUAAUUCUAUCUCCCUGUAUUUGGCAGUGGAAUAGAUUGAAGAUUGCAGAUCUUGCCUUCCUGUAUUUGGCAGCAAAGUAGAUCAAAGAUGGCAGAUUUUACCUCCUUGACUACAGUAGAGUACAUUGAAGCCGAUAAUUCUAUCUCCCUGUAUUUGGCAGUGGAAUAGAUUGAAGAUUGCAGAUCUUGCCUUCCUGUAUUUGGCAGCGAAGCAGAUCGAAGAUGGCAGAUUUUACCUCCCUGACUACAGUGGAGUACAUUGAAGCCGAUAACUCUAUCUCCUUGUAUUUGGCAGUGGAAUAGAUUGAAGAUUGCAGAUCUUGUCUUCCUGUAUUUGGCAGCGAAACAGAUCGAAGAUGGCAGAUUUUACCUCCCUGACUACAGAGGAGUACAUUGAAGCCGAUAACUCUAUCUCCCUGUAUUUGGCAGUGGAAUAGAUUGAAGAUUGCAGAUUUUGCCUUCCUGUAUUUGGCAGCGAAGCAGAUCGAAGAUGGCAGAUUUUACCUCCCUGACUACAGUGGAGUACAUUGAAGCCGAUAACUCUAUCUCCCUGUAUUUGGCAGUAGAAUAGAGUAAAGAAAACCAGAUCUUAUCUCCCUAAGCAGUAGUGGAGCAGAUCACAUCAAGUCUUAUCUCCCUAAGCAGUAGUGGAGCAGACGAAAGAAACCAGAUCUUAUCUCCCUAAGCAAUAGUGGAGCAGGUCGAAAAUGGCGGAUUUUACCUCCCCGAUUACGUUGGAGUACAUUAAAACCAGUAGUUCUAUCUCUCUGGGCAACAGUGGAAUAGGGUGAAGAUUACAGAUCUUAUCUCCCUAAGUAAUAGUGGAGCAGGUCGAAGAUGGCAGAUUUUACCUCACUGAUUACAGUGGAGUACAUUGAAGCUGAUAGUUCUAUCUCUCUGGGCAACAGUGGAAUAGAUCAAAGAUUACAGAUCUUAUCUCCCUAAGCAAUAGUGGAGCAGGUCGAAGAUGGCGGAUUUUACCUCCCCGAUUACGGUGGAGUACAUUAAAGCCAGUAGUUCUAUCUCCCUGGGCAACAGUGGAAUAGAGUGAAGAUUACAGAUCUUAUCUCCCUAAGCAAUAGUGGAGCAGGUCGAAGAUGGUGGAUUUUACCUCCCUGAUUACGGUGGAGUACAUUGAAGCUGGUAGUUCUAUCUCCCUGGGCAACAGUGGAAUAGAGUGAAGAGCACAAAUCUUAUCUCCCUAAUCAGUAGUGGAGCAGAUCACAUCCAGUCUUAUCUCCCUAAGUAGUAGUGGAGCAGACUAAAAACACAAAUCUCAUCCCCAUGGAGUCGUAGCAGAGUAGAUUGAAGUCAUAUCUCUCUAAAGAUGCCGUAAAGAGGAUCGAAGUAAUAAGACGCAGUGGAUCGGAGCAGUACCCAAAGAAGCCAAGCCUCGGCGAGACUAGACAAAUUUGGUCCUUCUUAGUCUUUGCUCUGUUCUCGUUACACGAAAACAAGCAAAGAGGGGCAGCUGUAGAAGCCCAAAUUUGCUGGCCUAGUAAAAAUAAUAACCCAAUCACAAAUGGGCCCAAAAAUUAAAAACCUAGCCCAAACAACAUUAGCAUUUUCAGCAGAAAUGAGUAAAAGAAACCCUAGGAGCCGCAUGCCUCGGGUGGCCUCCUCGUCUGGCACCCCCAGCCACCAGGCACCUUCAGCGCACGCCUCUGACACUGCCGCCGUUGGCCCUCCACGCGUGUCAGACCACCUGCAGAGAGAAAUGAAGGCAAAGAAAUAAAGAGCAAUCAAUAACAAUAAAAAAACAGUUUGUAAUGGCCUAUAAAAAACAACAAGAGCCAUUUUUAGUUCUUCUUCGAUUUUCUUUGUAAAAAAAAAAUGCCUAACAGAGAUUAGAAAUAAAAAAGAAAAAAGGUUGUUGCUUUCUCCUUUUUUGUUUUUUCGAUUCAUUCAUUUAUUUUAUUACAUUUAUUUUUUUUCUUUUUUACAAAUCUGUUCUAAAAAAAACUUUUAGUAAAAGAAAAUAAAAAAGGGGAAGAGGGGACUUACCGGGAAAGCGCCGUAAUCGUGCCCGCGAAGGGUUCUCCCUCGUCACGGCCGCCAGAUCCAAAGGGCGCCGAGGUUAUUCUCUCUUUUUUCUUUUUCGGGAUUGAGGGCUUAGCCUUCGGGGGUGUUCCAAAGCCGAGGUUAGAGGUCUCUUCUCCAUCGCCGGCCAUCGGUCUCUGUGGCCGCGAUGGUGGCGCGCCGGAGGCCACUGAACCCAAGGGUGGGACGUUUGGAAGAAGAGGGGAAAGGUUUUGAAACUAAAAAAGAAAAAAGAAACAGAGGCUAGAAUGAAAACUCUGCUUAAAUGCACUAAGUAAAACGGCGUCGUUUGAAGGAGAGUGACCAGCGCAUUCUUGCCCUAAUGGGUAAUUUGCGUCUUUGGUCCCUCCGAUUUUGCAGCGCCAUUUAAUGCAGCCUUUUAUUUCUUUUAAUUUCGACCAUAGAAUUUCGCCCCUUUUCCAAUUCGGUCCCGCGCAAAGCAAUGUGUAUAUGGGACGGGGAGUAUUGCACAAUCGGUCCCCCAUGUCCUCAGCGUAUUUUAUUUCAACCCCCUAGUCACCUGUUUUAUUUAUUUACAGUUUGUCCCCCGGAUUUUGGUUUGAUUUUAAUUUCAUCCUUUAGUUCAUUUAAUUAAUUUUUUUUUAAAGNNNNNNNNNNNNNNNNNNNNNNNNNNNNNNNNNNNNNNNNNNNNNNNNNNNNNNNNNNNNNNNNNNNNNNNNNNNNNNNNNNNNNNNNNNNNNNNNNNNNUUUACCUAAUAUCUUUCUUAUUAUUUGUAUUAUUUGAUUUAAGUCAUUAUAUAUGCACAUACAUAUUCUUUUAUAAUUUAUAUACACGUACGUACUUAUGUAUAUUUCUUAUUAUAUCAUAUAAUUUAUAUGCAUGUACAUAUUCUUUAUUUAUUUUAAAUACACAUUUUUUAUAUUUCAUAUUUUCUACAUGCAUAUAUAUACUUAUAUAUUUACAUAUUUUAAUUCAUAUACCUAUACAUGUAUAUACAUACUUACAUAUAUUUUUAUAUUUAACAAUCUCACAAUAUGUAUACGUACGUAGAUUUUUCAUAUUUUCAUAAUUUUGUGUACAUUCAUGUAUAUACGUUUUACAUCUAUUCGUUAUUUAUUUAUUUAUUUAUUUAUUUACACUUUCAUUAUUAUUUAGAAAGAAGGAUUCGAUUUUAUUUGCCUAUGUAUUUGUCAUUUUGUAUGUUAUUGAUUGGUCCCUUUUAUUAUCUUAUUUUCGUUGCUAUUACUCGUGUUGCUUUUAUGCCACCGUAUUCAUUAUUGUUUUGCUAUGCAUAUUAACACCGUACAUCAAAAAGAAAUUUUUUCUAAUAAGGCAAUAUUUUGCAUUUUGGAAAUUUGAGAAAUUGUACCCUAACUUACUGGGUCUCGAUUUUCUCAUUAAACCCAAAUAACAAAAUAUCCUUUUAAAUUUCAAACAUAUAAAAUUUCGAAAAUAAAGGCGAUAUUCCGUAUUUAGAAAUUUCGAGAAAUCGUGCCCUAACUUACUGGGCUUCGAUUUUUCUCGUGAUUCUAAAUAACCGAAUAUCCUUUUAAAAUUCAAAUAAAUGAGGUUUAAACAAAAAAUAUAUGCAAGCUUACUCUCGAAAAUACGAGGUGUCGUGUCCUAACUUACUGAAUGUGACAUCUUGUUACUUCGAGAUAAGAAGGCAUUUUUCCAUUUUGAUUUAUCCAAGUAAUUUUUUUUAAAUAAUGCAAUAUAAAGAAGGAUUGUAUUUUUAAAUUCUUUUCGAGUUUUAAAUUUUCGACACCAAGACAUUAAGUAAUCAACUAGGUACCAAUUUUGGGCGUAUCGAGGGUGCUAACCCUUCCUCGUGCGUAACCGACUCCCAAACCCGUUUUUCUGAAUUUAGCAGACCAAAAUCGUUGUUUUAAUAAAAAUUAAAUCGUUUAUUAAAAACAACCACUUUUCGAGGUGACCCGAUCACACCUCAUCAAAAAAAGGAUUGGUGGCGACUCCUGUUUUCAUUCUUUUUUCAAAAUCAAAGUCGACCCCGUUUUCAUCAAAAAAAUAGUGUCAACAAUAAUAAUAGGCAUUAAUAGCAAUAAUAAAAAGGACUUCUUUUUCACGAGGUAACAAAUUAAAUUUCAACCUUAAUUCAUAGAUAAUGUUAGAUUGAAAAGUGACCAAUUACCACUCAGUAAAAGAAAGGGGCUCUAAAGUUUAAAUCAUGGUGGUUGGUGAGACCAUUAUAUAAUAUAUAUUAUAUAAAUAUUUAAAUUAACAAGUUAAUAUGUGAAAUGAAAAAAAAAAGGUACAUGGUUGAGCAUUCAAACUUGCAAAGGGGCUAAAUAGAAACUUGAAGGGGGGCAAAUUUUUCAAAAGUCAAAAGGUUAAAUGAUAAAUAUACAUUUUUAUAAUUGGGGGGUGGGGUUUGGGCCCUUGUCACUCGUUAGCUUUGCCAUUGCGUCAAGGUCCACUUGAAAUGUACACCCAAGUAACAAGUCGAGAUUUCUCAAAUUUUAGUAAUUUUACUUUCAACAUUUAGAGCUUACGAAUAUUUCAUUUUAUCAUCGUUUUAAAAACUUUAUAAUUUUAUAAAUAGGGGAAAAAGUAAUACUCGAGAAAGGGUGAGUAAAAUUAUUUUAUUUUAUCAACAAACUCUUAAUCAAUCUAAUGACAAGAAUAUAUUAUUAUAGGCAAGAGAACUUAAGUUAACCAUCAAACAUUCCAUUUAUUUUUCUUAAUUACAAUAUAUAUAAAUAUUAUGGUCCUGUGGGGUCCACCAAAAGAGACAUUUAGAACUUAAGAAAGCCAAUCUGGGCUUAAAAAAAAAAGAGUGUUAGGAAGUCAACACUUGGGUUCUGGAACCUCACUAUAAAAACAAAUAUCGGUGAGUGUGGUUAGUUACUUGUGCAAUGUUCAGUGCAGCACCUUGAUUGAAGCUAAAGGUAAAGGUGAUCAAUCUAGCUUGGGAUUUUUGGUGUGAUGGCUUCAACGCGGAACUUUAAGAAUCGGAUCUUGGAGGAGCUCGAGGAUAUCCAAAAUGAUCCUCCUGAAUUUUUCAGCUUAGGCUCCAUUUCUUCUCUCCUCUUCACCUAUUUCCUUUUGUCAUUGGAAUUAAUAAUGCUAUAGAUGUAAAUGAAGUUGAUAGCAAAAGGUUAGCAUGUUUCGCAAAAAGAGAAUAUUUCCGGGUAUUAGCUUGGGUGGAUGUAAGAAUUCAUCAUUGCACCAUUAUUUCUGUUAAAUAUGUGAUAAAAUUGUUUAGGACUGCAACGUGAUAUAUUUUCUGAUUGCACUACCAUCUAACACUUGUUUUACCUUUUUAUUAUUGAUGGCAUGAUAAGCUCCUAAGAAUGAAGACAAGUCUAUUUGGCAAGCAACUAUGCCGGGUCCUCUGAGCAGUCCAUAUGAAGGUGGGACGUUUGAACUCAGCAUUCAUCUCCCUCCGGACUAUCCAUUAAAACCACCCAAGGUGCUUCAUAACGUCGAUGUUAAUAUAUACUGAGGAUAGAAUAGCAUCAAAUUUAUUUUCAAAGAGAAAUUUAUUGUAACCAGAGAACUAUGGGCCGUCAAUGCUGAGCUAGACUGUGCUAAAUCUUGAAGUUACAUAGUAAAUAAUAGGACAACGUUAUUUCAUGAUUUUCCAACCUUAUAACAUAUUAAUGACCCCCCAACUUGUAGUUUUGUUCACCUAACCUCUCUUUUUCUUCUUUUAUCUUCUCUUUCGAUUCUUUUUCCUUCCAUUUAGGUUGCUUUCAGGACCAAGAUCUAUCACCCUAAUAUUGACAGCGAUGGUGGUAGCAUUGGCAUUGAUAUUUUGAAGGAUAAAAACUGGCUCCCCGGCCGCACCAUAAAAGAGGUUAUAAUUUGCUCAAACCUCCUAACUGCAUCCAAGUAAAUGAAUAUUUCAGUUUGAAAAUUACAUUUCCCUGUUAUGCUAUUUCUCAACCAUUCUUUGUCAAAAACUAGAUUAUGAGAUGCCAAUGGGUGAAAGAAAAUAAAUUAUAUAAAAUCAGCCCCAACCCACACCUAAAAGUAAUUGAAUCUCUAAUCAUUUUCAGAUUAACUUAAAAGUUGUAGUUUGAGUUAUUUCAUUUUUUUUUUAAAAUAUAAAAUUAUUGGAAGGCAUUAAUGCUUUUAUAAUAAAAUUUAUUGUUUCUUUUAAUUGAAUUGGUAUUUAAUUAAUCAGAGCUAUUCUAUUAAAAUGAAUUUUACAUCAAGCCAUUGGUCAAAUAGGUUGCAUAAUGGAUCAUUAGUGUCAUUUUGAAUCUAGUCACUGUCACCCCGGUUAAACUUUAUCUUUGCUUGGUUAACUGGUAUUUAGUUAUAUUUAUUAUAUUUGUUAGAUGCGGAGAAGUAUAGUUGUAUAUGUUUUGAUUUUAUAGGUGCUGCUGGCAAUCUACUUAAUCUUAGGGGAUCCACAACUCGAUAACCCAUUGGAGGAGAACACUUCCAACAUGGUCAAGACAGUUGCUCGGAAAUGGACGCAGAUGUAUGCUAUGGUAAGCUAAAAUGUCAUAUUUACAAAAAUGAAAUUUAUAUUAUAAUUGUGUGGGUCAAGCAGGAUAAAGACAACCCAAUUUUGACUUUUAAAAAAAAAUUUAAAACUCAAAACUGAAAUAAAAUAAAAAAAAUUACAAAUUUAAACACAUUUUCAGUGCUUCCUUGGAUGUAGCUAAAGACGAUCUAGCUAGGAUUUUCUUCUCUUUUAUUUAAAUAAAAAAAUUGUUUGUUUUGGGUUUUAGGGUCCUGCUUAUAAAAGAAUCUCGGAGGAGCUUAAGAGUCUCGAGAAAUCUAAUCCAAGCUAUGCCAACGCAGGUUUGAUUUUUACACUCUCGUUGUUUAUUUGUUGUGGUUUUUCCUCAAAAAUCCUUUUUCAUUUGUUUUUAUAUGAAACUCCUUUUUCGGGGGUCUUAUUGAUUGCCACACAUAUCCAUUUGUUGUUAAGUUGGUAGGUAAUCAUUCCAAUUAUGGUUUUGCAUGUAAGAACUCAUCAUCGCACCAUUAUUUCUAUUAAAUGUGGUGAGAUUCUUUAGGAGUGUAACAUGUUAUAUUUUGUCAAGGCAAAUGGGAAAAAGGGUUGGUUGGUAUGUGUACGAUCAGUUGUAGAUUGAGUAUUCCAUCUAACAUUUGUUUUACCUCAUUUUUAUUAAUGAUGGAAUAAGGUCUUGUUGAUGGAGACAUGUUUCAUUGGCAAGCAGCUAUCUUGGAUCUUCGAGGGACUCCAUAUAAUGGUGGAAUGUUUCAAGUUGACAUUCAUUUCUCUCGCCAAUAUCCAAAUGAACCACCCAAGGUGCAAAUAGUAGGGUGAAGUUAAUUCAUGAUUUUUUAACCUUAUAGCAUGCUUGUUUAGCUGCUAAUUAAUGACCACCAACUUUACCUUUUAGUUUUGCUCACCUAACCUCUUCUUUGCUUUUUUUAUAUUCUCUUUUGAUUUUUUUUCCUCUUCCAUUUAGGUUGUGUUCAGGACAAAGAUCUUUCAUCCUAAUAUUGAUGAGAAUGGUAGCAUUGGCCUUGAUAUUUUGAAGGAUCGGUGGAGCAAAGACCUCAGCAUUUCCCAGGUUAUUUGCUCAUAGUCCUAACUGCCUUAAAGAAAAAUGCAUACUUUAAUUUGAACAUAUGUUAUUAUUUAGGUCAUCUAUCAACCAUGUACCCUUUAAAAUGAAAUAAACAGCAAGCCCUUUUAAGUAUUGCAUCAACUAUUGCUUUGCUGGGUUUACUAGUAUUAGAGGUGGAGAUGUUUUCUUAUAUUUGUUUGGAUUCUAGGUUUUGCACUCAAUUAGGUCACUCUUAAAGAAUCCAAAUCCCGAUGCCCCAUUGGUGCCAUGGAUUGCCCACAUGUGCAAGACCAAUUGUAGCGAGUACGAUACAACUGCACGGAGCUGGACCUUGAAGUAUGCUAAGGGUUAAUGUGCUGCUAUGCAUGCAAUAGGAGCGCUUCAUUCUAUCUUGCUUUUAUCUUUAAAUUAUUGUAUUAAUAAACGAAACAAUGUUGUCAUCUGAAUGGACAAUGAAAUUAGUCUGUGUAAGCUGUGACAUGUAUCACGGCCAAAUCGCUUUGGAUUUAGGUUAAUUUUGGGUUUAUGUCUUUUGAGUUUAGAGCUCAAGUUUUUCAUGCCAAUUUGUUAUAAGUUUAAUUUAUUUUGUGUUCAAGUCAUUUGAGUUACUUGUUUGGUUUAUUUUGGGUUUGAGUUGUUUUGGACUCAAAUCUUCUUGGAUUCUACUCAAUUUCAGGUUUGAGGGUCAAUUUGACUUGAAUUCGUUAUUGUUUUUUAUGAUAGAUAAAAUUUUGUUAGGUGUUGGUAACUUGGAUUGGGUUUUUAUGUUUGGUAAAUUUCACUAUUCUCAAUAAAACUGUCCACUUGCGUGACAGUCACUAAUUUAAUUAUAACUUGUGCUACGAAACUCAAAAUUUUUAUCCGUAAAUUUUUCAUGAAACUAGACUUACAUAUCUUUUUACCAUAAAAUUUUUAUAAUUUUUGGCUUAGCCAAUAAGUACAGUUUAUUCAUUAAAUCUCCCCUAUUUCACUGCUUGACAAUUCUGACCUCUCUUCACUAAAAAUUAAUUAUCUCAUUGUACAGAACUCGGAUAAUGUUCUCGUUUUUUUAUUUUUAAAGUAGACUCACUAAGGAAUCUAGAAAUAUAAAUUAUAACUCAUAAUUAUUUCUGUACAAUUUUUAAUGAUUUUCUAAAGUCAGAACAGGGGACUUCAAAAACUAUUCUAACCCUGUCUCACUAAAAUUCAAAUAUCUCAUCAUAAUAUAAAAUCCCUUUGCCUACAUCGUUUCUUUCAUAUGAAAAUAGACUCAAUAAGCUUUAAUUCUAUAUCUCAUUCACUCCUAAUUCCAUUUCUACUAUCCUUGGGGAUUUUUCAAAAUCACAUCAAUGCUGCUGUCCAAAAACUGUUCCGUUGCAAAUUUUUACUCUCUUAUAAUUUAUUUGUAUUAACUAUCAUUUUGGCAUAUUUAACACCAAAACAUGUUCUUAAAUAGUCAUUUCAAUAGCUAAUCAUUAUCAAAUAUUUACAAGCUAUUCAUUAGCCAUAUCAUAACGGCACACACACACAAAAUGACUAAGUCCCUAUACAUGCCAUAACUUAAAACGUUUCAAAUUACAAAAUACCGAGAUGGUUUGUUGAUAGUGUGAAACGAUCUCUAACGUCCUUACGAUCCCCGAAUUGGCUUGUAUAUACUAUAUAAAAAAAUAAGGAAAAUAAAGGGAGUAAGCAUAAUGCUUAGUAAGUUUACAAGUAAAUAAAUAACAAUAUUUAUCAUAAAUAAUUAUACUCAUAAAUUAUCAUCAAGUAUCAUGAUCUUUACUUUCUUCUUUACUUACUCUCUUACUUGUUUACUUACUUGCUUACUUAAAUAACUCAUGAUUAUACCUUACUCCUCUCUUGCUGAAAUUUUGUUCUCAACUGAUAACUGAGAUAUUCUUAACCCUUAUAACUCACCUGAAUCUAUUUAUUAUGCUUUUGCUUGAACUUUCAUGUAACAUAAUCUAUUUACUAGCCCGUUGAACCACUUGGAAUUCUAAGGAUACUCGGGUCUCCUGUCUGAUAAUAACAUGCCAAAGCCAUGUCCCAAACAUGGUCUUAUAUGGGACGUAUCAUGUACUACCAAUGCCAUAUCCCAGAUAUGGUCUUACAUAGGAGUUCUCAUAUUGGUGCCAACGCCAUGUCCCAGACAUGGUCUUACAUGGGACUUAUCAUAACCUCAAUAAUGCCAAUGUCAUGUCCCAGACAUGGUCUUACAUGGGAUCUCAUUCCCCUAAUGUCAUGACAUUUGUAUCCAAUACAUUUCUAAUGUUUCAACGGGACUUUUUAACACUGAUUCUCAAUCAUCUCUUACUUGAGUCAACAUUAAAUAAUUUCAUGAAAUAAGUACAUAAUUGCUGGAAAAUAACAACAUUAAUCAUAAUUAUUGAAAUAUUGCAUUUAUUUACCGUAAACCUACCUCGGUACAAAAUACGAUCAAAUCUAGCAACUUAGUCCUCAACCUUUUUCUUUCCCCGGUCCAACUCCGGAUUUCGUUCCUCUUGAUCUAUAAUAGCAAAUUUAGCUUAUUUAAUAUUCACAUUCAUCAAAACAGUCCUUGACUCACAUUCAUCAAAACAGUCCUUGACUCUAACUUUGGAAAAAUUACAAUUUUGCCCCUAAAUUUUUGCAUAUUUACACUUUUAUCCCAAAGCUCGGAAAUUAAACUUUAUCCCUUAUUCUUAUGUUUUAUGACAUGCUGAAAAUCUUUCCCUUCUAUGGCAACAUCAAAUUCCCACUCUAACAUUUACUUAUGAACAUUAGGUAUUUUUAUCGAUUAUGUCGUUUUACUCGUUUUCACUUAAAAUCGCCUAGCAAAAGUUGUUUAACAUAAUUUCAAUCUUCGUAUUCUACCACAAAACAUCAAAAUAAACACAUUUCACCUAUGGGUAUUUUUCCAAAUAUGAACCCUAACAUGAAUUAAUGGUAGAAUAAGCUAAACCGAGCUAUGAGGACUCCAAAAGCAUAAAAAAACAUUAAAAACGGGGCUUGGAUGCAUUUACUAUGAGCUUGAGAUAGUGAAGAAACCCUAGCUAUGGUGUCCUUGAAGUUUUGGCCCUUAAGGAGAAGAUGAGCACAUUUUGCGAUCCUUUUCCCUUUUAACUCUUUUUAUUACCAAAUGACUAAAAUGCCCUUCAUUAAAACUUCAGUUAUUUUUAUCUAUGCAUGCCCAUUUUUGUCCGUGAAAAUAUAAUGACCUAAUUACCAUUUAAGGACCUCUACUUCAAUUAUGCACUUCAAUUAAAUCCUUUAUCAUCUAAAACUCAUAUUUACCCACUUCAAUUAUGGCAUGUAUAGAUAGUCUAUUACACUCGCUAUGUUAGUCCGAGAAUCGACUAAAUCGUAGCUCUGAUACCACUAAAUAUAACACCCCUUACCAGAGACCGUUUCUGGAGUCGAGCAUGAGGCGCUAUCUAACUUAACUUACUAGUUCGGAGCAUAAAAAUUUGCUUUUAGAAUUAAUUUUAGUCACAACAAAACUUUCCACCUGUGCGACAGUCACUAAUUUAAUUAUAACUCGAUUUACAAAACUCAAAAUUUAAAUUCGUAAUUUUUUGUUAAAAAUAGACUCAUAUAUAUUCUUACCAUAAAAUUUUUAGAAUUUUUAGUUCAGCCAAUUAGUACAGUGUAUUAAUUGAAGACUCCCCUGUUUCACUGUCUGACUAUUCUAACCACCACUCAUUAAAAAUCAAUUAUCACAAUAUACAAAUUUCAUAUGGUGUUUCCGCUUGUUUCUGUAGAAAAUAUACUCACUAAGGAAUCUAUAUAUAUAAAUUAUGACUCAUAAUUCUUUCUGUACAAUAUUUAAUGAAUUUCUAAAUUUAGAACAGAGGACUUCAAAAACCAUUCUAACCUUGUUUCACUAAAAUUCAAAUAUCUCAAAAUAUAGAAUUCCUUUUCCUACACUGUUUCUUUCAUGUAAAACUAGACUUGAUAAGCUUUAAUCCUAUAUAUAAUUCACUCUCUAAUUCCAUUUCUACUAUUUUUGGUGAUGUUUUAAAUUCACGUCACUGUUGUUGUCCCAAAAACUGCUUCUUUGCAAAAUUUUUACUUUUUAUAGUUUCUUUGUUUUCAUUACCAUUUAAGCAUACAUAACACCAAAACAAAGAAACUAUACAUGCCAUAACUUUAAACGUUUUGAAAUCACAUAAUACCGAAAUGUCUGUUGAUAGUGUGAUAUGAGGCUCCGACGAUCCCCAAUUCGAGCAAGCUCAAAACACUAUAAAAAAAGGAAAUGAAGAAAGGUGUAAGCUACUAAUAGCUUAGUAAGUUACAUGUAAACAAUAAGUACUCAUUUAAUAAUUAACAUUUUUAACAUAUAACUAAUCAAUACAUUUCUUAGCAAUUUCAAUUACUUACACAUGCACAAUCUUACCAAUUCACUUGCACAUACAUUUAUACACUUAACCUUUAUCACAUAUGCUCAUUCAUUCAAAUGUACCUACAUACACACUUCAUUUCAUGUUCACUUUAACUCAUUAUUAAUCCCGUUGAACACUCGGAAUAUACAUGGAUACGUAGAGAAUUAGCACAUAAGUGCCACACUAAUAUGUAGCUGAAGCUACCACUGAUAUGUAGCCGUAGCUACCACCGAAUUGUAGCCGAAGCUACCGCUAAUCAAUAACAUUGGAAAUGUCCACGGGCCUGCUCAUAUAAGCUAUCAGGUGUCUGCAACACAUGCUAGAUCACCCAGCACCCAGGACUCACUGUAACAUUGUAAUACUGGUCUCUAGUGACAUGUCACUUGUAUCCACUUAUAUUCCUAAGUUUAACUCGGAAUUUACACUUAACACUUUAUUUUAAACACUUAUCACUUGAAUAAUUCAUGAACAAUUUUCCUUCCACUUUCAAUAUUAAUUCACAUAUCAAAUAUAAUUCACAGUUUAUAAAAAUAUAUUGCUAUUAUUUACAUGUAACUUACCUCGGAUGCAAAAUGACUAUUUUCGUAAAUUAGUCGAUAACCUUCUCUUUUCCCCGAUCACUUCUACUAUUUCUUCUGUCUUGAUUUAUAUUAACACAAUUUAAUAUAUUUUAUCAACAUUCCAUUCAAAUACAAUUCAUACAAAAUAUUUUGGCAAAUUUACAUUUUUUCCAUAACUUUUCAAGAAUUACACUUUCAUCCCAAAGCUCGUAAAAAUAAAAUUCACUAAAUUUCUUAAAUUUCAAACCUCACUAAAUCAUAUUUCAUGCUCACAUCUGCCCUCAGUUUCACAAAAUCAAAACUUUAUGCACACUUUACUAUCUUUCACAAUUUAGUCCUUUUUCAACAUUUUUAUCAAAAUUUAUCUAGUAAAACUCGUAAUUAACACUUUAAACAUUCAUUAUCUAACAUCACUCAUCAAAUUACAACUUUAUCAUGAAUGGGUCAAUUUUUAAAAUUUAAUUCCAUUUAAAAUAAAUGGUAGAAACAUGGAAUGCAAGCCUCAAUAAGCAUAAAAUUACGAAAAUAAUUAAAAACGGGUCAGAAAUCACUUACAAUUGAGCUUAGAAAAAUUAAGAACCCUAGCUAUGGUAACAUGGAAUUUUUGGCAGCAAGCUCCAAUUUUGAAGAAGAUGAACACUUAUUUUCAUCUUAUUUUGUCUUUUAUUCAAUUUUGAUAAAAAUGCCCUUGACCCAUUUACUUAGAUAUUUUUUCUAGAAUUACCUUUAUGUGUCUAUAACACUAAUUUAUGGUCUAUUUUCCACAUAAACACUUCCAAUUUCAUGCAAUAAUUCAAUUAAGUCAUUUAAUCACUAAUUAGUCACACUUGCAUUUUUUCUCAAUUUAGUCCUAAAAAUUCAAUUAGGCACUAAAUCAUUAAAAUUUCCUAUCCAUAUUUUCACACAAUAUUUCAAUCAAUCGGUAAUUAAUAAAAAUUUAUAAAAUUAAACUAUUUCACUUCGGAUUUGUGGUUACAAAACCACUGUUCUGAUUAGGCCCUAUUCCGGGCUAUCACAUUGUCUCUAAUGAAGAUUAGUUACAGGACUUAAAUAUCCAUUAAUUACAGGAUGGAAAUUUUAGAAGGGCUCUUCAAAGAGUUGGAGACUCUCCUGAUAGAUCUUCCUAAUUAUGGUAGCGCAGGUUCGAUUUCUACUCUCUUUUUUCGCUUUCUCUCACCCCAUUGCAUCAUUGUUUCUGUUAAAUGUGUCAAACAAGUUAUACUUUCCCAAUGCAAAUGAAAGAAAGGAUUGGGAAUUUUACUAGGAAAAUGAAUUGAUACGGUCACUUUCAGGUGGGGUAUUCCAUCUAAUACUUGUUUUUACUUCCCAUUUAUUAAUGAUGGAAUAAGGUCCUGUUCAUGGAGACUUGUUUCAUUAGCAAGCAACUAUCAUGGGUCCUUCAGGUAGUCCAUAAGCUGGUGGAGUGUUUCUAGUCACACUUUAUCUCCAUCACGACUAUCCAUUUAACCACCUACGUGGCAGGAUAAAGUCAAAAAAAUUUAAGAGAAGGGUGGAGAUAGUAUCUAAUAAUAUUUUUAAUAAAUAAAAAUAAAAAAAUUUAAAAUUUAUUUGAAUUGCAUUCUUUAGUCAUUGAUCUCACUAAAAUUAUCAAUUAUUUCGUUCACAUUAAAUUUUUUUGCAAUUUCUUUCUCAAUGUAGACAACUUAAAAACUUCUCAAAAAUCAUUUUUCAUCUUGCUACUAAGUCGAGUCUUCACAAUCUUCACUGUAAAAAAAGUAAGUUCUAUGGAUGCAAGUUAAACUGUAAAAGUUAAUAUAAGACGAAUUAAUCUGUAACACCCCCUACCUGUAUUCGUCGCCGGAAUAGAGUACGUGGCAUUACUGGAGUUUACUGAAUUAAUUUUAUGUUAUUACGAGUUAAUUACUAUUCAUUUAGCAAAACAUGUCAUGACGUCCUUUACAUGGGUCUCCAAAGCCCAAAACACACUUCGGGCCCAAACCGAGAUUAAAUCGAAACCAUAGGGAAUUUUUCACAAAAUCCCAAUUUUUUUUAUGAACUCAAUAUAAUCCCUUUAUAAAUGUCCAAUCUUCCCUGCAAAUUUUAAAACCGAGACCAAUCCAAACCAACCAAUCCAUUUCAAUCAAUUUGAUACCAAAUCAUACUUCUAUUAUAAUUAUAGCAUUUAUCAUAUUCAUCACUCUUUACUUUAAUACAUAUUCAUUAAACAAGUUUUGGCAUUUAUGUAAUUAUCAAACUAUAUACAUGUCAUAUAAAUCAAAAAGAAAUUUACAAAAGCUACCAGAGAUAAUCUGGAUAGUGUGAUCCUCAGUGUUGAUCCGAUCCUCCGUAUAUUUUCACAUCAAUCUACAAGAGACAUUGAAUACACUUAAGCUUAUAGAAACUUAGUAAGUUAAUAAGCAUAAAACAUAAAUCUUACCAAACAUUCAUACACUUAUACAUUAUACAUCAUUACUAAGUUCACCUAUCAACCACAAUCAUUGGUGAGUUCCCUUGUAUUAACUCACUACCACUUAUCCAUUUACUAUAAUUCUUUUAGGCCCAUUUGUCACUUACCAUCCUUAAUCAAAUUAGGGAACGGUUACGGAAAAUUGAGUACUUCACUUCCACUUUACCAUAGUAUAACUAUGGUCUUGCGUAUGAUCACUUAUCACUUUUUGAAGCCAUAGCCUGCCACGGUCUUACACGGAUCACAUUUAUCACUUGUCACUUGUCACUGAUCAGAUUAGCGUAGCUAAAGCUACCACUUAUCACUUGUCACUGAUCAGAACUACUCAAAUCCUACGUUCCGCUCAAUUUGAUCAUUUAUUCGGUUUUUGCAUUUUUAUUUUAUUCCCAUUUCAUCAGCAACUAUAUCUCAUCAUACAUUAUAUAAUUCAUGAAAUUAACAUUUAAUCAUUAAAUUUCAGCAAUACGAACUUACCUAGGUCGAUUUGCAGAAUUUGUGAAAGUUUAGGGACUAAUCAGCUACUUUUUCUUUUCCUCAACUUGCUUCGGGUUCUCGAUCUAUCAUUUUAAAACCAUUCACUUAUCAGUAUUGACUUCACCUUAACUCUAUUUCACAUCCUUAAUGUUUAUAACCCGUUUAAAAGUAACAUUAUCUAUAAUUUCACUAUUUACUUAUGUAUAUUCAAUGUUGUCCAUCCGUUUCAUAGUCACUAAAUUAUUUUUAUCUUGAGCUACAAAACUCCAAAUUAGGAUUCACUAAUUUUAACUGAAACUAGACUCACAUAUCUUCUUACCAUAAAAUUUUCAAAAUUUUUAGUUUAGCCAAUAAGUACAAUCUGUUCUUUAAAGUCACCUCUGUCCUGCUGUCUAAUAGUUCUGACCCUUCUUCACUAAAAAUUAAUUAUCUCCUCGUAUGGAAUUCGGAUGAUGUUCCCGUUUAUUUCUCUUGAAAAUAAACUCAUUCAGGAUUUUAAAAAUAUAAAUUUAAGCCCCCAAUUAUUUUUCUUCAAAAUUUGAUGAUUUUCUAAACUCAGAACAGAGGAACCCGAAAUCAUUCUGACCUUGUCUCACAAAAUUUAUUAUAUCUCAUGAUUUACAAUUCCAUUGCUUACAUCGUUUCUUCUAUGAGAAAUUAGACUCAAUAAGCUUUAAUUUCAUAUUUAUUCAUCCUCUAAUUCGAUUCCCAAAAUUUUUGGUGAUUUUUCAAAGUUAGGCUACUGCUGCUAUCCAAAACUGUUUUAGUGCAAAAUGUCGAUUUUCAUUUUGCCCCAAAUUUCACAGUUCAUACAAUUCAGUCUUUGCUCAAUUAACCCAUCAAUUAAGUUAAUUUUUCUCAAUUAGUUCUUCACCUAGACAUUAUAAGUUAUUUCACAACUAUUAAAAUUUAGAAUUUCCACAUAAAACCCUAACUUCACACUCUUUUACUAUUAGGUCCCAAACAUUCACUUUUUAUUCAAUUUAAAUAAAAUCAGCAUAUAAACAAUUUAAAGCUCUAAUUCCAUGCUAAAUCACCAUAUAAUUCCAACACAAAUUCAUAGAAAAUCUCAAUUUCUUUCAUAGAAUCAAAAACUAAUGAAUUCAACAAGUGGACCUAGUUGUAAAAGUCACAAAAUCACAAAAAUUACAAGAAAUAAUCAAGAAUUGAACUGACAUGAUUCAAAUAUAUGAAAAAUCAGCUUAGAGGGACUCUUCAAUGGCGUUGUUGGCUAAGAAAUAUGAAGAAUUGCCUAGAAACUCUUUUAAUUAAGAUUUUUAUUUGUUAAUUUUGCAAAAUUUCCAACUUUGCCCUUAUUACAUCAAUUUUCCAGAUUAUUUUUCUUUCUUAUGCCGCCUCAACUAUCCCCUAUUGGCAUAUUUGUGCCUUAAGUCCCUCCUUAUUCAUCACUUAAGCUAUUUAAUCACUUUAGCAAGUUUUGCACCCUUUUCAAUUUAGUCUUUAUCAUUCAAUUGACUACCAAAAUGUUAAAUUUUCCUAUCGAAACUUUAAUACUAACUUAUUCACACUCCUUAAAUAUUCAUAAAAAUAUUUAUGACUCAAUUUUAAAUUUUGAGGUCUUGAUACCUCAUUUUUAUCUCAAUUUAUCUAAUAAUUUCCUUUAAUACGUAAAAUUCACUAAUCCGAAAAAUAUUUCUAAAAUCACGCCUAACUUUUACUUGCUAAUAUCUAAACUCACAUGUCGGAUUUAGUGAUCUCAAAUCACUAUUCUGACACCACUGAAAUUUGGGUCGUUACAUAAUCUAUAAAUGAGUAGGUACUUAACUGACUUUCCACUCUCAACUAAGUUUCUACAAUGUUCAAAACGUGUUGAUAUUUUUUCUCAAAUUAGGAUGCUUACAUACAUCAAGUUCAUAAUGCUUAACUCAUAUGGGAGAUGCUUUUUCUCUUGUUGAGAAAAAUCUUCAAGAUAGAACUUAUUUACAAGAAUAUAAAUUUUCUUAACAUCAAAUAACUUGAAAAACUCUUUAGGAUCUAAAGUUGUAGCUAGGAGAGAAGCUCGAAUUUGUUAAAUCUACUCUUCAAUUCUUGCAACUGAGUAUCUAUUGUAGCAAAAAAUAUAUCCACUCGAUAAUGAUGCUUCACUAUAACAUCUUCUUUCUUGUUACGACUACGACCCACAAUGUAUUGAUCAUUCAUAUAUGGAAAAUCCAACUCCCAAGUUUCAAAGAAGGAUAUCAUAUUUUUCAACAAUUCAUCCCAUCCAUCAUCUCUUAGCUUUUGAAAUAAAUAUUUUGUUGUCGAAACUAAAUUCAUGAUGUUUAAUAUAUCUUGAGAACGACGUUGCAAAACUUGACAAAAAUUAUCAGUAAUCCCCAAAACUUCCUUCAUCAUAUGCAAAAUAAAAAUAAACUCAAAAGACCUCAAUCUAUUAUAGGUGCUAUAAGCUUCUCAUCGCUGAGAAUAGUUAGGAGUGAUAUGUUUUAGAUUUUCAAAAAUUGUGGUAGUUGCAUUAUACAUCGUUAGUAAACUAAUAACUGAAUUUAAAUGAGCACUCUAUCGAGUCUUACCAGGACACAAAACGCAAAUCUUGUAACAAUCCAAUUUUCAGUAGUGUCCAAAAAGUGAUUUGAGAUCACUAAAUUCGAUGAAAUAUUUUAAAAAAAUUUAUUAAUUAAUAAUUAUAAGUUAAUCGUGAUUUUAGAAUUAUUUUUGAAUUAGUGAAUUUUCUGAUUUAAAAGAAAUUAUUAGGUAAAUUGGGUCAAAAACGAGGAAUCAAGACCUCGAUAUUAUAAACUGAGCCAUAAAUAUUUUUAUAAAUAUUUAGGAAGUGUCAUUAGGGUAGUAUUAAAGUUUCGUUAAGAAUUUUAACAUUUCGAUGGUUAAUUGAUUAAAAAUGACAAAAGUGAAAAAAAAUGUAUUCUCGGGACUCCGUUCCGGUAAAUUUGACUCAUAAAUAUUUAUUAUAAAUAUUUGCAAAUAUUUAUAAAGUUAGUUGUGUGGUUAAUUAGGUUUAAUUGAGUGAAUUUGUCUAAAUUGAGGUUAAUUAUGAAAAAGGAUUAAAUUGCAAUAGAGAUAAAAGUUUAAUUAUAGAUUAAAGAAAAGUUAAAAGGAUCAAAGAGGCAAUUAUGCCUUUUUCUAAAGUUGAGGCUGCAUAAGUAGAUUUUUUUUAAAAAAAUCUAAAGUUAAAAUAUAUUAUAAUAUUAUAAUAAUAUUACUUAAAAGUUAAGUAUAUAUAUUAUAUAUUAUUUAUUAUAUUUAUUAUAUUAUAUUUAUUAUAUUAUAUUAUAUUAUAAAAGAAACAAUGAAAUAAAGAUAGAAAACGAAUAGGGAAGUAGAGAACAUUUCGAAACAGAGUAGGAAAAGGGGAAAAAGAAAAGAACAAGGGAAAAUAGGGUUUUUAAUCUUUAAGCUUAAAUUGGUAAGUCAAUUUAGUCUCUUUUUUUUUUCUCUUAAUUUUGAUUUUUUGGAGUCCUAGAACAAAAUACUACUUGUUUUAAGUUGAAAUUUUGAAAGUUAGUAAAUUUUUAGAUGUUGUUCGUGUUGAAUAAAUUGAUGAAUUAGGGAUUAAAUUGAUUGAAUUUCAAGUUAGAAGUUAGUAAAGGAUUGAUUUGUAAAAUAAAACAUAAGUUUUGAAUAGUAGAGACUAAAUUGAGAGGAUUUCAAAAUUAGGGAUUUAUGGUGAAAUUAGAGAGUUAAAUUAGUUUAAAGUGGGAAUGGAAUGAAAAUAUGAAAUUAGUUUUGAGAAUAAAAGUUAGUCUCGGUUCAGGGACUAAAUUGGAAUUUAGGCAAAUAUUGAGUAAAAAUUGAAAUAUUUAAUGUGAGAUUGAAUUGUGUUGUAUUGAUGAUUUUUAAUUGUUUUAAUUCCGUAGCUAGCGUCGUACCGAAAUUCUCGACUAAAAAGGGGAAAAUAUAGUCGACGAGGAAUAGCUCGAAAUUCCUGUUUUGUAUUUCUAUAAUCCGAAUCUAAUUAUUAAUUGUUGUAUUUUAAUUAAAUGUUAUGGCAAGUGAUUGAGGUGAGAAUUAUUGUGUUUUACAAUUGAAAUGGAUUGUUUUGGUAUGUGAUGAAAUUAUAUUGGUUGAAUUGAAUUGGAAUAUAUAUAUGCGUAAAUGUAAAAUUGUGCAAAUAUGAUAAUUGAAUUGUUUUUUAUAUGUAUAAAAUCCAGUUUUAAUGCCCAAGUAGAUGGAAUUUAGAACUACUGGAAUAUUAGUGGCAUGCCAUUAAGGAACUUUAGCGCGCUCUCUGAUUAUUAGCACGUCAGUGCUCUUUGUUUAGCACAUCUGUGCUAUCUGUAUAGCACUUCAGUGCUCUCUAUUCCUUAGUGCAUAAUAAUGAACCUCUGUAUUUGUUCCGUAUAUUCGAUGUGUUCUAUAAAAUCUACUUUGGGCUAAGAAUGAGAAUAAGAAUAUGAGAUAGUGAUUUGAAAAUAGAAUGUGAAAAACGAUAGUGAAUUGAAAAUAGAAUAUGGAAUGGAUAGUACCAUUGCUUAAAUGAUAUGUGAACAAAUUGUGGAAAGCUAUUAUAUAUAACAAGUGAGGAUAAUUGAGUAUCGUAUAGUUUUAAAUGCUCAAUUGUGCUUGACAUUUUAUUAUACAUAUUAUUUUAUUUUAUUUUUAAAUAUUCAAAUUAUAGAAAUACCACUGAGUUUGUUCCCGUGCGCAAGUUAAGUUAAAGUCAGAUUGUUGAAUCAGCAUCCAAAGUCGAUUCCGAAUUAAUUGUGGUGGUGAACAUUCCUUUUGGUAUGGCAGUACCUAGGAUGUCAUGCAUGUCAUUUUACAAAAUAAUUGUAACAAAGUUAACGAUGACAUUGGUUACUUUAUGUAUAAAUAUAAAUAUAUAUAUAUAUAUAUGUUAUAUUGUGAUUAAGGAAGAAUAUGUUUAAGUUGUUAUUUAAGUGGAUAUUAAAUAAAGGACGAUAAGGUUAAAUUAUGAUGUGAAUGUUAAAUAAUUAUGUAAUGUCUGUAUUUGUACCGAAAUGUCUGGUAAUGCUCCGUAACUCCGUUCCGACGACGGAUACAAGUUAGGGGUGUUACAAAUCUGAUUCAUACCUAUUCCAAUUGCCAAUCUGAGAACAGUUAUUUCAGAUGCUUGCGCUUUUUGUAAUUCAUCAUGUCGUUUGGAAGAAGAUGAAGCAAUAUUAACAAUAUCAAACGACUCUUUAAAAAAUUGAUGCACUUCUACCACUUCUUUAGCCGCUGCAACAAAUGCUAACUAAAGACGAUGAGCAAAAUAGUGAACAUAAUAAGCAUAUUGGCAAUCAUUUAAAACCAAAGCUUGCAAGCCAUUAAAUUUCCCACACAUAUUGCUUGUUCCAUCAUAGCCUUGACCUCAGAUAUUUUGCAUGUCAAAACUAUAUUACAAGAGAACAUAAAAAUCUCAUUUUUCAAAGUCAAUGAUGCAAUAUCUUUAACAUAAACUAUAUAUAAAAAAAAUCGUUCUUUUAUCAAUCCUUGUUUAUCAACAAAUCUCAAAACAAUUGCCAUUUGUUCUUUUUCGACUCGUCUCUUGCUUAUCCACAAUAAUGCAUAACUUUUUGUCACCAAUUUAUUCACGAAUUGCAUUACAAACUUUACGAGCAUAAAUUUGCAAUAUCUCUUUUUGUAUUGUUGAAUAAGUAUAAGUAACAUUUUGUGAAGCACUUUUCAAAACAUCUUCUACUUUCUCAUCAUAAGAUGUUAAUAGUGAUAACAAUUCAAGAAAGUUCCUACAAUAUUUUGUUCCUAAGCUUUCAUUAUGACCUCUAAAAGCAUACCCUUGAAACGUCAACCAUCAAACAACAUUUAUACUAGUUCUCAGAUGUAAACUAUUAGCACAACAAGUUGUUGUGUUGUUUAUCUAUCAAUUGAUACUUCAAUAUAUUGAGCUCGACUCAUUAAAUGUGCAUAAACUCGUUGUGCAUUGUUUUGCAGUGAAUUCAAAUCUUUUCCCAUAUGUGUCAAAAAAGCACAAUUGCAUCCAUCAUGUACUUUUUCCCAGUUACUAAAGCCACUAUGAGUAAUUGUAGUUAAUCCAAAAUCAUUACUUGGAUUGCUACUAAAAAGAAGACCAGACAAACAAAAUACUACAUCUUUAGAAGGUAAAUAUUCUAAUCAGGAAAAUUGUUUAAACCAUGAUGGUUGAAAAUAAAGAGGAUUUUUUUUUUUUUGAAUUAGAAGCAAGAGAUUCUGAAAGAAUAGGUUGAUAUAGUUCAACCUUAAUAUAAGCUUUUUGAUUUUCAUCACAUAUUAAUUGAAUACUCGUAUAUUUACUUACGUAACUUAGGAUCACGUUCUAAAUUAGACAAAUCAAAUGCCUCAUCUUCAACUCUAGGAACUUUAGAAGGACGAGCAUCAGAGUUUAAAUGAACAAACAAUGAAUUUGGUACCUCAAUUUGUGACACUUUUGAAGUUGAUUGUGUUGUCUCUAUAGUUUUCUUUUUAAAAAACGAAUCAAUUGUUUACGACUUCACAACUACAAUAUCUUAAAAGAUAAAAAAAACUUAAUAACUAUAAGUGUAACACCCUUAACUCAUAUCCGUCGUCGGAAUAAGAUUAUAGAGCAUUACCGGAUUUUACAAAAUAAAUACAAUUAAUUUAUGUUAUUUACUAUUCAUAUCCGAAACCAAUAAUAUUCAAUGAUAUUGUUCCUUAAAUGAACCCUCAAGUUCCAAUUUAUGCAUUUGAAACAAGUUGGAACUAAAUCAAGAACUAAAGAAAUUUUUCACAAAAUUUCCAAAUUUUUCGCAAAAUUUUUAAUUUUCUUUUCCAAGGUACAAGGAACACACGUCCGUGUGGUCAGGGCAUGUGAUUCACACGACCCAGUGACACGCUCGAGAUUUCUUAGCUUUGUCAUUACGUGAAGGUCCAUUUGAAAUGUACACCCAAUUAACAAGUCGAGAUUUCUCAAAUUUUAGUAGUUUUUCUUUCAACAUUUAGAGUUUAUGAAUAUUUCAUUUUAUCAUCGUUUCAAAAGCUUUAUAAUUUUAUAAAUAGGAAAAAAAAGUAAUACUCAAGAAAGGGCAAGUAAAAUUAUUUUAUCUUGUCAACAAACUCUUAAUCAAUCUAAUGGCAAGAAUAUAUUAUUAUAGGCAUGAGAACUUAAGUUCAACAUAAACAUUCCAUUUCUUAUUCUUAAUUACAAAUAAAUAUAUAUAUAUAUAUAUUAUGGUCCUGUGGGGUCCACCAAAAGAAACAUUUAGUACUCAAGAAAGACCCUGGUCGUCCAGAUUCUUUUUUUUAAUUAUAAAGCCAAUCUGGCAAAAGAAAAAAAGGGAUUAGGAAGUCAACACUUGGAUUCUGGAACCUCACUAUAAAAACAAAUAUUGGUGAGUGUUGUUAGUUACUUGUGCAAUGUUCAGUGCAACACCUUGAUUGAAGCUAAAGGUGAUCAAUUUGUCUGCAAAUUUGAGUCUAACCUUUUCGUUUCAUUAAAAGGAAAGGUCGGGUUUGUUGAAGAGAUUAUUAAUGAAUAUAUAUAUUAAUCUCUUCCCUCCCUCGUAUGGGGUCAUGCUGGGGGGAAGUCGACUGACUCUUAUUAUAAUUUGGUACCCGGUUUCUUUUAAAAGUCAAGAAUUUAUGCCAAAGACCAAACAAGAAGGACAAGCUUUUUGGCUUGGACAGGUGAUGGUGGUGGUGGUGGCUUCUAAACAUAUGAUGUAGACUCUAUGAAGUCUUAACCUGCGACCAUGAGUUUAACUGAAUUAACGACCCAACAAAUAUAUUAGUAAUUAAAUCCUAUAUGUAAAAGGAUGAGUAGAAGAUAGGGAUAAGAGUUUCUUUUUUUUUUUUCUUUCUUAUUCUUAAUGUUGCAAAUAAAGUAGAUUCAACGGAUGUAGCCACUGCCUCAGCCAUUCCAUGUGGGUCUAUGUACCCUUUUAGUCCUCUUUUAUUUAUUAUUUAGACUAUUUAAUCACUUUAGCAAGUUUAGUACCAUUUUCAAUUUAGUCCUCUUUAAUUAAUUGACUACAGAAACAUUAAAAUUUUCUAACGAAAUUUUAAUACUACCUUAAUGAUAUUCCAUAAAUAUUUAUAAAAAUAUUUACAGCUCGAUUUAUAAAAUCAAGGUCUCGAUACUUCAUUUUCUUAAUCAAUUAAUCUAAUAAAUCUUUAUAAGCACAAAUUUACUAAUUCAAAAAUCUCUUAAAAUCUACAUUUGGCUCGUAAAUAUUAAAUAAUAAAAUUUACGAGUGUAACACCUUCAACCCACAUCCGUCGCCAUAAUAGGGUUUCGGAGCAUUACCGAUCAAACAAACAUAAUUUCAAAACAUUUCAUAUCAUAUAAUAUUCAAGUCAAAACCAAUCAAACACAUCCAAAAUAUGUCAAAAAAAUCAUCCUAGGUGCCUAACCAAUGUACCCUCAUAGGUAUCACAAUUAUAUCAUCAAAACAUAUCAAUAAAACAUCAUUCAAAUCCAAUUUGUAAACAUGCCAAAUUUAAUCUAUUUUGCCUAAUUCAUGUUCAUUUAAACAUUAACUCAACAUGCCAUAUUAUGACCUCAAGUUAUAGCGGAGAUAGUAUCUUCCCAGGACAGAACACACAAGUAAUUGAAGGAAGCCAACUUACCGCAUUAAAGGUUCAUUUUUCAAAAUUUUGUGAUACCUAGAUCCCCGUAGAAACAAACUGAAAGACAACCCUGCAGUAGCAAAUAUUUGAGGUGAAUAUGAUAAGACAACCCUGCAGUAGCAAAUAUUUGAGGUGAAUAUGAUAACACAAAAGUCAAGUUACAUGGUUCAUUGGCUGUUAUCUAAUUAUGUAAUCUUCACUGAACCUGACUAACUACAACUAUGCAAACUUCAAAACGAGAAAAAGUAAACGAGAUAACAAUUGUUGAGUGAGUAAUUCAUUGCUAAAACCCAUAAGUAGGGCUAGUAACUGAAGUUCACUAACUGAGACACAUGCAUGCUCCAAUAAGUAGAAAUAGCAUGUAUUCAUAUGUUUUAUUGACACAUUAAACAAGCUAAUGCAUGCCUAGAUAAAUAUGGAUGGCUCAGCUUACCAGGCACACAUUUAAAAGAAGCAGAAAGUGAUUUUACUGCAAGAUCAAAAGUAGACGAAGAAUUUAAGCCAGCUGAAAGUCCAACAGGUGCUGAAGCCAGAGCUCUAAUGAGACUGGCAUUAAGUCCCUGUAAACAAUGUUAGAAAAUCAUUAGCAAUCAUAGACGAUAACUAAGGCACUUGCAAAACACUUAACAGACACUCUCUUUCUGUGGUACAAUAUAUAUGCUGCAGCUAAUAAAAAUGUGAAGGGAAAGACUAAAUAUCACCAAUAUGGUCAUAUUCAAAGCACUUCACUACAAAAUGGAUGGAAACUAUUCGAAUAAAAUGCAUCUGAUAAUGCAGUCAAAUUCUCAUCCAACCUGAAAGUCUAAGCUAAAAUCUAAGUAGAGGGAAAAGAAAGUUCCCCCAUUAACACUGUAACAAGUACUCUUAUAAAUUCCAACCUUUUCCUACCCUAUGAUACAAUGAUUCAAGUGGCAACUUAAUGAAUAACGGCUACAAACAAAGAACGCAAAGAUAAUUAAGGGACCCUCAACUCAACAAAUGCCAACGCAAAAAAAAAAAAAAAACCUUACUUUCUUCCCAACCCCUCGCCAAGCCAUUCAUGCAGAUGUCAAGCUCUGCAAUAAAAAAACUAUGAAGAUUAGAGAUAAUAAAAGAAUCUAUAUUGCAAUGUCAAAUUCAAAUAAAAACCGCAUACCUUAAUACCUUAUUCAAUUUCUAUGUUUCCCACAAAUAAACAAAAAAAAAAACCCAACAUGGUAAAUAGAAUAAACUCAAGUAUAAAAUAAUAAAUGCACCCAAAAAACCCCCAAUAAUUCAUUUAAAGGAAAAAUAACAAACUCACGAGUAAUGGAGAAGAUUCAUAGACGAAAAGCUGACAAAACCUCUGUUUGUAAACAACAAAAAGAAAAACAAGGGGGUAUGAGAAAGUACUGUGUUUGAUGUGGUGUUGUUAGAGAAUUGUAAGAUGCAAAGUGAUCCGAGAUUCAAUGCUUCUCCGACGGAGCUUUGGUCGGUUUAUUCAAUCUUUGCCCCCCUUCUAACAAAACCCACAUCCUGUCAUGUGUGUUAUCAGACCAGAGAUAACCAUGUUUUUGCUAUAGUUACUUUUUUGCCCCUCGUGUCUUGGGUGAUCUCAUAUGGCCCAUGUUUUAGGUGUUUUUAUUUAUUUUUAGUUAGACCGACUUUUACGUUUCUUUUGGAGAUUUUAUUUUAUUGGAUUCUUCCCUUCUCAUUCUGUUGGGCCGACCCCCCUCCCAAUUUUGGUCCAUUCUAAACUCUCUUCAUCUCUCUUUCGCUUUUGGACCAUUGCUGUUUAUAUUUUAUAGUUUUAUUUAUGGUAAAAUUAUCAAGGAGGUAUUUGUAUUAGAAAUUUGAUUGCAUUUUGUUUUUCAUAAAAACAGCUUUUUCAGAAAAUAUUUUCAGGAAAUCUGCCAAACAACAAAAAAUAUUUUACACAGAUUCAUCCAAACACCGGAAAAGUAAAUCAUUUCCAGAAAAGAAUCAUUUUCUAGAAAUCAUUUUCCGAAAAACAUUUUACUGGCAAACAAACGGAGCCUUAAUGUUUAUGGUAAGUUGUUGAGGUGAGAAUUAUUGUGUUUUGCAAUUGAAAUGUAUUGAUGUAGUAUGUGAUGAAUUUAUUGAAUUUAUAUUGAUUGAAUUGGUAUAUAUAUAUAUUUAUUUAUUAUUUGAUUUGAAAUGAAUAUUGGUUGUAUUUGAAAAGUGAAUUGGAACCCUAUUAACUGUAUCGGGCUGAGUCGGAUAUAGAUGGCAUGCCAUUGGAUUGGAAGAAUUCAGGGAUUUCUUCGACUUCGAGUUGAUAAGACACUGGGUAUCAAUUUACUACUUCGGAUUAAUUUGAUGAGGCACUGGGUGCCAAUUUACUUUGGUUUAGCCGAUGAGACACUGGGUGUCAAUUUAUUACUUCGAAUUAUCCGAUGAGGUACUGGGUGCCAAACUGGUGUGUUUUGGUUGGAUCCGUGUAUCCGUCGGAGUCCAAGUCGUAUUAAUAGGGGUAAUUAAUUGAAAUUGCAUUAUGAUUGAUGUUAGAUGAUAUUGUAUGUGAAAUGAAAAUGGGAUAGUGAAUUGAAAUAUGGAAUGAGACACAAGAAUUGUGUAUUCAUGAAUUGGAUAUGGAAUGAACAAUAUUAUUGUUUAAAUGAUAUGUGUAUUAUAUUGUGAAAAAUUAUUUAUAUAGCAAGUAUGAGAAUUGAGAUAUUGUGCAACAAAUAAAAUGUGAUAUGGUUGUUGUAAUAUUUAGAUUGUAUAUUUGUGAUUUCAUAUAAUUUCAUAUAGAAAUACCACUGAGUUUUACUCAGCGUACGGUUUUAUUUUUCGUGCACAGGUUAGGUACUUAAUUUUGAUCGUCGAUUUAGCAUCCAACAACAAUCCUGAACUCAAACGUGAUGAUGUUUUUCCUUUUAUGUCGGCAUGUACCUAGGAUCUCUAAAUAUUAAACAUUUUGUGGAUUAAUUGUAAAUAAGAUUAUUAAUUUGAAACAUUCAAGAAACUUGUAGGAAGGGUAUAGUAAGAGGGCCGGAGGGUUGACGCCAGAAGUCAAGAGACAUCUCCAUAAUGGUGACUUGUGUUGACUGGUCUGCUUUUCUCCUAAGGGGUGAUUGAAUUUUCUACAUUGAAAACGAAGGCAGAGGACAAUUGCUUUUUUGUCACUAUUGGUACAAAUGCCAUUGAAUUUCCACAAGAAAUUUAUCGGGAUAUUUACUAAAAUAUUAUAACAAAAAUAAAAAAUUAUCAAAAUGUUAUAACUUUUUUUUAUUUACCAAAAUAUUUUUUUUGAUUAUUUACGAAAAUAUACAAAAAAAAUAAAAAAAACCUACAAAAGCCUGCAAAAAGCUGACACCAGCCUGAUCAGGCCAAUCACAUUGGCGGCACCAAAGGUGCCAAAGAGAUUGGUGGCACCAAUGGUGCCAAAGUGAUUGGCGGCACCAAUGGUGCCAAAUGACUAAAAUUGGGCUAAUUGCCUUCUAAGCUCUACUUAUUUAUUAUUUUCUUUUUAUUCCCCUUCAACUCAUUUUUUUAUUUAAUAACUCUAUUUUAAUUUAAUAAACUAUUCUCAUUUAAUAACUCUAUUUUAAUUUAAUAAACUAUUAAGUAAUACUUAAUUUUUUUAAAUUAAAAUAGAGUUAUUAAAUGAGAGAAUUCUAAUUAAGUGACUAUUUGCAGUUUCAAGGACUUGACAUGCAAAUUUACUAUUUUGAAUUNNNNNNNNNNNNNNNNNNNNNNNNNNNNNNNNNNNNNNNNNNNNNNNNNNNNNNNNNNNNNNNNNNNNNNNNNNNNNNNNNNNNNNNNNNNNNNNNNNNNAAUUGCUGCUGUGCGCACUAAAAUUGAAAUGUGGCUAAUUACUUUCUAAGCCCUCUUUAGAAUUCUAAUUAAGUAAUAAGUCUAUUUUAAUUUAAUAAACUAUUCUCAUUUAAUAACUCUAUUUUAAUUUAAAUGAGAAUAGUUUAUUAAAUUAAAAUAGAAUUAUUAAAUAAAAAAAUAAGUUGAAGGGGAAUAAAAAGAAAAUAAUAAAUAAGGAUGGCUUAGAAAGCAAUUAGCCCAAUUUUAGUCAUUUGGUACCAUUGGUGCCGCCAAUCACUUUGGCACCAUUGGUGCCACUAAUCUCUUUAGCACAUUUGGUGCCGCCAAUGUGAUUGGCCUGAUCAGGCUGGUGUCAGCUUUUUGCAGGGUUUUUUUGUUUUAUUUUUUGGUAUAUUUUCGUAAAUAAAAAAAAUAAUAUUUUGGUAAAUAAAAAAAAAUUAUAAUAUUUUGGUUAAUUUUUAUUUUUGUUAUAAUAUUUUAGUAAAAAACCCAAAUUUAUCCCAUAUUUAGUUAAGGGAACCUCACUUGACUUGACACACAAGUCAAGAUAUAUCUCUAAAUGUAAGUAUUAUACAUUUUUAUUUUUUCUAUUAUAUCAAAUAAAUUUUUUUAUAUUUAUGUCAUGGGUAUUUAUAUUAUGCGGUAAAACGUAAAAAUCUAACUAAUAAUGGCUUUCGAUAUUGCCUCACGUAUCAUCAUGUCUAUGCUAUUUUUGUAUUAUCCGUGUUUUCAAGGCAAUAUAUAUUUAUAUAAAUUUUUUAAAUUUUGUUUUAGGUAGAUUUUAACAUGUUUUUUUAUUCAUGUCAUGUUCAUUUUUUUAAUUUUUUUUUCAUAUUUUAUUUAUUGAAUGUUGGGCUUAAAAUAUUAUAACCAUUCCUAAUUAUAUAUUAAUUUUACAUUAAGUUUUAACGGAUAAAUUUAGCAUUAUUAUAUCAUAUUAUAUUAUAUUAUAAUAAAUUUCUUAGGUAAAAAUUAUCUUUGAUUUUUUAUCCAAUUAGAUGUUCCUACACAUUCUUUUUAUUUCUAAUAACAAAUUUAAAAUUAUCUAUAUCUAUCUAUAGUACAAACUAGCUCUUAAGAGAGUUUUAAGAGUAAAUGAGUUGAUAAUAGUGUUUUUCAAUUUUAUCUAUAUAUUAAUAUUUUUAGCUCUUAAAAAUCUAAAUUAUAUAUAAUAUUUAUUUACAACUCUAAAUAUUAAAGCUUGAUUAGAUAUGGGUUAUUUGAACUUUUCAUCUUAAAUAAAUUUGAGGAAAUUUUAAUUAAAUUAUUUUAAUAUAUAUAUAUACCAUUAUUUUGAUUCAUUUCAAUGAAUAUUUAACUUUUGUAGUACACAAUCUAGGGGUGAGCAUUCGAUCGAAUCGAAUCGAAUCGAAUCGAAAAUUUUCGAGUUAAUCGAGUUUAUUUUAAAUUUUUAGAUUAUCUCUAUUUAUUUAAGUUUGGAGUUUAAAGUGAAAAUGUAUAGUAUUAAGAAUGAGAUACAUCAUACAUCAUACAUCAUACAUCAUACAUCAUACAUCAUACACCAUACAUCACUCCUGUAGUACACAAUACACAUAUAUCAUUCAGACAAUUUUAAUAUAACAAAUAAUCAAGUAAUUGGGAUUUAAUAUUUAAUUAAAAAUAUUCUUCUAAAAAUUGUAAACCGCAUAACAUUAAAAGUCUUUAAAUAAUAUGUCACAUACAUGAUUUUUUUUUUAAAAAUAUACAUUAUCUGCUUUUAUUUAUAAAACUUCCUUUUACCUCAUUUUUCUUCAUUAAUGUCUAGAAAUUUGAAGGGAGUCAUGUACCGAUUAAAUUUGAAACCUAUCAAGAAUGAGCUUUUGAUUGUUAAAUUUGAUGUUUUCCUAUUAGUUUAAGAUCCCGAAUAAUUAAGCAUGCUUUCUUAAUAAUUGGAAAAUAUUUAUUUAAAAUAUUACUUUUGAAAGUAUUUUUAUGAAGAAUGUCUCGUAUUUUCGGUCAAACUAAACAGCAAAGCAGAUGUAACGUCGGGACAUGGAGCAUAGGACGUCACAAUGAUGUGACGAAUUCUAAACUAAAUCGAAGUAGGGCUGACGUCAUGAUGACGGGACCUACGAUAUCGUGACGAUACGACGAGACAGCCACGUCUCUUAACAACUCAAUGGAUUUUCCUUCUCCCAGUCGAACUUUGAUUCUCGGUUCUCUUUUCCCAAUUUAAUUCUAACUAUUCUAGGGACAUUUUUGUAACACCCUAUAUGUAGCAACUUUAACCCGUAUCCAUUGUCAAUUAGAGUUACGAAAUAUUACCAAGUAAAACAUAACAUUUAACUUCACAACAGAAACAAUUAUAUUAACUAAAUGUAAUCAUGGUAAAAAUACAAUUACGGGUCUUAACUCGAGUUUACAGGGCCUUAAAAACAGUUUGGGAGCAUUCAGGGAUCAAUUCGAACAAAUCAGAAAAUUUUACAAAAAAUAUGAAAAUUUUGAAAACAGGGAUCACACGAUCGUAUGACAUAACUUAGAUUUUGUGGACAUUCGAAGUUUAGACACACAGCCUAUCCCAACCCGUGUGAGUAUUUGGAAUAAAGCUACACAGACAUGUCAUAGGUCGUGUGCCAAAUCAUGUGUACAUUCAAUGUUGAGUCACACACAGCCUGCGACAAAAAUAAUAAUUAUACACGGCUGUGUCGGGUGACCGAAAAUUCAUAUAUAAUUUUCCACUCCGAAUGUUAUAAUUUUCCACCAAAAACAAAGUCGCUGUGGAAUUAAAAUUUUGGUCCUUAGGCCCGCUGGAUUUUUCACAACCACUAUUAGUAGACUAGAAUUAUCUCUCCACGUAUGAUCGGGUUUAAAAAAAUUAAUUAAAAUUAUUUAUUUAUUUCUAAAAUUAUUAUAAUAUUAACAUAGAAAUUAAAUUUGUGAUUAUUGUUUAUAAUAGAAUAUAAAGUCUUAAAAUAUAAUGAUAUCAUCAUGGAGAAAAAUAUUUUAAUUUAAAAAUGUAUAAAAUUUAUAUAUUAUCUUUUGAAUAAUUUAAAUUAAGGAUAAAUCUCGAAAUUAUACAUGAAUUUUGAUUUAAUGUGUAAUUGUAUACAUGAACUUUAAUUUGAUUUAAUAAUUUACAAGAAUUUGAUCAAAAUAAAAUUUCAUGUAUAAAAUUGUACAAAAUCAAAGUUCGUAUAUACAAUUACACAUUAAACCAUAGUUCAUAUAUAAUUUUAAGAUUUAUCCCUUUAAAUUAUAAUGAUAAUUUUUAUAUAUUAAAAUUAAUAUAUUUAAUCUUCUUUUAAACUAAACAAGCUACUUGUUGAGUUAUUAUAUUUAUUAUGUGGUUUAAUAUUAAAUUUUAGUUGUCAAUCUUCACAUAAUUAUCAAAUGCUUUGAGUAAUUUAAAAGAGACAGACAUGAACUGGAAUAAGGUGAAGGAAUUUAUGGCCAUAAAGAAUAAAGGUAUACGUAUCAACUAAAUAAUAAAAAAUCAUUUAAAAAAAAAAAAAACUCUCACAGAAGGACAAUAUCUUUAAUUAUUGAAGGGAUCUGUUGAUUAUGGAAUGAAGGAUAUUUUAAAAACUUUUCUUAAAAAGUCUGAUAAUCAACGAUGCUGAUAGAGCAAUAUAUAAUUUGAAGCAGUCAAUGAACUUGUAGAAAGGGUAUAGCAAGAGGGAUGGAAGGUUGAUGCCAAAAAUUAAGAGAUAUCUCCAUAAUGGUCACUUGUGUUGAGUGGUCUGGGGUGAUUGAAUUUUCUACAAAUGCCAUUGAAUUUCCCACAAGAAAUUUUCUACAAACGCUUUUCAAUUUUGAAUCAAGUUGGUUUAUGAUUGGAAUUACUUGCUGCAAUAAGUUAGUUAUUUCAUUUUUUUUAUUUAAUACCAAAAUUAAAUAAUUUUUUAUUAUUCUCAUUAAAAACCCAUUAAAGUUUCAGUUUUUCUAUUUAAUAUUGUAACUUUAAUUCUAUUGAAUGUUUAGGUUACUCUUUGUUUUUCAUUAAUACUUUUGGUUAUUGUUUUUCAUUAAUGUUUAGGUAACUUUAAUUCCGAACAAUUAACACGACUCGAAUUCAGGUCACACUUGAGGGGUAAUUAGGUGAGAAAGACAUUGUAUAUAAUAAAAUAUAUGUGAAAAAAAUAUUUUGUUUCAUUAAUUAUUAAUAAAACAAAAAUAUGAUUCAUUUGCAUUUGGUAAAAUUAAAUUAAACAAUAAAAUGUUUUUUUUUUAUUCUCGUAGAAGUAUAUUUCAUUGAAUAAUUUAAUUGCUUUUAUUGAAAUUAUCGUCGUAUAUACGAAUGUUGCUUAGAAGUUUUUUUGUAACAAAUGUUUUUCAUUGUCAUAUAUUGCAUAUGAUAUAAAGGCAAUAUUUGAAUGGAGCAUUGGUUAGUUUUUUCACAGUGAAUCCUCCACAAUAUUCCUUUGUUUGAAGUUGCGGAAAUAUAUAUGUCUCAUGUUUUUAUAAGAUGCAUGUACUUAAUUGGUUUCAAACAAUUUUCCUUCUGUAUUAUAAUCAAUUAUGGAUAAAAGUAACUCUUUUAUAAAAUAGCUACCGAUGUUGACGGAGAACAUCAUACUACAAUUGCAAUGCAAAAGGCAAAGGUAAUGAGAAUUGUCAGCUACCAACCCGCCUAAACCUUAGAUUCGAAUUCGAAAGAUUAUAUUGGCUACUAAAAUAACCCAAUAAGCUUGCGGAGUUUAUAAAAUAGUUAUUUUAAAAUAUUUGUUUAUCUUUAGAGGAAGCUUUGUCUAUUUUCAGAAAAGCUUAGCGUUUUACUUCCCUUCUUACGAAAUAAUACAGUUAAUCCAAAAGUGGUUGAUUUAUAAAUUAGCUACUCGUUUAAAAAUUCAUUUUCUAGCAAUGCAGCAGAAAAGUGAUACUAACGUAGUUUUAAUGAAAACCAUGUUUCAUGCAUUAUAAAAUAAAAUAAAAACUCAAGUUUUAAUAGCCUAAAAAUACUGUGCAUGCCCUAAAUAAACUCAAAACUAACUCUUGUGCCACAGUUUAAACAAGAUGUUAAAGUUCUCAAAAAAUAGGAACUAUAAAUAAUAUUAGGUAAAAAAAUUAUAUAUCUUCAAUCCGAGACGAGCCAUCUAAUUUUCAGAUUCCGCUUCAUAACCUAGUGGAUUAUCUGUAAAGAUGUAAAUUAAAAAUGAAUGAACUAUGAAGCUCAGUGUGAGUCCAAUCACAAGAAAACUGGAACAAAAUUGUAGGCAAAGCACACGGGUUAGCAAUUCUGAGAAUAAUCAUAAUCAUAAAGCACCUCAGAUUAACAGUUUUUCAUAUCAUUACUUUACUAUUUCAAAAAUCACAAUUUUAUAUGCACAUGCUAAUGAAUAACAAUGCAAUUUCAAUUUAUCUGAAAAUUUCCUACCCUACUCCGCUACACACCUCACUUAUGAGUUUCCCAAAACUCAUCUACCAUAUCACUCCGGGUUGUAGAUGAACCAUCGUUGAUUUGCAAAUAAACUGCCACAUGUUGUGGAUACAUGACAUAAUUGCAGAUAAAAGCUGCCACUAGGUUUGCAAAAAUUAUGGGUAAACCACCGGUAUUUUUAGAUAAAAGCAUUUGCAGACAAGCUGCCACUUGGUUCGAGACCGAACUACAUAUUUUGCAAUUACUGCCACUUGUGGGUGUACAACAUAUUUGUUGAUUAAACAAACUUCCACUUGGUUUGUGGACAAACCACCGCUUGUUUGUACAAGUCGUUCCACCCCAUGCAAUGUAAUAUGACAUACUUUAUAACAUAAUAAUGCUAAAAUUCAUAGCCAUGCUUAACACUUAUUCCAUUCAACACUAGCAAUAGACAUGUUUAUCAUGUAUUCAGUGGGGCAAUGACAAUAUUAGCACUCACAAUUUAUCAAUAACACUUUGACAGUAGACAUGAUUAAUAUCACAUGUUUAUUCAUAUCACUGUAAUGAUUUAGUUAAUCAAUAUCAAUAAACACAUUAUAACAGUAGCAAUUCAAGCAUAUAAAUCGUAUAUUUUUGUAAAAACACUAAUUCAAGGAUCAAUCAAGUCUACAAAAACUUCUAGGAAUAAUUUAGGGAUCAAACAUGGACUAAAUUGUAAAACAGAGAGCACAGGGCUGUAUGACCAGUCCGUGUGAGAGGCUAUAAGCUGUGUGGAAGGGUUACACGAUGGUGUGGCCAGGUCGUGUAACAGAUUGUGGCACAGUGGAAAUUCUAAAUUCAAGCUACAAGGGAGACACGGCUGUGUGGCAAGCCGUAUGGAAGGGUCUUAGCCGUGUGUUCACAAAAUACAUUAGGGUUUCCAAGGUACAUGGCCGUAUGAAGGGUCGUAUGGUCCACACACCCGUGUGGCAAACCAUGUGGCCCUAUUCGUAGACAUGGUUUUCCCCAAUUCACUUGCAAAAAAACACACACCUUUCACUAGAAGUCCAAAUGACGUCCUUUGCUAUGAAGUCUGGUUCGAUUCACCUUAGAUGGGCCUUUCAAACGACAUUUAGACAAGAAUUAAUAGUUUAUUUCAAGAUUAAUCAAGAUUUAUGGAAGAUUCGACAAGAACAAAGAAAGACCAUUUAAUUGAUAGUAGGAUUUUCGUUAGAUAGAAAUUAUAUAAGGGUUCGACAUCAAAGAUCAAGAUUGAGUCAUAAUUAUAGAUUCUUGAAAAAAAAUUAAGGGUGUUACGAACGACAAUUACGAAUCCGAUAGAAAACUUUUCAAACUAAAAUCAAUUCUGACUCAGGAAAACAAAAAUAAUUCUCAGCAAUAGAAUAAAAAUUUGAUAAGAAGAAAAGGGAAGAAAAGAAAAUAGGAGAAGAUAUAGAGAAUAGAAUGAACAAUUCUCUUUGGAAUGGAAUGGGAAUCAAAAUUUUAAUAUGAUUAGGAAAAGGUGACUAAAUACCUAGGUUUUCAAACUUUUAGGGGGUUGCAUGGUAAUUUACCCAUACUGCCAAAAUUUAAAAGGAAAUAGAGGAUUUCGGAGGCUCCAACUUGGUUUGCAAUUGGGAGAAUUGCGUGUAUAACCCUUAGGCCUAAGCCUAUUUUUUGUUAAGUUUUCACUCCUAAUAAUAUAUAUUCUAAUGUGGUUUUUAUCCUAGUUUGCUGAAAUUUAAAAAAAAAAUAGAAAUAAGAGAGGUAUGACUUGAACCUAAGACCUUUAGGGAGUGUACUAACUACUUAACCAUCAAGCUUAAGUUAUUUUUUAAUUAAUUAUUUCAAUUAACCCUCUAUAUUUUAGGGCAUGACAACUCUCCCUUCCUUAAGGAAAUUUUAUCCUCAAAAUUUACCUGGUUCAAACAUAUGAGGAUAUUGUUGACGAAUUGCAUCUUUUGGUUCUCACGUGGCCUCCUCGUUGCCAUGGGUCUGCCAUAGAACUUUAAAAAGUGGAAUUUGUUUCCUUCUUAAAACCAUUACCUCACGAUAUAAAAUUUGCAUAGGUUUUUCCUCAAAGAACAAGUCCAAUCGCACAUCAAUCUCUUCGACUGAAACAAUAUGGGAAGGGUCAGAUCAGUAUCGUCUCAACAUAGAGACAUGGAAAAUGUCAUGAAUUUGAUCCAGUUUAAGAGGUUAUUCUAGUUGGUAUGCCACUAAACUAACUCUUUUAAGAAUUCAAUAGGAUCCUAUAAACCUUAAACUUAACUUACCCUUUCGAUUGAACCUCAACACUUUCCUCCAUGGAGAUACUUUCAGGAAAACUUGAUCGCAGACACUGUACUUAAUGUUCUUCUCUUUAAAUCCAUGUAUGAAUUUUGUCUAUCCAAAGUCGCUUUCAACCUAUCCUAUAGUAGUUUGAUUUUCCCCUCAAACUUUUGCACUAACUCUGUACCCAAAACUUUCCUUUCACCUAGUUCGGUCUGGCACAAAGUGUUUGUUAUUUACAACCAUACAAUGCCUCAUAAGGUGUCAUUUGAAUACUCAAUUGGAAACUAUUAUUGUAGACAAAUCUAGCUAGGGGUAAAUGUUCUUCCCAACUGCUCAAAAUUUGAUACUUUAGCCUCUUAACAUAUCUUCCAAUAUUUGUAUAACUCGUUCAAACUGCCCACCAGCUUGCGGAUGGAAGGCAGUGCUAAAGUCGAAAUGAGUACCUAGUGACUCUUGUAGCUUUUUCCAGAAUCGAGUUGUAAAAUGGGGAUCUCGAUCGAAAAUAAUCGAUAUGGGCACCCCAUGCAACUACACUAUUUUUGAAAUAUAUAACUUAGCCAGCUUUUGCAAUAAAUAAUCCUUACAGACGAGUAAGGAAUGUGCUAAAUUAGUUAAUUGAUCCACUAUCCAAACUGAAUCUUUCUUAGUAGGUGUUAAGGGUAACCCACUAACAAAUUCCAUUGACACUUGUUCCCACUUCCAUUCAAGAAUUUUAAUUGGUCGCAACAACCCAAAAGGAAACUGGUGUUCUGAUUUCACUUGCUAGCUUGUUAAGCACUUGGCUAAUAAUUUUGUUACAUCUCAUUUCAGUCCAGACCACUAGUAAAGUUCCCUCAAGUCCUAAUACAUCUCAUUUCCUCUAAGAUGCAUAGUGUAAGAGCUACUAAGUGCUUCCUAAAGAAUGGACUAUCUUAAUUCAUUAUCAUUCGACACACAAUACCUCUCUCGGAAACGUAGGAUACAUUAGAUGUUAAACCCGAAAUCUUCGAUCUUAAAUUCCUCAACUUGCUUAAUCUAGGGUAAUAAGGACACGUCUAAGGGUUGUUUAUCUCUAAUUUUGCUAACCAAGGUGGGUUUCACUUGUGGAUAAAUUUGUGGAGUGUGUCGCAUUUUCGAUAAACCAAACGACAAAGCAAAGGCGACGUCAUAACAUGGAGCAUGGGAUAUCACAACGAUACGAUGGCAUUUGAAACAGAAUCAAAGCAAGGUCAAUGUUGCGAUGAGGGGACCUACAACGUUGCGACGACGUGACGAGAUAGCCACAUCUCUUGACAGUUCAACGACUUUUCCUUCCCCCAGUUGAACUCUGAUUCUCGGUUCUUUUUUCUCAAUUUAGCUCUAACUAUUAUAGGGAUAUUUUAGUAUGAUUAGAACUUUAAUCUCAGCCUAUAAAAAAAAAGCCUUAGUAACCCUAGAAUUAUUAUCGUCUUUAUCACUUUAAAUUUAGAGAGAAGAUUAAGAGAGAGUUUUGAGAGAGCUUUAAGGGAAUUUCAUGUUUUAGCCAGAGAGCUUUGUUUUUCGGGGUUUAGGGUUUGUUUUCUAUUUUGAUUAUCUCAAUCUUGUACUCUUGGUUUAUUUCCCGAUUAGUGAAGUUUUCUUUUUUUACCUGUGAUUUUUUAUCCUAUUCUUUGAAGGAGUUUUUUCAUAUCAAUAUUUGUGUGUGCAAUUUUCUUUUUUCUAUUAUAUCUUAUUCGUUGCAUAUAUGGAUCUAUCACAACAAUUUCAAUUAUUUUCAUGCUUAUAGGUUUGGAAAGUAUCAUUUGUUUUCAUUUUUUAUUUUCUUAGAUGUUUUCUUGCUUUUCAAUUUUGAGUCAAGUUAAUUUAUGAUUGGAAUUACUUGCUGCAAUAAGUUAGUUGUUUCAAUUUUUUAUUUAAUACUAAAAUUAAAUAUUUUUUUAUUAUUCUCUUUAAAAACCCAUUAGAAUUUCAGUUUUUCUUUUUAAUAUUGUAACUUUAAUUAUUUUGAAUGUUUUGCCCUUUGUUUUUCAUUAAUACUUUAGUUUAUUGAUUUCUUUUCAUUAAUAUUAGUUAUUACUUAUUAAGAUAUGAACCUUCUUAGAGCAAAAUUUCUCUCAGUCUACCUCAAUAAGGAGGUUAGUAGAAUAUUAAAAUUUUAGUGACUUUAAUGCUUUUCUUUUUCUUAUUUUUAGGUAUAUGGGUUUUUAUUGUUAAUUUUUUUAAUGGAUUAUAAAUUUGUGUGAAGUUAUUUUUUUUUAUUAUUUUGGUUGUUAGAUGUGAAAGAAAUUGUAUAUAAUAAAAUACAUGUGAAAAAAGAAAAUAUUGAUUUCUAAUUAAUUAUUUUUUUCUCAAAAAUGUAAACUAGUAAUUCUAAUAUAUGGUAGAUGACAACGAGUUUGGAGAUUUGCACAUUAAGAAAAAUUAAUCUAAAGUUUCUUAUAUAAAACAUUUAUUUUUUUAUUUUUAAUAAAUUUUAUAUAAUUAUUUACAAUUAAAUCUAAUAUAAAUAAAAAGAAAAAAAAUCAAUGCAGUGGGGCCCAACUUUUGGAGUAAGAGAGGGUUUGAAGUUGUGUAUAAAGUCCAAGGCUUUGGCUGAUUCAAAUGCACAAAGGUAUCAAGUGAGUGGUUUGCCGAUAUAGAGAAGAUGGAAGCUAAAUCGUUGUGGGUACUACUCGCUACACUUCUGUUUAUCAUACAAGGCUGGCCUCAGACUGAGGGGUGCUUGGAGCAUGAGAGAAUUGCUCUCUUCCAACUCAAAUCUUUCUUCAAUGACCCUUUCUCUUUGAAGGAUUGGGUGGAUGUGAAGGGUUCGAAUUGUUGUCAAUGGGAAGGAGUUAAGUGCAACAUCACUAGCAAACGAGUAAUAGGUCUGGAUCUUGAUUCCACACGUAAACGGUAUUCAUAUGGGUAUCUCAAUGUCUCUUUAUUUCUUCCAUUUGAGAAAUUGAAAAGUCUUGAUCUGAGUAGCAAUGGAAUUAUAGGUCUUGUGAAUAACCAAGGUUCGUUGCUUUUCAUCUCUCCAAUGAUUAAUCUCUGAAAUUUAAUUUAAGUUUUUAUAAUUAAUUCGUUUAUUUUACUUUUCUAUAUUAGAACAAUAACUUUCUUUUGCAUGCAGUAUUUUUAUCAUCUGCUUUCAACAACUUAGAAACGCUUGACUUAUCCCACAAUAACUUGGAUGCGAGUAUCUUAUCAGGUAAAUUUCAUCUCUCAAUUUCUAUCUAUGUCUAAUGACUAAUUGUAAGUUUAUGCAAAAAUAAUACAAAAAUAUCUACAUACUUAAUCAAGGGGAGUUUUGAAAUGCAUUUUACUAGUUUUUUUUUUUUUUUUUUUGGUUUUAAAUAGUUAAAGUUGAUAUUUAUAUAUAUGGGAUAAACCUAAAUUUACGACGGAAAAUUAGGCAUAUAAAUAUAUGUGGGAAAACUCUUUCAAUUAAGAGGAUAAAAAAUUACGGGUAAAUGAGACUUUAAUAAUAAGCAAACAAAUGAAGAGUAUAAGAUGGAGAUAUUCAAAAACAAACCCUAACCCUAAAAACAAAGUUCUUUGGCUAAAAUAUAAAAUUCCCUCAAAGCUCUCUCAAAGUUUUGUCUUAAUCUUCUCUCAAUGUUGAUGUUAUGAAUAUAUUUAUUCUAGGGUUACCAAUGCCCUUUUUAUAGGCUAAGAUUAGAGUUCUAAUAUUACUAAAAUAUCUCUAGAAUAAUCACAGUUUAACUAGGAAAAGUAACCCUCCUGAAAGUCUAAUUACGCAACUGCUCUAAGUUAGAAUUCGUCGCGUUGUCACGAUGUACCAAGCUCCUCGUCGUGACAUCGCCUCCGCUUUGCUCUUUUUCAAGCAUCGUCGUGUCGUUGCGGCAUCGCAUGAUUCCUCGUCGCAAUAUCACCCUUACUUUGACUCUGAUCUAAUUCCACAAUAUCUAAAUAUAUAUUGAAUUUACACGUAAACGGUAUUCAUAUGGGUAUCUCAAUGUCUCUUUAUUUCUUCCAUUUGAGAAAUUGAAAGGUCUUGAUCUGAGUAGCAAUGGAAUUGUAGGUCUUGUGAAUAACCAAGGUUUGUUGCUUUUCAUCUCUCCAAUGAUUAAUCUCUGAAAUUUAAUUUAAGUUUUUAUUAUUAAUUCGUUUUUUUUUUACUUUUCUAUACUAGACCAAUAACUUUCUCUUGCAUGCAGUAUCUUUAUCAUCUGCUUUCAACAACUUAGAAAUCCUUGACUUAUCCUUCAAUAACUUCGAUGCCAGUAUCUUAUCAAGUAAGCUUCAUCUCUCAAUUUCUAUUUAUGUCUAGUAACUAAUUGUAAGUUUAUGCAAAAAUAAUAUAAAAAUAUCUACAUACUUAAUUAACGGGAGAUUUGAAAUGCAUUUUGCUAGUUUUUUUUUUUUAAUAGUUAAAGUUGAUAUUUAUAUAUAUGGGAUAAACCCAAAUUUACGACGAACAAGAAAGAAUAGAGAAAAUUAGGCAUAUAAAUUUAUGUGGGAAAACUCUUUCAAUCAAGAGAAUAAAAAACCAUGAGUAAAAGAGACUUCAAUAAUGAGCAAACAAACAAAGAGUAUAAUAUGGAGAUAUUCAAAAACAAACCCCAACCCUAAAAACAAAGUUCUUUGGCUAAAAUACAAAAUUCCCUCAAAGCUCUCUCGAAGUUUUCUUUUAAUCUUCUCUCAAUGUUGAUGUUAUGAAUAUAUUUAUUCUAGGGUUACUAAUGCCUUUUUUAUGGGCUAAGAUUAGAGUUCUAAUAUUACUAAAAUAUCUCUAGAAUAAUCACAGUUUAACUAGGAAAAGUAACCCUCCUGAAAGUCUAAUUACGCAACUGCUCUAAGUUAGAAUUCGUCGUGUUGUCACGACGUACCAAGCUCCUCGUCGUGACAUCGCCUCCGCUUUGCUCUUUUUCAAACAAUCGUCGUGUCGUUGCGACAUCGCAUGAUUCCUCGUCGCAAUAUCACCCUUACUUUGACUCUGAUCUGACCUAAAAAUGUGAGACACAUUCCACAAUAUCUAAAUAUAUAUUGAAUUUAAAAAUAAUUGUACAAAGAAUAUGUAAUCCUUGAAUAUUAGAUACAAGUAAUUACCAUUUUAUAUUAAAAGUUAGAAAUAUAAAUUAAACAUUCUAAAUUUUUUUUAUGUGAAUAAGUCUUGAUAUGUGUUGAUAUAUUUUAUUGCUCUUGAAUAGAAUUGAAGAGUUUGAAAAACUUGAAGACCUUAGAUUUAAGCUUCAAUGGAAUGAGAAGCCUCCGGCAGUUUCAAGGUAUAUCUAACUUUGAUAUUCUAUAUACAAUCAACUAAGUCCCAUAAAAAUAUAUUUAUGAACAAGUUUAAAUGAAUGCUUGAAACAAUUAAUUAUUAUUUGAUAUUAUACAAACAAAUUCUCUUUGAAAUUAUAUUACAUAAAUCUUUUACAGAUGAGAAAUUGCAACCGAUGAUGAAUUUGGAAGUGCUUAAUUUGGAUGGUAAUUCUUUGAAGAACAAUGAUCUGAUAUAUCUUCAGGGGUUAUCAAAUUUAAAGUCUUUGAUUAUUAGCCAAAACGGAUUGGAAGGGUCAAUAGAUAUUACAGGUACGUAAAUUUUCAUAAGAUCAAAAUAACAAGCUAUAUGUAAAUUACAAUUUCAUCAACCUUUUUUAACACUUAAAAGAAUUAUAUCCAAAUAUAUUCGUUCUUUUGGUAUUUAACUUUUUAGGUUGUAAACUAAAGUCAUAAUGAUUUUUUGUCCUCCAAUCUUACAAACAAAAAAUCAUUUUAACUCUCAAUUUAAUUUUUCGUCUCUUCUAAUCAUUAAACUUUUUUUUUUGUCAAAUCACCCCAAAAUGAAAAAAAAGUUAAUAUUUGUUAAUUUUGCUAAUGUGACAUAUAUGUGAAUUGUCAUAUAGAUGACAUAUCAACGUUUAAUUAAUUUUUAAAAUUUAAGUACUUUUUAAAUAUUUUUAUUUUUUAAAAUUUAUUUAAAAAUUAAAUAUUGAUGUGACAUCUAUGUGGCAAUCCACAUGUAUGCAAUAUCAAUAAAACUAAAAAAAAAUUGUUAAAUUUUCUAUUUAUUUUAGGAUGACUUGACAAAAAACAUAAGUUUAAGAGAUAAAAAAAUCAAAAAAAAUAAAUCAAAACCUAAAAUAAUUUUUUUUUAAGUUAAAAGAGUCAAAUAAAUUAUUAAUAUCUAAAUUAAUAAACUGUUUUUAAUAAUUUUUUUAUGGAGGAAAGUAGUUGAAUUGCAUGAACCAAAAUUACUGAUUUUUUGUGAUAUGACUUUGUUUGACUGAUAAAAAAGGUAUUUGAUUUAUUUGAAUAGCAUUCAAUAAUCUCACCAAAUUGAAGAAGUUGGAUAUGAGUCACAAUUAUGAUAUUGAGAGACUUGGUAAGUGUCCAUAUAUUUUACUUUAUCAAAUUGCUACCUUUAUUAUACUAAUAUCUAAAUGCUUUGUAGAUGGUAAAAGGCUUAAUUUGACAAAUUUAGAAGUGCUUAAUUUGGAUUACAACUCUUUCGAAAAAAGUUCAUUGGCACAGCUUGGUGGGUUUUUCAAUCUAAAGAAAUUGAAUAUGCAGGAAAACCAGCUUCAAGGAUCAAUAAAUAUUAAAGGUGAAAUUAUUUAAUAUAUUUAAUUUUCCUUUAAACAAAAUUAACUAUUUAUUAAGUUAUAUUUAUUCUCUGUGAUUUACUUUUAAAUUUUAUUUGUCGACUUUUAGAGAUUGAACCAUUUAGAGAAUGAACUGAUGCCAGCCACUAAUUUAACUCUCAAAAAUAGAAGUUUAGAAAAGCAUUUUAGUAGUUCUUUUAAGAAAAAAUUAAUGUCUAAAUAUAUAAUGAGUUUAAAAAUAAUUGUAUUAAAAUAUGUAAUCGUUGAAUAUUAGAGUCAUUGAGUAACUAAUAUGCUUUGAGUAACUUAGAGUCAUUCAGAAAAAUAUUUAAAAUUUAAAAAAAUGUAUAAAAUUUAUAUCUUAUCUUUUAAAUAAUUUAAAUAAUAAUAAUUUUUAUAUAUUAAAAUUAAUAUACUAUCUCUUUUGAAAUAAUAUAAAAAUAUAUUAAUAUAUAAAAAAUAAUUUAUAAAUUGAAAACUUAUCUCUUAAAUAUAUAAAGUAAAAUAUAUGUACCAAAAUAAUAGGAUUUCAAUUUUAAUUUUUUUUCUAUGUGUUAUCGAUUCUUUAAAACAUUUGACUAUUAAGUUUAAAAAUUUUAUUUUAAUUAAUACUUGUGCAUUUCACGGAAAAAAAGAACUAGUUAAUGUAUAUAACCGGCUUUGUAGAUGUGGAAUUAGUUAUUUUACGUUCUAUAAAGUAUACAGUACGCUUUUUAUUAAAUUAUUUUUCUAUAAUAAUUUGUUGUCUUAAAUUUUAGCCUAACAAGUUCCAUUUCUAAGUGAAAUAAAAUUAAUAAAUUUUAAUUAAGAUAUUAUUUCAAUAAAAUAUUUAAAUUUCAUAUAAAAUAUAUUAAUUAUAUUUUAUUAAAUGGAAAUAGUUUUUAAUAAAUGAAGUUACAUUAGUAAAUUUUAUUAAAGAUAUAAUUUAAAUCUCAUUAAUUAAUGUUUUAUUAAUAUAUUAUAGUUUUUUAAUUUAAAAAUUCAAAUAUAAUCUAAAUAUUAAAUGUUGUUAUAAAUGUAUAACAUCCAAUAAGUGAAUUUUUGUGACUAACAAAAAAUGUAUUGAAUUUAUUUGGAUAGUGUUGAAUAAUCUGACAAAGCUAAAGCAGUUGGAUUUGAGUAGCAAUAAAAUUGAGAACCUCCAAUCUUCUCAUGGUAUGUGUUGAUAUAUUUUACUUUAUCAUAUUCUUACAUAUGCAUACCAAUAUCUUAUUAAUAUUUCAAGAAAUUUGUUUAUCUCAAUGCUUUGUAGAUGGUGAGAGGCCACUUAAUUUAACCAAUUUAGAAGAGCUUACAUUGAAUUCCAACUCCUUCACAAACAGUUUAUUGGCACAGCUUAGUGGGUUUUCCAAUUUAAAGUCGCUGGAUAUAGGGUAUAACCAGCUUAAAGGAUCAAUAAAUAUUAAAGGUGGAAUUACUUAAUAUAUUUAAUCUUCCUUUAAAUGAAAUAAACUACUUGUUGAGUUAUUGCAUUUAUUCUAUGUGAUUUAAUUUUAAAUUUUGUUUGUCAAUUUUUACAGAAUUAUUAGAUGCUUUAAGCAACUUAGAGGAGCUAGACAUAAGCGAGAAUGAGGUGAAGGAAAUUGUGCCCAUAAAGAAUAAAGGUAUAUGUAUCAACUAAAGGAAAUCUUACUAAUUGUUUUCCAUUAGAUAUCUAGUGAACUAAUGCCAACCACUAAUUUGCCUCUUAGACAAUGGAAGUUUGGGAAAGCUAAAGGUUGCUAGAUUAAACAGUGUGUUCACCGAUGGAACUGCUUCUCUAAUACAGCUUCUAGAGACAUUCUCAUCUGUCAACACAUUAUAUUUGAGUGAAAAUUACUUCAACGACACCUUUUCUACUCAAGGUAUAAUAUAUAUGUAUGUGAAGAUAUAGUUUUAUAGUUUGGUUCCAUUUAAAAAUAGUAUUUACUUAACGUAAAUCAUCUAAAUAACUCUUAUAAAUUUGUAAAGAUCAAUUGCAUGGAUCGAGCAAAAUAGAGGAAUUGGUGUUGGAUUAUUCAUCUCUCAACAACAACAUUCUUCAAAGCUUUGGUGGACUGGCUUCUCUCAAAGCCUUGUAUUUAGGUUCCUGUGGGUUGUCGACAUUACAUACCCAAGGUAUAUUAAUAAUUAUGACAUAAUUAUUUUGGCGGUCUCUUGAUUAAUUAUUUUUUUAUCCUCUCAGAAAAUUAGAGUAACUUGCACAAAUUUAUUUUAUAGGAUGGUGUGAUUUACGGAAGCUUGAGACGUUGGAUCUUAGUGAAAAUUCUCUUGGGGGAGCACUCCCUUCAUGUUUGGCAAACCUGUCAUCUCUUCGUUAUUUGGAUAUUUCCGGUAAUCAAUUCAUCGGAAAAGGUGCCUCCCCCGCUCUAGCCAAUCUCACAUCGCUUAGAUUCAUGUUUCUUUCACGAAAUCUAUUCGAAGUUCCAUCAAUUUUCAUGUCAUUUGCCAACCACUUACACCUCAAAGUCCUCUUUGGCGAUCAAAACAAGUUAGUCAGAGAGCCUACCAUUCAAACAUGGGUCCCAAAGUUCCAACUAAAAGCCUUCCUUUUCUCGAAUUGCACAACAAAGGAACUCCACAUUGAAAUUCCAAAAUUCCUCUACUACCAAAAUGAUCUGAGUAUGGUUGAUCUUUCAUAUAAUAAUUUUGUAGGGAAGUUUCCUUUUUGGUUGUUAGAGAACAAUACAAGAAUGGGAGCAUUUUUAAUGGAGGGUAACUCUUUUAUGGGCCAUCUCAAUCUUCCAUCUCAUCCGAAACCAAAAAUGUCCAUUGUUGAUAUAUCUGGCAACAAACUAGAAGGUCCAAUUCUAGCAAGCGUUUGUUCAAUCUUUCCACAACUAAAGGGGUUAAACCUAUCAGACAAUUUCUUUCAAGGAAAUAUUCCUCCUUGUUUAGGUAGUUUGAACACUACAUAUUUAAUAUUAGAUCUGUCACAUAAUCAUCUAUCAGGUGGAAUACCAGAAAUGUUAGCUCAAAGUGACUCGUUGGAGCUUCUUAGGUUAUCAAAUAAUGAUCUAAGUGGGAAGAUAGCCCCAACGAUCUUUUGCUCACCUUCAUUACAAUUUUUAUAUUUAGAUGGCAAUAAGUUUGAUGGAAAUAUACCUGACAUUGAUAUCUCAACAUGUCAUCCGUAUAGUCUUACUGAUAUGGAUUUAAGUAACAACAAUUUGUCUGGAGAGCUCCCAAGAUGGAUAUGGAAUAUGUCUUUAAAUGCAUUAGCAGUAUCCAACAAUCAGCUCAAGGGUCUUAUUCCAAAGGAAUUGUGCCAUUAUACCCUUCAAAUUUUGGACCUUUCAAAAAACAAUUUUUUUGGCCCAAUACCAUCUUGCUUCAAUGCACACAGUCUCAAACAUCUCCAUUUGAGCAAAAAUAGGUUAAGUGGUACCUUGACAAAUGCAUUCUUUAAUAGCUCUUCCUUGGUGACUUUAGAUCUUAGUGAAAACCAGUUGACUGGUGAAAUUCCAUACUGGAUUGGAAAUCUUUCAACAUUGAGUGUUCUCCUUCUAAAAGCCAAUUAUUUUAUUGGAGAAAUUCCCAUUGAGAUAUGUAAAUUGUAUUCAUUAAGCAUCAUAGAUCUUUCUCAAAACAAGUUUUCUGGUCUGAUACCUUCUUGUUUGAGUCGUUUAACUCUUGAGCCAAAUGAUAAAAAAUCUUCGACAAUACUCUAUGCGUUGGAUUUUGAUGGAAUCUUGGAUUUUGGAGGAAUCUUGGAGGGAGCUAAUUAUAUUGGAAUGACCAGAUGGGAUUUGUCCGAUUCUGGAUUCGAUCUACAUUUCUUUAUUGAGAAUCUAGAAGAAAAGGUGGAUUAUACAACAAAGGGAGCAUCUCGCACAAUCAAAGGAAACAUUCUUGAGUACAUGUCUGGAAUUGAUUUAUCAUGUAAUAGAUUAACAGGUGAAAUUCCCAGAGAGAUUGGAAAUUUGAGUGAAAUCCGAUCACUAAACUUGUCACACAACAAUUUGACUGGACAUAUACCGUCAACGUUCUCAAAGCUCAAGCAAAUUGAGAGUUUGGACCUGUCUCACAACAACUUAAUUGGAAGAAUCCCUGUUCAAUUGACGGAGUUGUACGCCUUAGCAGUCUUCAAUGUGUCAUACAACAACUUGUCAGGGAGUAUUCCGUCUCCGAAAGCUCAAUUUGGAACCUUCGACGAAAGCAGUUACGUGGCGAAUCCUUUCCUCUGCGGGUCUCCCCUACAUAAAAAUUGUAGCGACCUUGAUUCACCCCCGACAGCAGCACCAAAGAGCUCAAACGAGGAAGAAGAAAGUGGUUUGAUGGACAAGUAUGUUUUCUGGGUGACCUUUUUUGUUUCUUACGUAAUUGUGUUACUGGUUAUUGUUCUCAUCCUGUAUAUAAAUCCUUAUUGGCGACAAGCAUGGUUUUCUUUUGUUGAACACUGCAUCAAGACCUG
rnacentral:lncRNA from 1 species